rnacentral:lncRNA from 1 species
CAUUAGUAGAGCGCAUCAUUUAAGCCAAGCAAGCUGUGGUCAAUACAAAUCCACCAUGAAGACCUUUCUCAUCCUUGCCCUCCCUGCUAUCGUGGCGACCACCGCCACAACUGCAGUUAGAGUUCCAGUGCCACAAUUGCAGCCACAAAAUCCAUCUCAGCAACAGCCACAAGAGCAAGUUCCAUUGGUACAACAACAACAAUUUCUAGGGCAGCAACAACCAUUUCCACCACAACAACCAUAUCCACAGCCGCAACCAUUUCCAUCACAACAACCAUAUCUGCAGCUGCAACCAUUUCCGCAGCCGCAACUACCAUAUUCGCAGCCACAACCAUUUCGACCACAACAACCAUAUCCACAACCGCAACCACAGUAUUCGCAACCACAACAACCAAUUUCACAGCAGCAGCAGCAGCAGCAACAACAACAACAACAACAACAACAACAACAAAAGCAAAUCCUUCAACAAAUUUUGCAACAACAACUGAUUCCAUGCAUGGAUGUUGUAUUGCAGCAACACAACAUAGCGCAUGGAAGAUCACAAGUUUUGCAACAAAGUACUUACCAGCUGUUGCAAGAAUUGUGUUGUCAGCACCUAUGGCAGAUCCCUGAGCAGUCGCAGUGUCAGGCCAUCCAAAAUGUUGUUCAUGCUAUUAUUCUGCAUCAACAACAAAAACAACAACAACAACCAUCGAGCCAGGUGUCCUUCCAACAGCCUCUGCAACAAUAUCCAUUAGGCCAGGGCUCCUUCCGGCCAUCUCAGCAAAACCCACAGGACCAGGGCUCUGUCCAGCCUCAACAACUGCCCCAGUUCGAGGAAAUAAGGAACCUAGCGCUACAGAUGCUACCUGCAAUGUGCAAUGUCUACAUCCCUCCAUAUUGCACAAUCGCGCCAUUUGGCAUCUUCGGUACUAACUGAGAAGAAAAUAACUCUAGUACUAGAUAUAUGAAACACCGUUUUCUCAGUCCAUGGUUUGGUCAUUGUAGCGUCGAAAAAAUAAUGUGACAUGCACUAUCAUAUAAGAAUCCGAACUAUACUAGUUCAAACUUGGGAAUAAAAGACAAACACAUGUCUUGUCUACAUAUUUAUGUUGCAUCUAUUUAUAUAUUAAAAGUAAUAUAAGGUGAACCAGGAGCAAGGUAAAUAUGCUAGAAAAUUGCACGUUAAUUAGAAAUUACUUGCCCUCGAUCUGGUAAAUCUUAACAAAUAGAAUUAUCUUGACCGUUAGAUUUAUAUAACAUAUAUAAUGCUCUGGGCCUCCAACGACUGUACGUGACACAUCUGAACGAACAUAUGGUAAAGAAAAUAUAUUUGGUAAAUGGUGGGCCUGUUUAAAAAGAGAACUCACGUACAUGCACCAACUAAGAAAAACACAUACAUGUAAACGGGAAAAGGAUGAGAUUUUCUCACGUACGUGCUCCCUGGCUCCACCCCGUUGAAAAAAUAUACAUCUGGAGGCCACUUUGUUUCCUCAUCAAAAAAACUUACGUUAAAAAGAUUGCAUGCAUCCCAGGGAAAAUAGUCAAGAAGAAGUCGGACUUUUCCUUACAAAAACAAGGAACGUGUUAAGUUGACUUCAAAGAAAAAAGGAACAUGUUAAGUUAAAAAAAAACAAGAAACCUGUUAAGUUAGAAAAAAACAAGGAACGUGUUGUCCAAGGAAAGAUAUGUGUCAAAUCUUACAAAAAAAAAGAAUACACACACGUACGUUCAUGCACUUGGAAAAUAGAAAAAAAGGAACAUCACGUAUGUAUACACUUCGGAAACUCAUUACAUGACCAUGUCUGAUAUACUCCUCUAAUGCUUAAUAUUAGUGCCUAAUAAUUUAUAUUUAAAAUUUAAUUUACUGAUCAAAUAUCCCCACUGUUUAAAUUUUAAUUUGGCACAUUGUUUGGCUAUAGUAUGAACCUGAAUUUCCUCUUAUUAUUAUAUAUCAUGGUAAUAAUCCAAAGGCGACUAAUCUGCACCGGCGCACCGGCGCAAUCAAUUCGGCUGGACACAGCGCGGCCGUUUGAUUAGAUUGCAUUUAACCAUCAGAUCUGGAAUCGUUUUCUUUCCAAUUAAACGGAUUCAACCAAACAGCAGAGGGGAAAACAAAGCAGCGCCGCCGCCAACACUAGCCAUGGACGACCGAUGUAGCAAAACCUUGAAGAACCGCCGCCGGUCGCCACCCUCGCCUCUGGUCGCUGCCCUCGCCGUCGGUCACCGCCGGUCGCCGCCCUCGCCGCCUGCGUUUCUCAUCGGCUUCAUGCAUGCAACAACAUGCACUCGUGGUUGCAGGCUUGCAUCUCCGGCUCCGGGGACAUGGCCGCAUCUCCGGUAGCGCCGGCCGCCGGCCGCAGCACCUGUCGUUGUGGUCGCGCUGUACCUCGCCGUGUGCCCUCCCGAGGCUCUUGCUGGUUCCAACAAAAAACGAUACCUGUUGUAGCAAAAAAGUAUCGCUUCCAGCAAAAAAGCUUACCGCUACAGCCCGCCAUCGUCAUUGUAGCAAAAAUGUUAACCCGAUGUAGCUUCUGUGGUUGCCGACUGCAGCAAAAAAUGACAUGGCUGUAGCAAAACACAAAAGAAAAACACUGGCCGGCCGCUGUGUAUGGUGGUAACAAACCCUAUAGCCGGUGGUAGCGAAAAACUUCAUAGUGUGCUGCAAAAAAAUGUUGUCACCCGUCGUCGAGGUUGCAUCAUCUUCAUGAAUUAUGCCGCAAAAAAACGUUGUCGCCGGUAGUAGCAAAUGAAGCCGCCGGUAGUAGCAAAACAAGACACUGGUUCCAGCCAAAAAAAAAAUCAGCGACAGAACCUUUGGUUGGUUCCAACAAAAAAACUUGUCGGUUGUAACAUCCCUCGCCGCCGGAUGUAGCAUCUCCCGGGGCUGGUUGCAACACUCCAUAAAAAAAGUUGUCUAUGAGCGCAUCCAUGGUGACUGCUGCACCGUCAGCAAUGAGGGGAAGAGGAGGCAAUGAAAAUCAUUCGAGUCAUAGCUCCACAGGACGCGGCUGCAGCAUGGGGAGUCCAAAAAUCUGUCACAAGCAACAUGCGCCGCGCCAUCCUCCUGCGCAGGAGAGAGAAGAAAAAGGAAUAAGAGGAAGAAGAAAGGAAACAGGAGAAAGAAAAAAGAAAGGAUUGGUGGUUGGCUCAGGCAAUUAGUCAAGCGAGGGGCACGCGGGGCCGCAGGACACAGCGCAAUCGAACGAAGCGCGCGCGUCCGGGCGAAGACUCGGCCGGACUGCCGUCUGGAAACGUUUCCCUAAUCCAAAGGCUUUAUCUGAAUGACAAGUCGUCUGGGUUACCGGCUAACUAGAAAAAAGAUAAAUAUGCUAGAGAAUUCCAUAAUAAUUAGAAAUAUCUAGCCUUUAAUUAUGUAAACCAGAAAAUCACAACCGUUGGAUUUACUUUAAAGGUAAAUUUCUAUAAAUUCCCACCAUUGCCAGUAUGUAGAAACAUGUGCUGCUUCAAUUCUCCCAUAAUCACCAAUCAAUCAACAACACAAAACAUACCUCAGUUAAAAAAACUGAACAAAAAAAAGAAAAAAAGAAGAAAGGACAAGAUACACGCAUGUACACGACAGCCUUGGCUUGAAACACAUCAGUAGAUCAAGUGUCCGCCUCCCUUACACGUACGUCCCAUGAGGUUUACUAGCCUACCGCCGCCGCAUCAUGCCAUCCUCUCCUUUCAGCUCCCAUGCUCUCCAGCACCCUCAUUGCGGCGCCACUACUCGCCUAGGGAUAUUGCUGCUCAGACCGUGGAGCUUAACCACAUCAGCAUCAGCACGUAUGGGCCUCAUUAUACUGCAGCACGUAUUGCGCCCCCUUAAGUCCAGGUCUGUUUGCUGGCACAUAUGCUUUGGAAAUAGGCCACUAUGUUUGUACUUCAAAAUUGUUUCUGUAUUCUUGAGUGGUACAUCCUUUUAAGCGCCAGUUUUUUAUGUUAAUUCAUGCUGACAACACUUAACCUAGCCUUUCAUGUUCACGUACUAAAUACAGGAGCAAGUAAAAACAACAGACCACCUAAUUGCUCUGCAUGUACUACAUAGGAAAAUUUGUCAUGUUCUACGAUCGCACCAUCCCACCCUUCUCUCUUGGUAUGGGCGCCAAUUGAGGGAUUGAUAAAACUGAAACGAAGACGUCACAGGGCUGGAAGUACCGCUAGCCUGGUUUGCACUGCAACCUACCCAACGCCAUCAGAAACUAGCAACUGAGUCAGGUGUUGAUCGAUUCUCUCAAAUUGCUCUCAUGUAAGUACUACCCCUUGCAUGUGCGUACAUACCUUUGUUGCAUUCUCAAACAGAUAGAACAUGUUUGAUCGGUGCAUGGCUAUUUUUCAUCACAUGACAUCCAGAUAACAAGCAUGAAAGGACUACAUUGGAGAUCAAAAAAUAUUGGUUCCUGGCUAGAGUACCACUACCUAUGGACUUGUCUCCAUAGAAUUUGUUCCCAAGAUGUUAUUUUAAUUAAUCUCUUUAGCUUUCUUCCAUUGCAAACGGUGAUGUGCAUCAUGGUAUAUACGUGACCAUCUUGCACAUGUAUACACAAGAGGCUCAGAUGGAGGUGCUGGAUUCUGGACGAGGGAAUAUGAAGCAGGAGUGAGCGAAGAGUAAAUAAUGGUGGGAGUACCGAUUGGUGUUAUGAAGAAAAAUGCCAUCCAAAGAUUGAUUAGUGUCAUGGAAGAUUAAUUUCUGAAUGCGAAUAUAUAUGUUACAUUGGUUUGGAUCUUUUUGAGAUAAUUCCACCUAAAUUAGGUUCUUUCUUAUUUCAUAUGUAUACCUUAUUUCAGUAAAAGUUCACAACGAACUUAGUAGGACAAAUAUAAUUUUGUUUGUUCUUUCUGUUGUCCGCCACCAAAGCUCAAUUUGAACUCUCUAGAAAUGGACAAUGAUUUAUGCAUUCUAUAUCUUCUUGAUUGAUUAGCCAUGACAAGGAAAUAAAAGGAUUGACUGAUAUAGCAUAACUUUGGAACGAUUAGAGGUUACUACAAAUAAGAGUAGUGUCUGUUGGAAUUUUGCUAGUAGGCCUUUGGCCCAAAGCCCAACUAAAAUUCUGAAAUUCUCUUGGCUCAUUUAUGCACACAUGUGAGUUGAGUGAGUGAGACUAAAGUUUAGUCCCACCCUGGAAGUUGAGAGAGAGUUGCACCUCUUUAUAAGGUGAGCUCUUCUACCACUUGUAUGAGCAUGAGAAGAGGAGACCUACACGCGCGCUCCUCCUCCACGCUCGCCACGCCUCGUCGCGCCGCGCCGUGCCGCGGGUUGCGGGAUUGAGCCGAGCCGAGGACGUUUUCUAUAUUUUUGCUGCUCGGGAAAAAUUAAUGAGUCAUUAAUUAAUAAUUAAUGGACACAUUAAUUACUGAACCGUUUCCGAUUUUUUUGGAUCGUGACGACUCGGACGUGGGGUUUACUCCCAGGACCUACCCGGCCCGCACUAUAUAGUCAGGAAGACGUCUACCCUAGCCGCCGCCGCUUCGUAUGGUUUCUCACCAUCGUUACAGAUCAUUGCGCCGCCAAGCAAGUUUUCUCCAUCCCUCCUUUCGGCGUGCACCGGGAGAAGGGACAGCAGACCUCCGGAACCCCGCCUCUCGUGAUCCUAUACGGGAGAGGGGCGAUCAGGUUUUUGGGGAGCGCACUCGCAUGACUGCUGGCAGCGACGACUUCGCAAACGACGACUUCUUCCCCGACCUCGGCAACCUCAUCCUCGACGACAUGGGCGACAACGUCAACGCCGGCGGUGCUACACCCACUGCACCGUAUGUUAUUCUCUCCUUCUUGUUCGAGAUCAUGGUAGAAUUCAUGUUUCUAGUAUAUGUGCCCUAGAUGUGAUCUGUUCAUCUACUAUGGUAGUUCGCAUGAUUAGUUUAAUCUCUGUUAUUGCUGUCAUGAUCUAUUUCCUAUUUAUUCGGAUUAAAUCUCGUAGUAAUUUUCUCAUUUUUCCAACAAUCCAAAAACCUGAUUAUAGGAAAUUUACUCCGAGUGGUUUUGCUGCGCAUCUGAAAGCCGCUUGCCUUUAAGGGGGCGCAAUAUAAGAGGUGGCGCACCAGAGCAGUCUACUGGUUUCAGAUCAUGGGCUGCUAUGACGCCACCAAGGGCAAGCCUGAGGGCGAUCUUAAUCCAGCACAGCUGGAAGCUUUCAAGAAGAUCAAUACCCUCUUUAAAGGCACGCUUCUGAGUGUUCUUGAUGACUCCAUUGUAGAUUCGUAUAUGUCGUUUGACAAUGGCAAGAACAUGUGGGCUACGCUCGAGGCCAAGUUUGGUGCCUCGGACGCCGGCAGCGAGUUGUACGUCAUGGAGCAAUUCUAUGACUCCAAGAUGACUGAUGGGCGCCCUGUUGUACAGCAGGCUCAUGAGAUACAGUUGCUCGCAAAAGAACUUGAGUACUUCAAGUGUGUGUUGGCGAACAAAUUUGUUGCCGGAGGCAUCAUUGCCAAGCUUCCACCUUCGUGGAACAAUUUUGCUACUUCCCUGAAACACAAGAGACAGGAGUUUUUCGUUGCGGAUCUCAUUGGUACUCUUGAUGUUGAAGAGAAGGCGAGAGCAAAGGAUACACGUGCUUGAGUUGCUAAGGGAGGUUCUAGUGCCCACAUGGUACAGAAGAAGAACUUCCAGCCCAACAAGUUCAAAAACAACAAGAACAAAACUUAGGGCAAAGGCAAGUUCGAUACAAAGAACAAGCCAUCACAUUCUACCAACUUCAAGAAGAACUCUCAUAAGAAGGGGAAGGGACUUUGCCAUGUCUAUGGUGAUCCUAAUCACUGGGCUCCGAAGUGUCCCAACCGCUUUGAGGAGCGCGAACAUGAGAAGAGCGGCAAGUCUGCUAAUGUUGUCAUCGGUGAUACUGAUAUGAAGGAAUCAGGGUACGGUAUUUUUCCUACCAUCCUUUCAGUAUUCCAAACCCCUGACUGGUUAAUUGACACCGGUGCCAAUGUACAUGUUUGUGCUGAUGCCUCCAUGUUUUCUUCUUACCAGGCCACUGGGACUUCUCCUAUGCUGAUGGGGAACGGGUCACAUGCCAUCGUUCGAGGUGUUGGUACGGUCGAUCUGAAGUUUACUUCGGGGAAGACCGUGCGUCUGAAGAACGUUCAUCAUGUGCCGUCCAUCAAUAAAAAUCUCGUUAGCGGUUCCCGUUUAUGUCGAGAUGGUUUUAAGUUGGUUUUCGAAUCCAAUAAAGUUAUAAUUUCUAAGUAUGGACAAUUUGUUGGAAAAGGCUAUGAGAGCGGAGGCUUGUUUCGCCUGUCUUUGUCAGAUAUUUGCACUAAAGUUAUUAAUAAUGUUUGCCACAACAAUGAGUCUGAUAUUUGGCAUUCACGACUUUGUCACAUUAACUUUGGUUGCAUGACGCGGCUAGCCAAUAUGAAUUUAAUUCCGAAAAUCUCUACUGUCAAAGGAUCUAAGUGCCAAGUAUGUGUGCAAGGUAAGCAACCUCGCAAGUCCCAUAAGACUGCAGAGGCAACAGACUUGGCGCCACUAGAGCUUAUACAUUCUGAUAUUUGUGAGAUGAAUGACGUGUUGACAAAAGGUGGAAAGAGAUACCUCAUGACGUUGAUUGAUGACUCCACUAGAUAUUGUUAUGUGUAUCUUAUGAAAUCAAAAGAUGAGGCUUUGGCUUUCUUCAAAAACUAUAGAGCUGAGGCAGAGAACCAACUUGAUCGAAAAAUUAAACGGCUUAGGUCCGAUCAUGGUGGAGAGUAUUUUUCCAAUGAAUUUGAUCUAUUUUGUGCGGAACAUGGUAUAAUCCAUGAGAGGAUGCCUCCCUACUCACCCCAGUCAGAUGGGGUAGCCGAAAGAAAGAACCAAACUCUAACUGAUAUGGUUAACACCAUGUUAGACACUUCGGGUCUAUCCAAGGAAUGGUGGGGGGAGGCGCUAAUGACUGCGUGUCAUGUCCUAAACCGAGUUCCCACAAAGCAUAAGACCAUGACUCCAUUUGAGGAAUGUUAAAGGAAAAGGUUGAAACUCUCUUACCUACGUACUUGGGGUUGUUUGGCGAAAGUCAAUAUACCAAUUCCCAAGAAGCGCAAGCUUGGACCAAAAAUCGUGGGUUGUGUUCUUCUUGGCUAUGCUUUUCAUAGCAUCGGCUAUAGAUUUUUGAUAAUAAAAUCUGAGGUAUCCGACAUGCAUGUUGGUACGAUUAUGGAGUCGAAUGAUGCAACUUUUUUUGAGGACAUAUUUCCUAUGAAGGAUAUGUCGAGUUCAUCAAAUCAGGAGACACCUACUCCAUCUAGUGAGGAAUUCAUUGUAAUUCCUGAACCCACCAUUGCGAUGGAACACAUUGAGAAUCCUGUUGAGGGUGACAAUGGAACUCUUGUGAGGAGUAAGAGACAUAGGACUACAAAGUCCUUUGGUGAUGAUUUCAUUGUGUACCUCGUGGAUGACACACCCAGGACUAUUUCAGAAGCCUGUGCAUCUCUUGAUGCUGACUACUGGAAGGAAGCUGUACGUAGCGAGAUGGAUUCCAUCUUAGGUAACGGAACCUGGGAGAUCACUGACCGUCCUUAUGGGUGAAAACCUGUAGGAUGUAAGUGGGUGUUCAAGAAGAAGCUUAGACCUGAUGGUACGAUUGAAAUGUACAAGGCACGGCUUGUGGCCAAGGGUUAUACCCUGAAAGAAGGUGUAGACUUCUUUGAUACUUACUCACCCGUGGCUAGACUGACCACAAUUGGGUGCUACUAUCACUUGUUGCCUCACAUGGUCUUCUCGUUCAUCAAAUGGACGUUAAGAACGCUUUCCUCAAUGGAGAGUUGAAGGAGGAAAUUUACAUGGAUCAGCCAGAUGGUUUUGUAGUACCUGGUUAGUAAGGAAAGGUGUGCAAGUUAUUAAAGUAUUUAUAUGGCCUUAAACAAGCUCCUAAAGAGUGGCAUGAGUAGUUUGAAAGAACAUUAACUGCUACCGGCUUUGUAGUAAACGAUGGUGACAAGUGCGUGUACUAUCGCUAUGGUGGGGGCGAAGGAGUUAUUCUUUGUUUGUAUGUCGACGACAUAUUGAUCUUUCGAACCAAACUUGAUUUAAUCAAGGAGGUUAAGGAUUUCUUAUCUCGCUGUUUUGAGAUGAAGGAUCUAGGAGUAGCUGAUGUUAUCUUAAACAUCAAGCUGUUGAGAGAUGAGAAUGGUGGGAUCACACUGCUUCAGUCACACUAUGUGGAAAAGGUCUUGAAUCGUUUUGGGUAUAGCGACUGCACACCUUCUCCAACCCCAUAUGAUGCUAGCAUGUUGCAUCGAAAGAAUCGACGGAUUGCUAGAGAUCAACUGAGGUAUUCUCAUAUUAUUGGCUCGCUUAUGUAUUUGGCGAGUGCCACGAGGCCAAACAUCUCGUUUGCUGUUAGCAAGCUGAGUCGGUUUGUGUCAAAACCAGGAGAUGAUCAUUGGCAUGCACUUGAGAGAGUUAUGUGCUAUUUGAAAGGCACCGCGAGCUAUGGGAUUCACUACACCGGGUAUCCAAGAGUACUGGAGGGUUAUAGUGACUCAAACUGGAUAUCUGAUGCUAAUGAGAUUAAGGCCACAAGUGGUUAUGUUUUUACACUUGGUGGUGGCGCUGUUUCUUGGAAGUCCUGCAAGCAGACCAUCUUAAUGAGGUCAACUAUGGAAGCAGAACUCACAACAUUAGAAACUGCCACUGUUCAAGCAGUGUGGCUUCAUGAGCUCUUGAUGGACUUUCCUAUGAUUGAAGAACCAAUACCCCCUAUCCCAAUGAACUGUGAUAAUCAAACUAUGAUCGUCAAGAUAAAUAGUUCUAAGGACAAUAUGAAGUCCUCAAGGCAUGUGAAGAGGAGACUGAAAUCUGUCAGAAAAUUGAGGAACUCCGGAGUUAUUACGUUGGAUUAUAUCCAAACGUCAAAAAAAUUGGCAGAUCCCUUCACAAAGGGUCUAUCACGUAAUGUGAUAGAUAAUGCAUCGAUGGAGAUGGGUCUGAGACCCACCGCAUGAGUUGUCCAUAGUGGUAACCCACUCUUUGUGAUCGGAUAUCCCGUGAAGUAUAAGUGGGAGACAAGCUGUUGGUCAGCUGGGAGGAGAGUAUCCCUAUAUUACCUGUCCCACUCCAUGAAGAUGCAAUACUCUCCUAAUCUGCAUGGCAGGUUGAUACUUAUCUUAAUGUGUUCCAAGUGGCUUAUUCGGGUAAGCAGAGAUGUUGUCCUGCAGAACAUCUUCUGAGGAACACACCUAUAUGAAUUUGACUGUUAACGUCGCAGUCUGUGAGAAUUGGGUGUUCUCUAAUAAAUUCAUGAAAAGGCCCUGGAGUAUGACGUAUACGCUCCACCCGCAGGGAAGCCUUGCGGCAGCCCAGUAUCGGUCAAGAAUUUGUGUGAAACUAGUUGCGCAGAAAAUUUGUAGUUCAAGGCAUAGUCCACUAUUCAAGUUGUGAUCUAGUGUAGCAUAAAUCUCUAAGUGGAAGUUCAACUUCACAGUCUCCACUAAGCCCCGGUAUAUAAACAAUGUUUUGGAACUAAAUGAUGAGAUGUGCCAAUGAGACUUUGUGGGGGAUUGUUGGAAUUUUGCUAGUAGGCCUUUGGCCCAAAGCCCAACUAAAAUUCUGAAAUUGUCUUGGCCCAUUCAUGCACACAUGUGAGUGGAGUGAGUGAGACUAAAGUUUAGUCCCACCCCGGAAGUUGAGAGAGAGCACCUCUUUAUAAGGUGAGCUCUUCUACCACUUGUAUGAGCAUGAGAAUAGGAGACCUACACACGCGCUCCUCCUCCUCGCUCGCCACGCCACCCCUCGUCACGACGCGCCGCGGGUUGCGGGAUUGAGCCGAGCCGAGGACAGAGCUAUGCACAUUGUCUAUUUUUUGCUACCCGAAAAAAUUAAUGAGUCAUUAAUUAAUAAUUAAUGGACACGUUAAUUACUAAACCGUUUUCGAUUCUUUUGGAUCAUGAAGACUCGGACAUGGGGUUUACUCCCACGACCUACCGGGCCCGCAUUAUAUAGUCCGGCAGACGUCUACCCUAGCUGCCGCCGCUUCAUAUGGUUUCUUACCACCGUUCCAGAUCAUUGCGCCGCCAAGCAAGUCUUCUCCAUCCGUCCCUUCGGCGUGCAUCGGGAGAAGGGACAACAGGCCUCCGGAACCCCGCCUCUCGUGAUCCUGUACGGGAGAGGGGCGAUCAGGUUUUUGGGGAGCGCACUCGCGCGACUGCUGGCAGCGACGACUUCGCGAAUGACGACUUUUUCCCUGACCUCGGCAACCUCAUCCUCGACGACAUGGGCGACAACGUCAACGCCGGCGGUGCUGCACCCGCUGCACCUUAUGUUAUUCUAUCCUUCUUGUUCGAGAUCAUGGUAGAAUUCACGUUUCUAGUAUAUGCCCUAGAUGUGAUCUGUUCAUCUACUAUGCUAGUUCGCAUGAUUAGUUUAAUAUCUGCUAUUGCUGUCAUGAUCUAUUUCCUAUUUAUUCGGAUUAAAUCUCGUAGUAAUUUGCUCAUUUUUCCAAUAGUACCAUCUAAUAGAUGAUGUAAAUCUCCUCUAGUUUGACGUUGUUGAGCUAAUUUACAAAAAAAACCUCAUCAUUAUUGGACGUCCUUAACAGCUCAAGAACAAGUUGGGGUCGAACUAAUGGAUUUUACACUUUUACAUUAAAGGUUUAGCUAAAGCUAGCAGGUGUUUUUAAACCUGAAUUUUUUUCCUCCUGAAUUUCUUUGUAUUUUCUUAUUGACACUAUUUAUACAAUCAUCUGACAAAGAUUAGCUAAAGCUGUUUGUAGAUACGUUGAAACCUGAAAAGCUUCUUUGGUUAUCCUUUUAAUAGUUCUACGUUUAUUUUCUCAUAGGUCAUAAUUCUUAUGUAAUACCAAGAUGCAUUGUGGUAGUGUACAUGUGUUAAAUUCAGGUUGUUAUUCACAAUUUGCGACAAAAUUUAGCUCACGCUACAUUCAAAUAUGUUGAAAUGUGAAAGCUUUUUUUUCUUCUCCUUUCUACACCUUGCAUCGGAUUGCAUCCCUUUAGUUAUCCAACAUUUUGUACAACAUGUAGAGAUUAGGAAGUUCAUCAUAGUUUGUUUAUUUCGGUGCUAAUAAAUGUAUGAAAUCUGCAUUUCCAAGCUACUAGGACAAGUAAAAAAUAAUAAUUUUACUAUAGGAUUCAAAAACAGCAGUUCUGAAGUGCACUUUAUUUAUUUUUGAAAGUGAUCACAUUUUGUUUCAUUUUUCUAUAGACAAAUCUACUAAUACAUACUCACGAUAAAACUAUAAAAGUUCUAGUCCGCACAUUGGGCGGGCCACCCGGCUAGUUAGUCUAAAGAUAACAAAAUGAGUCUGGAAUUUGAAUUAAAUUGAAGUAUUUUCUUGGACUUUCAAAUUGAGUUUUAUUAAAGUAGUAAGGACUAUCCACAUCCUUGGCUUGCCCCUGAUCAAUUAUUUCCAGAGAAGCAUUCAAUUCAUCAAUCAAUUACAUUGAUUUUAGUGGCUGGUACUUCUCCUCAACAUCAGUAUAUUCACCGUGGCCACUCCAAAUCGGCAAGAAUGAGGUACCAGUGCUCUGGAGCAGUGCAAGCUAAUUGCUUCUCAUCUGAAGGGGUGCGGCCGCAGGAGAGGUAUUUCUGGUGGGCCAAGGGACUAAGAAGCGACUGUGGCAGCGGUAUAGACGCCCGCAAAGCCCCAUAAUUUGUUUUUGGUUUACAGGAAAAAUGCACAUCCAUACCAGCCUGGGGAAUAUAGGACCGUAUUGGAUGGAAAACCAUGUCCGGAUGGUUGCGAGCGGUUUAAGGGUUAGCUUUUGUAACGCCCGGUUAGUUAUGCUAUAGCAAUUCCCUGCUAAUGAUGUCACGUUACCACGAUUACUGUUGUUAACCUCACAAUGAUUCAAUCCCCUUCAAAUUGAAAUUUAAAAUAAAGGCAAACAUCAAAAGUUUUCAAAUAUUAAAACUAAAAUCUUUGAGAGGUGACAAAUAAUGCAUAAGUAAUUAUGGUGGAGAAACCACACUUUAAUCAAAUGUUUAAAUACUCUAAAAUGAAAAAAAACAGUUGCUUAAACUAUUAUUUAAAUGCUUUUAAAAUAGUAAAAAUCUUCUAACUAAAUUAUUUGGGUACCAAACUUUUGGUGGCAGUGGUAUAUUUAGUACAACUAAUUUAGAUGCUAAUUAUAUAAAAAGGAAAAGCAAAAGGGGGCAACCCCUCGCUGGGCCUCGGCCUAGCUGCCACUAGGCUAGCUAGGCUGGCCCCGCCGCCUCCCUUAACCCCCCCCCCCCACUCCCCAUCGAACCCAAGCCCGAUCGCCCCACUUCCCCCANNNNNNNNNNNNNNNNNNNNNNNNNNNNNNNNNNNNNNNNNNNNNNNNNNNNNNNNNNNNNNNNNNNNNNNNNNNNNNNNNNNNNNNNNNNNNNNNNNNNNNNNNNNNNNNNNNNNNNNNNNNNNNNNNNNNNNNNNNNNNNNNNNNNNNNNNNNNNNNNNNNNNNNNNNNNNNNNNNNNNNNNNNNNNNNNNNNNNNNNNNNNNNNNNNNNNNNNNNNNNNNNNNNNNNNNNNNNNNNNNNNNNNNNNNNNNNNNNNNNNNNNNNNNNNNNUUGAUCCCAUCUGGAUCGGGGAGGGUAAUGCCCCAAUCGACCCCGUUGCCGUCGCGGGAUUGCCCGCCGACGUCGCCAGGCCUCCUCCCCGCCACCCGUCUCCGGCUCGCCUCCCCUCUCGCUCCUCUUCCCCGACCCGAUCUGGAUCGUGAACGAGCAAUGAGCUCGAAGCCCCCUUCACCGGCGCCAUCACCGUGCGCCACCACCACCGCCUGAAGACCUCACCGUCGCCGAACCUUGCGUCGCCUCCUCGUAUCCCUCCCCUACUCGCGUCCUCAAGCCAGGCCGAGCCCCUUCUCGGCAACGCCGUGAGACGCCCCCGUCUCCCUCCUCUUUCCACUGCGUUCACCGCGCCGCCCGCCGUGCCCCUCGCCGUGCGCACGCCCACCACCGCACCAGCCCCCGCUCCGCGCACGACCCUACCCGCGUCCGCGCCAUGAUCCCCUUUUCCACCCUACCUUCCUGCGCUCGCCGCGGUCCUGAUGCUCCCCCGCGCCCUCUUUUGGGGGCGCCGACUGCCCCUGUCCCACUGCUCGCCGCCGUGCCUCGCCAUCGCUCUACUGCUAAGUUAUUGCUGCGCUGCGGCCGUCGCCUCUUCCCGCUGCUCCGCCAGCGCCGAAGCUCCCGAUUGGCUCCACCACUUCUCACGUUAAACCGCCGGCCUAAAUGGCCUAACCCCCGGCUAAUGAACCCCCACUAUCCCACUGACACCGGGACCCACAUUCCCUAAUUAACCAUUUAAUAAAUUAAAACUCUUAAAUUAACAUUAGUGUAUGACAUGUGCGUCCCCUAUUAAUUUAUAAUUUUACUGCUAGUUUUAUUAGUUUCUGUUUUUUCUGCAUAUUUCUUUUGUAUUUGAACAGGCUUUAUAUAAUAAUAUUUAGCGUCUCAUACACAUAUAAAUGUAAUUAUAGCAUAUACAUACAAAUAGUCUCAUCAAAUCAUGUCAUCACCAUAAUCAUCAUCCAUCACAAAGUGAUCUCUCGUCAUCAUCUCGAAAAUAGCAAUACAAGUCUCGAUUACUUGCAACUACAUCGUCAUCCAUCUAAACAAUGAUAUACGCGAGAAGCGCUAUCACUAUGAGUGAGAGCGGAACUAUGCAGUACAUGAGUUUGUAUCCCUCUCUCACAUUAGCGUGAACCUAAACUAACUACUGGCUGUUGCUCGGAAACCGGAAACCGGUACACCUGGGCCUGACACUCCGGCCACUCGUCGUAUACUCCUGGCGUAGCACUUCUUCGCCAUCGAUGAUCUAUAAACCUACAUCGUCAGAUGAGUCGAUGAUAUGCAACAUAUAUAGUUGAGCAACAGAAAGAGACAGACUUGGCAAAAAUAGAAGCAACAUAUCAUAAGCAUAAAUAACAAAGUUCAUCGUACGCAAAAUGCCCUAACUAGAGUGAUCUUCGCUAGUCGAGGAGGACGGUUUAAUUACAUCACAAAUAAUUUUUCGUCGUGCAUAACUCAAAGUUCCGUCAUACAGAAAGUAUGAACUAAAUGGACACAUUGUCAUAUUUCAAAAAUCACUCCCACAUGUCGUGCCAUCCAUCCAAGUCAAGGAGAUAGUGCCCGAGCUUAGUGAAAGGCUUUAGGUCGAGACGCUGAGCGGCUAUGCGUGUUCGGACGUCUUCCCACGACAUUUGUCCUUCUUCAUAGAACAUCCCUGUUUUUUCGACGACCUCCUUCAUCACUGGAAGAAAAAGGGCCUGUUGUCCCGGUUCUGGAACCGGGACUAAAGGGUCGGUACUAAUGCCCUGUCCCUUUAGUCCCGGUUCAAUCCAGAACCAGGACAGUUGGGCCUCCACGUGGCCUGUGCGCGGAGCCUAGGCGGGAGACCCUUUGGUCCAAUAAGCAUCCACGCAUCAGCAUUUAUGUGGUUGGGGUUUUUGUUUUUUUUGAAGGGGGGGGCAUUGGGGGUUUUGGGGGGUUAAUUUUGGUGUUUCAUAUAUUGUGUUAGCUAGCUAUAAUUAAUAGAGAGAAUUGUCCUCUCUUAUGUCCGUGCUUGCUCGACGCUACGUACUAUACAUACGUAUAGAGAGGACUAGACACGGUAGCUAGCUAGUAAGCAAACGAAGGAAAUAGAAGAUCGUCAUGAACAUAUAUGCAUACAGAGAGAAGUAAUAUCGACCACCUCUCCUUCUCCGAGAGAUUGGUCGAACAACAAGUUCUCAUAUAUCUAUCCGACACUACCGGCUACAUAUAUACAAUAAUUAUCUCUUACAAAUAUAAUCAUACGGAUUCAGGGUCCACAUAGUAUUCUCUGUCUUCAAGGAUCACGUGGUCAAGAAAGAAUGCCGCCAAUUCCUCUUGAAUUGCUCGCAUGCGAGCUGGUGCUAGGAGUUCAUCCCGCUUCCGAAACAUCUAAUUUAAAGAAGGGGGUUAAUACAUAUAUACAUAUAUAUAUAUAUAUAUAUAUAUAUAUAUAUAUAUAUAUAUAUAUAUGAAUGAAUGAAACUCAACACGAAUGAUGGUAAUAAAAUAAAAUUGUGAAUGUUGUUAUUUACGUACUUCAUAUUGUUCGUCAGUGUAGCCCCGCUCAUAGGUCGUGUGGCGGAUGGACUCGCAAACGUAGUAUCCACAGAAAUCAUUCCUUUGUUCCUGCCACAACCACUUUAUAAGAAAUAGAGGUCAAUCAAACUGAUAAGCAAGAAUGCCAAAUGGUAUUGAUGAAACUUGUCAGGACCCCGAUUCCAAGCCACAUCGAUCUAGCCGGUAACACCUCAUAUCACUUUGCGGCCUCACGCACGAUAUUCCACGGGUGUCGCCUUACCAUGGCCCGGGACCGUUUGCGCCUUUUGGCUCACGUAUAUGAUAGUGUUGCUAGCAUCCAUAUGACAGAGAACCCGGGCCGACAUGGCUAGUCGUGAACCCAAAGUGGCACAGACCUAUGGAGACAGGCAUACAUGAAUCACAUCGAGCAUGUCGGUCAUCAGUGUGUGAUUCCGGGCUGUAGCACUGGGCUAACAGGACUCCGGGGAACCCGGGCUGUAGCAGGCUAGGCAGGACUCCGGAAGUCACCGCGUGACAUUUACCCGAAGGGACAGACAUAGGAACGAAGUGAAUCACAUGCCGGCAAGUCAAGUGUCCUGAGCAGUAGUACUGGGCUAGCAGGACUCCGGUGAACCGGGCUGUAGCGGACUACUAUGGCUCGAGGAACACUAGACUACAUUUCCCCAUAAGAAAGGCUGCCAAGGAUAAACAACUAGAUUGUCGGAUCCCACUCAUACCAAGCAUUUCAAUCAUACACACAAUAUGCCCGAUAUGAGUACAUACAACAUGGCAUCACAACAAAACUCUACAACUCAAGUACUUUAUUUAAAGGCUCUAGAGAGCCAUACAUAACAUGUUCAUACAGAUAGGGGUCACAUGACCCGACACUCAAGUCAUACAAUCAUACAAGCACAUGCGGAAGCAACCGGUCUGAGUACAGACACUAGAAAGAAAGAAGGCUCCUCGAGGCCUGUCUAUCUACAUAGGGCCCUCCAUGGCCAGGAUCACCACCUGGGUGGCUAGUCACUCGUCGAUGUCAAGGUCUACAUAGAACCCAUCGAAGGGGGCUGUGUUGUCGUCUGAAAACAGUAAUUAAGCAAACAUGAGUACAAAGGUACUCAGCAAGUCUUACAAAAGAACCUACUAUACAUGCUUAUUCUCAAGAAGGUGGUGGGGAUAUUGCAGCAAGCCAGUUUUCACUCUUGGCUAAACUAUCCUACAGAACUUCUCUAGUAAAAUAGUUUUCGCACACGAGUCCACUACUCACCAACACAAUACUCCACCGGGGAUCCUCCCUCGUCAUCCUAUGAGAGGGCCAUCCUCGGUACUCACACUUAUCUUGACUAUUUUAGUAGUAUCCAUUUAAUUGUCUAUGAACUGUAUAGGCAACCAAGUAGUCCUUUACCGCGGACGCGGCUAUUCGAAUAGUUUUAUACCCUGCAGGGGUGUACUUCGUCAUACAUGCUUUCACCACUUAUCGUCGUUUACACGACAUGUACUCGGCAACCUUCAAGCGAAAGCCCAGCGAGGGUGUCGGCCACGGCCUACCUAAACACUUAAGUCUCUAGUCCAGGUUUAUCGCCUAUCUAGGUUCCAUCCGCAGGGAGUCCGGGCGAGGUUUCCACAUACGGCCCCGAACGAUGUGAACAGGGUCCCGAGACGCCAAACGGGCGCCCGGCAUACCCGGCCAUGGUGUAUCUACCGCAACAUAGCCCACCCUUAGGGUCAGCGCUACGCACGGCCGCCAACACAUAACCUACAAACACCAGAAACUAUUUGCAACUCCUAGACAGAGUACAAGGGUGAUUAAGAAGCCGAGAGGGUCAAUUAAGGAUCCCAAUGCAUGGUAGUAGCUGAAUCUUAAAUCACACAUACCGAUCUCAGUUCUUAGGGACGGUCUCAAUGAAACAACCCACCAUGUACUCCUACAUGGCCUCUCAUCGAUACCUUUACCAAAACAUGUUCAACACAUUCCUCAUAUUACCGACAUAAUCAUAUCACCCUAGCCCAUCACCCAGAUGAACCAGACCUGACACAACUAUAAGCAUAGCAGGCAUAGCAAGGUAGGAAUCACAUACAUGGCUCAAUCAACUCCUACACAUGCUAGUGGGUUUCAUCUAGUUACUGUGGCAAUGACAGGUCAUGCAGAGGAUAAGGGUUCAACUAUCGUAGCACACAGCAGUUUGAAUCACAUUGUCUUAAUGCAGUAAACAAGAGCAGAGGCAAGAACAUGGGUUGUAUCGGAAUGAUCAAUGGGUUGCUUGACUGAUGGAGUGGUAGUGGGAUACUGCCCUUCAGUUGGAUACUCAUGAAUAUCCUCGGAGGCAGAACCUACCACGAAGAACACAUCGGAACACAAUCAACACAUGAUGAUAUGCAACAAUAUGAUGCAUGCUAUGACAUGGCAAUAUGAAUGUGUCUUGGCCUAAUGCAAGCUAAAAUAGAAAGGGAUGAACUCAUUUGAAUCAAAGAUUCAAAUAUUAGCUCAUUAAACAUGGCCUUAGUAGUGCAUUUCCUUAUUCUGCUUAAACAGCAAGGUAAACUUGUUUUUUCAUGCUUGAAACCAUUACAGAUGGAUAUAUUGAAUUUUUCUGAUAAUUUUUCAUAUAUAAAUUAUUUCAUUUGGAGUUACGGUUGAAUUUCUAUGAUUUUUAGAAGUUUCAAACAUUUUCUGGAAUUUCUUGAAUAAAAAUAAAUCCAGAAAAUGCAUUACUGCGUCAGCAUUGCAUCAUGCUGACCUCCGCAGGUCAAAGGCACCAGCCUAGGUCAAACCUGACUGGUGGGCCCCUUCUGUCAGUCUCUCAGUUAAAUAACAGGAUUAGAUUAACACUAAUUAGCUGUCAGUGGGGCCUGGGCCCACAUGUCACUGACUGAUUAAAAUAAAAUUAGUUAAAACUAAUCCUAGAUUAGUUAGCAAACCGGCCCCACCUGUCAUAGACUUAGGGGGGGUCUACCUGGGCCCACCCAGGGUCAAACUGGGUCAAACUCGCCGGCGCAGCUCGGAAAACGCCUACAGGGCACGAGCGAGGCCGUUCUUGGGCUCAUUGGAGAGCUCUUGCAGUCGCGCAUCUAGUGGCGGUGGUGGCCGGAGACGACGACGGCGAGCUCCAAGGCGGCGGCCGGAGUUCGGCCAUGUGCGGGGUGUCGGCUGUGGCGUGCAAACGUGGAAACUGAGGCACUAGCGAGGCACUACGCGAUGCGGCAAGCACGUUGCAUAGCACGGGAUAAUCAAAUGGUUGCCGGAGCGGCACCGGUGACAAGCUCGAGCGGAGACGAGCUUCGGCCAUGGUGGAACUAUGGCCUAGAGGGUGCAAACGCGUGGAAAAGAAGAGGGGAAAGGUGGCGGAGCUCACAGGGAGGUCGAUGAGCAGCUCAGUGGGCUCGGGGGCGACAGAAGUGAGGCGAAUCGAUGAGCAGCGUCCGGCGGGUACCGAGGUUGAAGACGAUCCGAUGGCGGCGAUGCAGGGCCUCCGGCGAUGCGUGGCUCGGUGGGAAGGGCGAGGGGGUGACGGAGGGCGCGACUACGGCGGUGAGACGGCGACGGGUGCGUCGGCCAUCGCGGGAGAGGGAGAGGGAGAUGAGUGGGAGAGUGAGAGAGGAUGAGAGGGGGACGUGGGGGUCGCGUGGCAUUCCCUGGACGUCUCCCGGCAUCGGCGGAAGCAGGAGGUGGCCGGCGUGUGGCCGCGGGCGCCGGCCACGCGCUCUGCGUCCUUCUGGCGCGAGGAGGACGACGACUGGCAGCGCCAGUAGGCUGGGCCGAGCCAGGUGGGCUGGCCAGCACAGGUAAGGCUCAGGUGGGCUUCUCCCUCUUUUUUUUAAUUUGUUUCUGUUUUCUAUUUAACUGUAAAUGUUGGGCUUUAUUUAAAAUACUAAAACAUUUCCAAAAAUCCUGAAAAUAAUUGUGGGCUCUGUUUGGAUUAUUUCCAAUAGCAAACAUUUAUUUGCAGAAUUAUUUGAGCAUUUAAAUGCCCAAAUUCAAAUACUUAUGAUUUAAAUCAAUGACCUUCUGUUGACCUAGAAAAGUUGUGCACCAAUUUUGCCAGAGGUUCUAACCCAAGACAAAGAGGGUGAACUUUUUAGAAGGGCAUUUCAGGUUCAUUGAAAAUAAUUUUAGUAAUCCCUAGUUGUUUCCAGGGGGGUGUUGGGGGUUUCUGCCUUCCCCAAUUCAAAUUUAAGAGGAAUUUAAACAUGAUGCACAUUCUAAUGCUUGAACUAGCUAGGGUGUGACAACUCACCCCCACUCAAAAGAAUCUCGUCCCGAGAUUUAGGAUCCUCUGGAAAGAAGGUGGGGUACUCGAGUCGAAGACGAUCCUCCCUUUCCCAAGUGGCUUCUUUCUCGGAAUGGUGUGUCCAUUGAACCUUGAGAAACUUGAUAUUAUGACGUCGAGUGGUACACUCGGCUUGAUCAAGGAUACGAACGGGAUAUUCCCGAUAAGAGAGGUUAUCUUGUAGAUCAAGCAUUUCGUGGUCCACUCCACGGAUAGGAUCCGCGAAGCAACGCCUGAGUUGUGAAACGUGGAAGACAUCAUGAACUCUGGAAAGAUGCGGAGGUAGUUCCAAUUGGUAGGCAACUUCUCCUCGUUUGGCAAGAAUGCGAAAGGGUCCAAUGUAACGAGGAGCCAAUUUGCCUUUGAUACCGAAAUGAUGGGUUCCUUUUAAUGGGGUAACCCGAAGGUAAGCCUUCUCGUCGAUUCAUAAGUCAUAGGCUUAUGUUUACGAUCAUAUUGACUCUUUUGACGAGAUUGGGCUGUUUUCAAUUUCUCACGAAUAACGCGAACCUGCUCUUCCGCUUCCUGAAUCAUAUCCGGGCCAAAGAGUUGUCUUUCCCCGGUUUCUGACCAGUUAAGAGGCGUUCGACAUUUUCGUCCAUAGAGAACUUCGAAAGGAGCUUUGCCCAAGCUAGCUUGAUAACUAUUGUUAUAAGCAAACUAUGCGAAUGGGAAGCAUUUCUCCCAACUCAUUCCGAAUGAGAUAACAGAAGCUCGGAGCAUAUCUUCUAGAAUUUGAUUGACUCGCUCUACUUGACCACUUGAUUGAGGAUGGAAGGCGGUACUAAAAGAGAGACGAGUUCCCAUAGCAUUUUGGAAACUUUCCCAAAAUCGAGAGGUGAAGAGACUCCCACGGUCUGAGUUAAUUUCCAAUGGGACACCAUGGAGAGACACUAUUCGGGAGAUGUAUAAAUCGGCUAGCUGGCUAGCAGUGAUACUCGCACGAACAGGUAGGAAAUGGGCUACUUUGGAAAGACGGUCGAUCACGACGAAGAUGGCAUUAUUCCCUCUCUUGUUCCUGGGAAACCCAGUAAUGAAAUCCAUACUGAUUUUAUCCCAUUUCCAUUCAGGAAUAGCCAAAGGUUGAAGGGUGCCAGCAGGCCGUUGAUGCCCUGCUUUAACACGAUGACAGACGUCGCAGCUAGCAAUGUAUCGAGCGAUUUCUCUCUUCAUCCUAGUACAUCAAAACCUCUGGCGUAGGUCUUGAUACAUUUUAUUGCUACCGGGAUGAAUGGUGAGAGGGGAUUCAUGAGCUUCCUUAAGGAUCAAUUGGCGUAGAUGUUGUUUCUUGGGAACCACCAAACGGUUCUCAAAGAAGACAGCACCCCGCUUAUCCAUGGAAAAACAUUUAGCAACUCCGCUAGCAAUGUUUUCCUUAAUCCGGGAUAUGCCCUUAUCAUACCGCUGGGCAGUUAUGAUCUGAUCCAUAAGGUUAGGUUUCGCCACCAGGGUGGAUAGGAAUCCUCGAGGAACAAUGUGAAGAUUAAGCUUACGGAAUUCCUCAUGGAGAAGUGGUUGACUUUGUUGUAACAUCAGGUUGUUACAAUAGGAUUUACGGCGUAGUGCAGCAGCCAUGACAUUGGCUUUGCCCGGUGUGUAGGUUAUUCCUAAGUCGUAAUCCGAGAUCAACUCAACCCAACGUCUUUGCCUGAGAUUCAAAUCUGGUUGGGUGAAGAUAUAUUUCAAGCUUUGGUGAUCGGUGAAGAUCUCGCAACGAUUAAGUGCAUGGACUACAGCUGCCAGCUCUAGAUCAUGUGUGGGAUAAUUUUCCUCAUGUGGGUGUAAUUGCCGUGAAGCGUAGGCAAUUACCUGACGAUCUUGCAUGAGUAUGCAACCUAGUCCUUGUCGCGAGGCGUCACAAUAGAUAAUAAAGUCCUUGGAUAAAUCAGGUGGUACCAGUACGGGAGCAGAUGUCAGGCGUCUUUUCAGUUCCUAAAAGCUGAACUCGCACUGUGGAGUCUACUCGAACUUUUUAUCUUUCUUGAGGAGUUUAGUUAGAGGUUUAGCAACCUUGGAGAAAUUCUCGACGAAGCGGCGGCAAUAGCUCGCUAAGCCAAGGAAGCUCCAAACUUGCUUGACCGUCUCAGGUGGAGUCUAAUCAAGGACGGCUUGAACUCGCUCGGGAUUGACGGCAAUACCCUUACCAGAGAUUACAUGGCCUAGAUAGGUUACUUCUGGCAACCAAAAUUCACACUUGGAGAAUUUGGCAUAAAGGCGAUGCUCUCGAAGUUUCAUCAAUACCAGCCUUAGAUGUUCGGCAUGUUCCUCUUCAUUCUUGGAGUAGAUUAGUAUGUCAUUGAGGUAUACUACGAUGAAUUUAUCCAAGUACUCCAUGAAAACCGAGUUCAUUAGCCGGGAGAAGGUAGCCGGGGCAUUGGUUAAACCGAAGGACAUAACGGUGUACUCGUAUUGGCCAUAACGAGUAACAAAGGCCGUUUUGGGAAUGUCCCCGUUUCUGAUUUAGAUUUGAUGGUAGCCCAACCUCAAAUCCAUCUUGGAAAAGACUGAGGAUCCAGCAAACUAAUCAUACAGAUCAUUGAUCCUGGGAAGUGGGUAUUUGUUCUUGAUGGUGACCAAGUUGAUAGGUCGGUAAUCCACAACCAUUCGAUCUGUUCCAUCCUUCUUGACGAAGAGGACGGGGCAAGCCCAAGGAGAGGAACUAGGACGGAUGAAACCCUUUUUCAAGGACUCAUCGAGUUGGUUCUCAAGCUCGGCUAGUUCUAAGGGUGCCAUCUUGUAGGGUCUUCUAGAAAUUAGAAUGGUUCCUGGAACAAGGUCUAUCACAAACUCGACAUCCCUGUCAGGUGGAACACCUGGCAGUUCUUCUGGAAAGGCAUCCGGAAAGUCUCGGACUACCGGAACAUCCUCAAGGUCUGGAAGGGGGUUGGCAUUUAGGGAGUAAAGUUGGCACUUGGCCACUCGAGUUAAGACAUUAACUGUCUUGCCCGAUGGGUGAGUAAGUUGAACGGUUCUAGUGGCACAGUCAAUCUUAGCAUAAUGAGCUGACAUCCAGUCCAUACCUAAGAUGAUGUUUAUGUCCGAGGACUUGAGAGCUAUUAAGGAUGCAAGGAAGACAAGUCUAUCGACAAGAAUUUCGUUCCCAUGGCUUACUCUAGAAGUUUGCCAUCUAGAGCCAGGGGUUUGAAUUUCCAUGGUAGAGGGCAUGUCACAGAAUGUCGUGUUGUGCAAUCGAGCAUAGUUCUCGGAUAUGAAUGAAUGAUAUGCUCCAGUAUCGAAAAGAACAGAUGCCGGAUGGCAGUUAACAAGGAGCGUACCAAGGACGACGUUGGGAUCCUCAUGAGCCUCCUCGGCUGAAACAUAGUUGACAUGGCCACGUGCAGUGGUGGCUGGCUUAGCGUAGAAUGUUUUUCCCGCGGGCUUACCACGGCCAACGGACUUUCCAGUUUGAUUGGGGUUGUUGUUCUGGGGACACUCUCGGCUAUAGUGACCCGGCUCUCCACACUUAAAGCAUGUCACCACAUUGGGGCGUGGAGCAGCAUUAGCAGCGGGGCCACCAUAGGGCUUGGGCGGUGCAAAUUGCUGGUUGGGACGUGGUGCCUCAAAGGAUGGCCUCGGGAUGAACCUGGGUGGCAGUGCCGUGCUUGGAAUCCACACCCGGCGCUUCUGAGCUCCAGAGCCGAUGAAGAGCCAAAAUCACGGGAGUGCUUGCGUGAAGUGUCAUAAUCAGUCUGGCCUUUCUCAGCACUGAUGGCUUUAUGGACCAACUUCUAAAAGGAGGUGCACUUGUGCAGACGAAGACCACGGUGAAGCUCAGGGCUAAGUCCCUUGCGGAACCUUGCCUGCUUCUUAGCAUCAGUAGAUACCUCUUCAGGGGCAUAACGUGCCAGAUUCCCAAAUUCACGACUGUAAGCAUCCACAGUCAGUCUUCCUUGGGUGAAGUUGCAGAACUCCUCCCUCUUGCGAUCCAUGAGACCUUCCGGAAUGUGAUGCUCACGGAAAGCCUCACUGAAUUCAGCCCAAGUAGUGAUUUGGCCGACCGGGCGCAUAGCUUCGAAGUUUUCCCACCAAAGGCUAGCAGGGCCUUUGAGGUGAUAGGCAGCAUAAGUAACCUUGUCGGCUUUGGCUACGUUGGCAGAACGUAGCUUGUGGGUGAUGCUGUGAAGCCAGUCAUCCACGUCGAGGGGCUCGACGGAAUGGUUAAACUUUGGUGGGUACAUCUUGAUAAAGUCAUUGAUUGACACCAACUCAUUUCGCGGGUGGCGUGCAGUGUUCUGCUCAAUCCGCUCCAGCAGGCGGUUGGUCUCACGCUUCUUUCUUUCUGCCUCCAGCAUUACUUCGGCCAGAGAAGGCGGGUGAGGCAGAUUUUCACCUCUAGCAGCACUGGCUUCCCCCUGCUCCGGGGCAACAGGGUUGCUGCGAGUAUUGACCAUCCUAGGAGAAAACAAGACAACGGUUUAGACAAGGAUGGCUCAAACUGAGCAAGGAUGUGCAGAAUGUAAUGGAUAACACGGAACACAGAGAUGUUCAUCCGUAUGUCAUGGUAAUAUAAAACUGCCAUAUAUAUACCAACGGUCAUACACAUCACACAUAGUUUAGUACAAGCCCAGGCUACAGUACAACUAUGAUGAAAGACGUUACAUCUCAUCGGAGGCAUUCCAAGCUCCUAUACAUUAUUGUCUACACCUUCGGAAUUGAUUACACGCAAAGUCAUAUUCCAAAAGUCACGCAGGACAGUGGAGAUACAACUACUACAAUACUAGUGGUACUACUACUAACUCAGACAGCUCCGUACUAGUCCUCAUAGAAGUCACCUCCAUAGCCUGGAAGUUCAACGUGACCAUCCGGGAACAGACGGUCCUGAGGAGCCUGUGGACCAUAGGGGCUUGGAUGGGGUCUUGGACCAACAAACGGUGGCCUGCGGGGACCACAGGGUGGGGUGAUGCCUCCCACAUCACGCCAAUCCACCACGUCUGGCAAAGCAGACCUCACAGGAUACAAAUCCCUUGUAUCCAUACAUCCAGCUUGCACCACAGGUGCAAACCGAGUCAAUGUGGCCCAAUGAUCAGCACGGGUAUUAAAAAGCUCCAGCCUCAAGGCCUGAUUCUCUCGGUCCUUAUAUUCGAGCAUCUCGGCAGUGGUACGAGUUAAUGAAUCCUCCUGAGUGGAGUCAGCAUAGAUAGCCUGAAGAUACCCUUGCGCUCCCGGAAGUGAAGCUAGCAUGUAUCGGAAGUCGGUGUUCCGAAGCAGGCCAGUCCGGACUCGCAUGAUUGUCAUCAUGGAAUAGGCAGCAUCCUGCACAGCCAUCUCAACAGUAACCCCGAGUCCAUAGGAACAGUGAAGGGGCUCGGUAGAUCCAGGAUAAGAAGGAAAUAUCUUGACGGUGCAGAAAUACUGGCUUUGAUUAAAGUCUCAGAAUUGCUCUUCGACGGUGUAUUCGGGAUACCAACGGUAACCCGUCUCGAUCAUGACCCGGACUAACAUAGCAGUAUGACCGGGCACGUCGAGCCACCGGGUCAGGCGAACCACUUUGUUUUGAGCACGGUUGGGCAUCUGAAAGCACAACCACAAUGCAAAGACAUCAGAAUUUCUAGGGAAAAUUGGACAGCAUAACAGCUGUAAAUGCUCAGAAAAAGAUUUGAGACAUCCACAACAGUUCGCAAUACCACUCAACAACAUCAUAUCAAGGUUCUGAUCCAAAUAGCAGCAUACUAAAAAUAGUAGAAACUGAACUGGGGCUUGUAACAACAAUCCUAUAAGCUACUACGGAUUAGUAACACGUGAACCUGAUAGAAGAAGAGAGACUAGUCCUUAACCCACAUUGAAUGAAAAGGGAAUGACUCAGAUAAGAGGCAUAGGGUAAAGGAGUAAAAGAGCCUUACGUUCCCUCCCACAAUCAAUUCCCCUACAUAUAACUAAAGCAUUUCCAGACUCGACAUCGACCAGUUUGGCUCAACGAACCUACAGGCAGUCCGGCACUGAUGCCAACGCUGUCAGGACCCCGAUUCCAAGACACAUCGAUCUAGCUGGUAACACCUCAUAUCACUUUGCGGCCUCACGCACGAUAUUCCACGGGUGUCGCCUUACCAUGGCCCGGGACCGUUUGCGCCUUUUGGCUCACGUAUAUGAUAGUGUCGCUAGCAUCCAUAUGAUAGAGAACCCGGGCCGACAUGGCUAGUCGUGAACCCAAAGAGGCACAGACCUAUGGAGACAGGCAUACAUGAAUCACAUCGAGCAUGUCGGUCAUCAGCGAGUGAUUCCGGGCUGUAGCACUGGGCUAACAGGACUCCGGGGAACCCGGGCUGUAGCAGGCUAGGCAGGACUCCGGAAGUCACCGCGUAACAUUUCCCCGAAGGGACAGACAUAGGAAUGAAGUGAAUCACAUGCCGGCAAGUCAAGUGUCCUGAGCUGUAGUGCUGGGCUAGCAGGACUCUGGUGAACCGGGCUGUAGCGGACUACUAUGGCUCAAGGAACACUAGACUACAUUUCCCCAUAAGAAAGGCUGCCAAGGAUAAACAACUAGAUUGCCGGAUCCCACUCAUACCAAGCAUUUCAAUCAUACACGCAAUAUGUCCGAUAUGAGUACAUACAACAUGGCAUCACAACAAAACUCUACAACUCAAGUACUUUAUUUAAAGGCUCUAGAGAGCCAUACAUAACAGGUUCAUACAGAUAGGGGUCACAUGACCCGACACUCAAGUCAUACAAUCAUACAAGCACAUGCGGAAGCAACCGGUCUGAGUACAGACACUAGAAAGAAAGAAGGCUCCUCGAGGCCUGUCUAUCUACAUAGGGCCCUCCAUGGCCAGGAUCACCACCUGGGUGGCUACUUACUCGUCGACGUCAAGGUCUACAUAGAACCCAUCGGAGGGGGCGGUGUUGUCGUCUGAAAACAGUAAUUAAGCAAACAUGAGUACAAAGGUACUCAGCAAGUCUUACAACAGAACCUAGUAUACAUGCUUAUACUCAAGAAGGUGGUGGGGAUAUUGCAGCAAGCCAGCUUUGACUCUUGGCUAAACUAUCCUACGGAACUUCUCUAGUAAAAUAGUUUUCGCACACGAGUCCACUACUCGCCAACACAAUACUCCACAGGGGAUCCUCCCUCGUCAUCCUAUGAGAGGGCCAUCCUCGGUACUCACACUUAUCUUGAGUAUUUUAGUAGUAUCCAUUUACUUGUCUAUGAACUGUAUAGGAAACCAAGUAGUCAUACACGCUAUUCGGAUAGUUUUAUACCCUGCAGGGGUGUACUUCGUCAUACACGCUUUCACCACUUAUCGCCGUUUACAUGACAUGUACUCGGCAACCUUCAAGCGGAAGCCCAGCGAGGGUGUCGGCCACGGCCUACCUAAACACUUAAGUCUCUAGUCCAGGUUUAUCGCCUAUCCAGGUUCCAUCCACAGGGAGUCCGGCCGAGGUUUCCACAUACGGCCCCGAACGAAGUGAACAUGGUUUCGAGACGCCAAACGGGCGCCCGGCAUACCCGGCCACGGUGUAUCUACCGCAACAUAGCCCACCCCUAGGGUCAGCGCUAUGCACGGCCGCCAACACAUAACCUACAAACACCAGAAACUAUUUGCAACUCCUGGACAGAGUACAAGGGUGAUUAAGAAGUCGAGAUGGUCAAUUAAGGAUCCCAAUGCAUGGUAGUAGUGAAUCUUAAAUCGCACAUACAGAUCUCAGUUCUUAGGGACGGUCUCAAUGAAACAACCCACCAUGUACUCCUACAUGGCCUCUCAUCGAUAUCUUUACCAAAACAUGUUCAACACAUUCCUCAUAUUACCGACAUAAUCAUAUCACCCUAGCCCAUCACCCAGAUGAACCAGACCUGACACAACUCUAAGCAUAGCAGGCAUAGCAAGGUAGGAAUUAUAUACAUGGCUCAAUCAACUCCUACACAUGCUAGUGGGUUUCAUCUAGUUACUGUGGCAAUGACAGGUCAUGCAGAGGAUAAGGGUUCAACUACUGUAGCACACAGCAGUUUGAAUCACGUUGUCUUAAUGCAGUAAACAAGAGCACAGGCGAGAACAUGGGUUGUAUCGGAAUGAUCAAUGGGUUGCUUGCUUGAUGGAGUGGUAGUGGAAUACUGCCCUUCAGUGGGAUACUCGUGAAUAUCCUCGGAGCCAGAACCUACCACGAAGAACACAUCGGAACACAAUCAACACAUGACGAUAUGCAACAAUAUGAUGCAUGCUAUGACGUAUCUUGGCCUAAUGCAAGCUAAAAUAGAAAGGGAUGAACUCAUUUGAAUCAAAAAUUCAAAUAUUAGCUCAUUAAACAUGACCUUAGUAGUGCAUUUCCUUAUUCUGCUUAAACAGCAAGGUAAACUUGUUUUGUCAUGCAUGAAACCAUUACAGAUGGAUAGAUUGAAUUUUUCUGAUAAUUUUUCAUAUAUAAAUUAUUUCAUUUGGAGUUACGGUUGAAUCUCUAUGAUUUUUAGAAGUUUUAAACAUUUUCUGGAAAUUACUGAAUAAAAAUAAAUCCAAAAAAUGCAUUACGGCGUCAGCAUUGUGUCAUGCUGACCUCAGCAGGUCAAAGGCGCCAGCCCAGGUCAAACCUGACUGGUGGGCCCCUUCUGUCAGUCUCUCAGUUAAAUAACAGGAUUAGAUUAACACUAAUUAACUGUCAGUGGGGCCUGGGCCCACAUGUCAGUGACUGAUUAAAAUAAAAUUAGUUAAAACUAAUCCUAGAUUAGUUAGCAGACCGGCCCCACCUGUCAUAGACUCAGGGGGGUCUACCUGGGCCCACCCAGGGUCAAACUGGGUCAAACUCGCCGGCGUUGAGCCGCCGGCGAGACCCGAGACAGUGGCGCAGCUCGGAAAACGCCUACAGGGCACGAGCGAGGCCGUUCUUGGGCUCGUUGGAGAGCUCUUGCAGUCGCGCAUCUAGUGCUGGUGGUGGCCGGGCCUACGGUGGCCGGAGACGACGACGGCGAGCUCCAAGGCGGCGGCCGGAGUUCGGCCAUGUGCGGGGUGUGGGCUGCGGCGUGCAAACGUGGAAACUGAGGCGCUAGCGAGGCACUACGUGAUGCGGCAAGCACGUUGCGUAGCACGGGAUGACCAAAUGGUCGCCGGAGCGGCGCUGACGACAAGCUCGAGCGGAGACGAGCUUCGGCCAUGGUGAAACUAUGGCCUAGAGGGUGCAAACGCGUGGAAAAGAAGAGGGGAAAGGUGGCGGAGCUCACAGGGAGGUCGAUGAGCAGCUCAGUGGGCUCGGGGCGACCGGAGUGAGGCGAAUCGACGAGCGGCGUCCGGCGGGUACCGAGGUUGAAGACAAUCCGAUGGCGGCGAUGCAGGGCCUUCGGCGAUGCGUGGCUCGGUGGGGAGGGCGAGGGCGUUACGGCGGAGCUUCUGGACAGGUCAGAGAGGCGAGGUGGUGAUGGAGGGCGCGACUAUGAUGGUGAGACGGCGAUUAAAAAGAAAGAUCUGGUUCACUCGUACGUGAAAAAAGUAGCAAGCGCUCGAUGCCUUCCUUUGCAUCGAUGCCAGACGCGGUGCUGGGAAUCGACAAGAUAACCGCCAAUCUACCACGAUUAAAUUCCUAGCGCCUCCUUCUAGCGCCUCCCACUGAAAAUGCCCUAAAGGUUUUGGAGGGAUUUUUUUACUGUGUCCUACUUCACGAAUCACGAGGCAAAUCAAGUAGCCGGCAUGGCCUGGCCGGUGAGUGCCAUUGCACUUACUUGCCCCAGCAAUUUUCCGCGUGCAUUGUAGAAUUCUUUCUCCGAGUCCUGUGAAUUAAAGAUGGUGCAGACAAAAAUAUAUCCUAUAUGCGUACAUGUGCAUGAUCAGAACAUGUUUUUACGUGCGUCUACUAUAAAUCAUGACCAUUUUUAACACAAAUCAUGACCAUUCAUGAUUAGUGAAUCAUACUGUCUUAACUUAUGUGAAAUCAUGUGGAGUAAUAUAAUAUAAUAUAAUAAAUAGAUAGAUCCAUGUUGUAUUAUUUUUUGUUUACAAAAAAUAUCUGUCAUUACACAUUUUGAUUUAUGCAUUUGUUUACAAAAAAAACAGUAACAUUUCAUGGUGGAAAGUUUGUAUUGUUUCAUACUGAACACCAAUGUUUUCCUGUAAAAGAAAAUAAUGCCUACGCAUAUGCUUUUAUAUUAUUAUUAUUCUUUCAAACUUAUUCAUACAGUAUUUUUGAUUGUGCAACCAUAAUUUUUAUUGUCUCUCUCGUUCCACUACAUGCUCUUACUCAAUGAUUUUUUUAUAACGGGUGUUUUUAUUAACUCAAAAUAUAGUAUCAAGCGGAUACAAAACAUAAUGAGCCACACCUGGUCUCUGCAUAACUAAGAUGCACACAGCCAAAAGCAGAUGUCUGACAAAAAUAAGAUAAGAAAAUCGACAUAUCGACAACAGUGAGUCAUAUAGUCCCGACACUAUGCCCCCGUUGAAGGACGGGGUGGAGCGAUCUGGAGAUUAUGCUGCCCUCCAUGUUGAGUAAAUACCUCCCUGGCCACUUGUUCCAAACGCAUAGACGCCGCCACGAAUAAUGGUCGGUACUCUGUUCAGUGUAGCAUACACCAUGUAGGAAGUGAGUGCUCACUCCUAGUUACUAAAUUAUGUACACACUAGUAGAAAAAGGGCCAUUUGUCCCGGUUCGUAAGGCCCAUUUGUCCCAAUUGGGGAACCGGGACUAAAGGGUCGGUACUAAAGCCCUACACCUUUAGUCCCGGUUCUUACACCAACCGAGACAGAUGGGGCUCCACGUGGCCGCUACAGCUUGCCGUGGCAGGGGGGCCUUUUGUCCCGGUUGGUAGCACCAACCGGGACCAAUAAGCUACCACGCGUCCGCAUUUGAGGGGCUAGGGUUUUUGUUUUUUUUCUGAAGGGGGGGGGGUGGGUUUGUAUGGUUAAUUUUGGGGGGUUUCACAUAUUGUGUUAGGUAGCUAAUUAAUUAAUAGAGAGAAGUGUCCUCACUUAUCUCCGUGCUUGGUCGACGCUACGUACUAUACGUAUAGAGAGGCCCUCAACACGCUAGCCAGUAAGCAAAUGAAGUAAACCAUUAAGUACAGAAGUUCGUCAUGAACAUAUGCAUACAAACAUAAGUGAUAUCGACCUCUCCUUCUCCGAGAGAUAGGUCGAACAACAAGUUUCCGUAUAUCUAUCCGGCGCUACUAGCUACAUAUAUACAAUAUUAAGAUCUCUUACAAUAUAAUCCCCUAAUUAUAUAUGAACUCAGCUUCCAGAUGGUAUUCUCCGGCUUUAUUGAUGGCGUGGUCAAGAAAGAUUCCCUCCAAUUCCUCUUGAAUUGCUUUGAUGCGAUCUUGUGGUAGGAGUUCAUCUCGCAUCUGCCACAUCUAAUUUGAAGAAGGGGGUCAAUCACCAGUAGAAUAACAACCAUUUGUCCUGGUUCAUAAGGUUAAUUUGUCCCGGUUGGGGAACCGAGACUAAAGGGUCUUUACUAAAGCCCUACACCUUUAGUCCUGGUUCUUACACCAACUGGGACAGAUGGGCCUCCAUGUGGCUGCUGCGGCGAGCCCAGGCCGGAGGUCCUUUGGUCCCGGUUAGUGGCACUGAUACGUCUCCAACGUAUCUAUAAUUUUUGAUUGCUCCAUGCUAUUAUGUUAUCUAUUUUGGAUGUUAAUGGCUUUAUUUUACACCUUUAUAUCAUUUUUGGGACUAACCUACUAAUCGGAGGCCCAACCCAAAUUGUUGUUUUCUACCUAUUUUAGGUUUUCGAAGAAAAGGAAUAUCAAACGGAGUCCAAACGGAAUGAAACCUUCGAGAACGUGAUUUUCUCAAUGAACAUGAUUCAGGAGAAUUGGAGUGUGCUCCAAGAAACAAGGGAGGAAGGCACGAGGCAGGGGGCGCGCCUACCCCCUUGGGCGCGCCCUCCACCCUCGUGGGCCCUCCGCUGCUCCACCGACGUACUUCUUCCUCCUAUAUAUAUCCACGUACCCCCAAACAUCCAGGAGCACCACGAAAACCUAAUUCCACCGCUGCAACCUUCUGUACCCGAGAGAUCCCAUCUUGGGGCCUUUUCCGGAGGUCCACCGGAGGGGGCAUCGAUCAUGGAGGGCCUCUACAUCAACUCCAUGGCCUCUCCGGUGAUGUGUGAGUAGUUUACUUCAGACCUAGGGGUCUAUAGUUAUUAGCUAGAUGGCUUCUUCUUCUCUCUUUGGAUCUCAAUACAAAGUUCUCCUCGAUUUUCUUGGAGAUCUAUUUGAUGUAACCUUCUUUUGCGGUGUGUUUGUCGAGAUCCGAUGAAUUGUGGGUUUGUGAUCCAGAUUAUCUAUGAACAAUAUUUGAUUCUCCUAUGAAUUCUAGUAUGUAUGAUUGGUUUAUCUUUGCAAGUCUCUUCGAAUUAUCAGUUUGGUUUGGCCUACUAGAUUGAUUUCUUGCAAUGGGAGAAGUGCUUAGCUUUGGGUUCAAUCUUGCAGUGUUUGAUCCCAGUGACAGAAAGGGAACCGAUACGUAUUGUAUUGUUGCCAUCGAGGAUAAAAAGAUGGGGUUUAUAUCAUAUCGCAUGAGUUUAUCCCUCUACAUCAUGUCAUCUUCCUUAAAGCAUUACUAUGUUCUCUUGAACUUAAUACUCUAGAUGCAUGCUGGAUAGCGGUCCAUGUGUCGAGUAAUAGUAGUAGAUGCAGAAUCGUUUCGGUCUACUUGUCUCGGACGUGAUGCCUAUAUACAUGAUCAUACCUAGAUAUUCUCAUAACUAUGUUCAAUUCUGUACAAUAUGGUGCACGGGGUUACAUCGGCCUGCAAAGACAUUUCUGCGAUGUGAGACAUCCGAAAAGCAACGAAAACGGGAGAUUAUACAUUUAUUGAAGAGGGCAGGUGUGACAGAUACCGUGAGGGCGUCGAGCUCAGCCAAAGACGAUGGACAGCUGAGCACGGCCUGUGUCAGAGCCGGUGCGGGAGCAGGUGCAGGUGCAGGUGCUGGUGCAACGCUAGUCGAGCUGCUCCUGAAGAAGUCAACAAUGGGAAAGUCCGCUGCAUUUUUUCUGCAUUUUGCGUGCUCCAAUUGAAAAUGGCUGGAACCAAGACAGUAGACAUAUCUGCAACCACCUGUUUUCCGGCAGCUACCGCUGUCGCGACUGUCUCAGAUGAUUUCUUCUCAACCGCAAUCUCAACCUUCUUGUCGAUGUUUUAUUCGGUUAACCUCCAUCUUUCCUUUCUCUCCUCCGUGGUCUCACGGUAGUACUUCUUCCACGUGGCCCCGUCUCCGACACCGUGAACGCGUCCAUACGACGACCGAGUCUCCACGGGGAGUCCUUUCAAUAUGUUCAAUGCCCGGUUGAAUGGAGUGUCCCACUUGGGCCUUGCCAAUGCCUCAGACGGCGAGUCGCUUUCGGCCGCAAUCUUAUGCUGCUCUCUCUACAAAAGGAACACGGAUCAUUUACAAAUAUGACUAAACGUGCAGUCGAACUGAUCAGAAACUAAAAUUACCAGCAGUCUCAUGAACUCCGUCGUGAUCGGGUCCGUCUUGAAAACCUUCUUGACUGAGUCCCAAUGGUGUCGUGCCCUGAGGACGUCAUGCUCCUACGGGACGGUGAAGUCCGCCAAGGGGUCUGGGAUGCCAGAUUUUCGCGUUUCGUGUCCUCCUUGGCCCAUAUGGACCUCUUCCUGCCGUAACCACUGCUUCCGAGGUGGUGGCGCCCCAUGUUCCUUUGUGGAAGCCCCUUCAUGUACUUCGACUUUGUUUUGGCAGCUUCGGCCUCGCAAGCCGCCUUGAAUAUUUCAAAGUGUUCUCUAGUGAUUGUCAGAUUAUCCUUUACAAUCUCGGAGUAGGGUUGAUACGUCUCCAACGUAUCUAUUAUUUUUGAUUGCUCCAUGCUAUAUUAUCUACUGUUUUGGACAUUAUUGGGCUUUAUUAUCUACUUUUAUAUUAUUUUUGGGACUAACCUAUUAACCGGAGGCCCAGCCUAGAAUUGUUGUUUUUUGACUGUUUUAGGGUUUCGAAGAAAAGGAAUAUCAAACGGAGUCCAAACGGAAUGAAACCUUCGGGAACGUGAUUUUCUGAAUGAACAAGACCCUGGAGACUUGGACCCUACGUCAAGACACAAAAGAGGAGGACACGAGGUAGGGGGCGCGCCUAACCCCCCCCCCCCCUCGAGGCACGCCCUCCACCCUCGUGGGGCCCCUGUUGCUCCACCGACGUACUCCUUCCUCCUAUAUAUACCUACGUACUUCCAAACGAUCAGAUACGGAGCCAAAACCCUAAUUCCACUGCCGCAACUUUCUGUAUCCACGAGAUCCCAUUUGGUGCCUGUUCCGGAGCUCCGCCGGAGGGGGCAUCGAUCACGGAGGGCUUCUACAUCAACACCAUAGCCUCUCCGAUGAAGUGUGAGUAGUUCACCUCAGACGUACCGGUCCAUAUUUAUUACCUAGAUGGCUUCUUCUCUCUUUUUGGAUCUCAAUACAAUGUUCUCCCCCUCUCUUGUGGAGAACUAUUCGAUGUAAUCUUGUUUUUGCAGUGUGUUUAUUGAGAUUGAUGAAUUGUGGGUUUAUGAUCAAGUCUAUGUAUGAAUAAUAUUUGAAUCUUCUCUAAAUUCUUUUAUGUAUGAUUGUUUAUCUUUGCAAGUCUCUUCGAAUUAUCAGUUUGGUUUGGCCUACUAGAUUGAUCUUUCUUACAAUGGGAGAAGUGCUUAGCUUUGGGUUCAAUCUUGCGGUGUCCUUUCCCAAUGACAGUAGGGGCAGCAAGGCAUGUAUUGUAUUGUUGCCAUCGAGGACAACAAGAUGGGGUUUUCAUCAUAUUGCAUGAGUCUAUCCCUCUACAUCAUGUCAUCUUGCUUAAGGCGUUACUCUGUUUUUAACUUAAUACUCUAGAUGCAUGCUGGAUAGCGGUCGAUGAGUGAAACCUAUGGCCCCCGGGUCUAUCUUUAUCAUAUUAAUCUCCUACUACUUAGUUAUUUCCUUUGCUUUUUCCUUUGCCUUUAUUUUACUUUUGAUCUUUAUCACAAAAAUACCAAACAUAUUAUCUUUAUCAUAUCUAUCAGAUCUCACUCUCGUAAGUGGCUGUGUAGGGAUUGACAACCCCUAUUCGCGUUGGUUGCGAGGAUUUAUUUGUUUUGUGCAAGUACGAGAGACUCGCGCGUAGCCUCCUACUGGAUUGAUACCUUGGUUCUCAAAAACUGAGGGAAAUACUUACACUACUUUGCUGCAUCAUCCUUCCUCUUCGCGGAAAACCAACGUAGUGCUCAAGAGCUGGCAAUAAGGAUUUCUGGCGCCGUUGCCGGGGAGGUCUAAGCAAAAGUCAACAUACCAAGUACCCAUCACAUACCCUUAUCUCCUGCAUUACAUUAUUUUCCAUUUGCCUCUCGUUUUCCUCUCCCCCACUUCACCCUUGCCGUUUUAUUCGCCCUCUCUCUCUCUCUCUAUCCUCCCUCUCUUUCUCUAUUUGCCUCUUUUUUCCCACUUGCUUUCUGUUUGCUUGUGUGUUAGUUGCUUGCUUGUCACGAUGGCUCAAGAUAAUACUAAAUUACGUGACUUCACCAAUACCAACAACAAUGAUUUUAUUAACACUCCGAUUGCUCCUCUUACCGAUGCUGAAUCUUGAGAAAUUAAUACUGCUUUGCUGAAUCUUGUCAUGAAAGAUCUGUUUUUCGGCCUUCCUAGUGAAGAUGCCGCUACCCACCUAAAUAGAUUCGUUGAUUUGUGUGACAUGCAAAAGAAGAAAGGUGUGGAUAAUGAUAUUGUUAAAUUGAAGCUAUUUCCUUUUUCGCUUAGAGAUCGUGCUAAAGCUUGGUUUUCGUCUUUGCCUAAAAAUACUAUUGAUUCAUGGAAUAAGUGCAAAGAUGCUUUUAUCUCUAAGUAUUUUCCUCCUGCUAAGAUCAUCUCUCUUAGAAACGAUAUUAUGAAUUUUAAGCAACUUGAUCAUGAACAUGUUGCACAAGCUUGGGAGAGAAUGAAACUAAUGAUACGUAAUUGCCCUGCCCAUGGUUUAAAUUUGUGGAUGAUUAUACCAAAUUUUUAUGCCGGAUUGAACUUUGCUUCUAGAAAUCUUUUAGAUUAGGCCGCGGGAGGCACUUUUAUGGAAAUCACUUUAGGAGAAGCUACUAAACUCCUAGAUAAUAUUAUGGUUAAUUAUUCUCAACGGCAUACCGAAAGAUCUACUAAUAAAAACGUGCAUGCGAUAGAAGAAAUUAAUGUUUCGAGUGGAAAGAUGGAUGAACUUCUGAAAUUAUUUGCUAAUAAGAGUAUUUCUUCUGAUCCUAAUGAUAUGCCCUUGUCUACUUUGAUUGAGAAUAAUAAUUAAUCUAUGGAUGUGGAUUUUGUUGGUAGGAACAAUUUUGGUAACAACGCGUACAGAGGAAAUUUCAACCCUAGGCCUUAUCCUAGUAAUCUCUCUAAUAAUUAUGGUAAUUCCUACAACAAUUCUUAUGGAAAUUAUAAUAAGAUGCCCUCUGAUUUUGGAUCUAAUAUUAGAGAAUUUAUUACUUUCCAAAAGAAUUUCAAUGCUUUGAUUGAAGAAAAAUUGCUUAAGAUUGAUGAUUUGGCUAGGAACGUUGAUAGAAUUACUCUUGAUGUUGAUUCUUUGAAACUUAGAUCUAUUCCACCUAAGCAUGAUGUCAAUGAGUCUCUCAAAGCCAUGAGAAUUUCCAUUGAUGAGUGCAAAGAAAGAACCACUAGGAUGCGUGUUAAGAAAGAUGCCUUUAUAAGAGCGUGUUCUUCUAAUUCCUAUGAAAAUAAUGAUGAAGAUCAAAAAGUUAUUGAUGUCCUCCCUAUUAAAUCUUUGUUUUGCAAUAUGAAUCUUGAUAAUCAUGGGACUGAAUAUGAUCCACCUUUACCUAGAAGGCGUUCCAAUAAUUCAGAAUUUGUUGAUCUUGAUGCUAAAAUUGAUAAAGGUGGGAUUGAAGAAAUUAAAACCCUAGAUGUUGCUAAACCCACUAUUAUGGAUUUCAAGGAACUUAACUAUGAAAACUGCCCUUUGAUUGAUUGUAUAUCCUUGUUACAAUCCGUGCUAAAUUCUCCUCAUGCUUAUAGUCAAAAUAAAGCAUUUACUAAACAUAUUGUUGAUGCCUUGAUGCAAUCUUAUGAAGAAAAACUUGAAUUGGAAGUUUCUAUCCCUAUAAAGCUUUAUGAUGAGUGGGAACCAACUAUUAAAAUUAAAAUUAAAUAUCAUGAAUGCUAUGCUUUAUGUGAUUUGUGUGCUAGUGUUUCCACGAUUCCAUAGACUUUGUGUGAUUUGUUAGGUUUCCGUGAUUUUGAUGAUUGCUCUUUAAACUUGCACCUUGCGGAUUCCACUAUUAAGAAACCUAUGGGAAGAAUUAAUGAUGUUCUUAUUGUUGCAAAUAGCAAUUAUGUGCCCGUAGAUUUUAUUGUUCUUGACAUAGAUUGCAAUCUUUCAUGUCCUAUUAUUCUUGGUAGACCUUUCCUUAGAACGACUGGUGCAAUUAUUGAUAUGAAGGAAGGAAAUAUUAGAUUCCAAUUUCCAUUAAGGAAAGGCAUGGAACACUUUCCUAGAAAGUAAAUUAAAUUACCUUAUGAAUCUAUUAUGAUAGCCACUUAUGGAUUGCCUACCAAAGAUGGCAAUACCUAGAUCUAUCCUUGCUUGUUAUGCCUAGCUAGGGGCGUUAAACGAUAGCGCUUGUUGGGAGGCAACCCAAUUUUAUUUUUAUUCCUUGAUUUUUUCUCCUGUUUAGUAAUAAAUAAUUUAUAUAGCCUCUGUUUUGGUUCUGUUCUUUGUGUUUAAUUAGUGUUUGUGCCAAGUAGAACCGUUAGGAAGACUUGGGGAAAGUCUUGUUACACUUGCUGUAAAAAACUGAAACUUCAGCGCUCACGAGAACUGCUGCCAUUUUUAUUUGGAAAGUGCUAUGUAGUUAAUUAUUUUUCAGAUGAUUAACAGAUAAAUUCCUCACGUCCAGAAAUUUAUUUUAGAAUUUUUGGGGUUCCAGCUCUUGAGCUAGCUACAGAGUACUACAGGCUGUUCUGUUUUUGAAAGAUUCUGUUUUUCGUGUGUUGUUUGCUUAUUUUGAUGAACCUAUGGCUAGUAAAAUAGUUUAUAUACCAUAGAGAAAUUGGAAUACAGUAGGUAUAACACCAAUAUAAAUAAAUAAUGAGUUCAUUACAGUACCUUGAAGUGGUCUUUUAUUUUCUUUCGCUAACGGAGCUCAUGAGAUUUUCUACUUUAAGUUUUGUGUUGUGAAGUUUUCAAGUUUUGGGUAAAGAUUUGAUGGAUUAUGGAACAAGGAGUGACAAGAGCCUAAGCUUGGGGGUUCCCAUGGCACCCCCAAGAUAAUCUAAGUACACCUAAAAACCAAAGCUUGGGGAUGCGCCGGAAGUCAUCCCCUCUUUCAUCUACUUCUAUCGGUAACUUUACUUGGAGCUAUAUUUUUAUUCGCCACAUGAUAUGUGUUUUGCUUGGAGCGUCUUGUAUUAUUUGAGUCUUUAUUUGUUAGUUUACCACAAUCAUCCUUGCUGUACACACCUUUUGAGAGAGCCAUACAUGAUUUGGAAUUUGUUAGAAUACUCUAUGUGCUUCGCUUAUAUCUUUUGAGUUAUAUAGUUUUGCUCUAGUACUUCACUUAUAUCUUUUAGAGCACGGUGGUGGAUUUGUUUUAUAGAAACAAUUGAUCUCUCAUGCUCCACUUAGAUUAUUUUGAGAUUCUUAAUAGCAUGUUAAUUUGCUUAAAAUCCUAAUAUGCUAGGUAUUCAAAGUUAGUAAAAUUUUCUUAAGAGUGUUUUGAAUACUAAGAGAAGUUUGAUGCUUGAUGAUUGUUUUGAGAUAUGGAGGUAAUAAUAUCAAAGUCGUUCUCGUUGACUAGUUGUGAAAUUGAGAAAUACUUGUGUUGAAGUUUGCAUGUCCCGUAGCACGCACGUAUGGUAAACGUUGUGUAACAAAUUUGAAACAUGAGGUGUUAUUUGAUUGUCUUCCUUGUGAGUGGCGGUCGGGGACGAGCGAUGGUCUUUUCCUACCAAUCGAUCCCCCUAGGAGCAUGCGAAUAGUACCAAGGUUUUUGAUGACUUGUAGAUUUUUGCAGUAAGUAUGUGAGUUCUUUAUGACUAAUGUUGAGUCCAUGAAUUAUACGCACUCUCACCCUUCCAUCCUUGCUAGCCUCUUCGGUACCGUGCAUUGCCCUUUCCCACAUUGAGAGUUGGAGCAAACUUCGCCAGUGCAUCCAAACCCCGUGCUAUGAUACGCUCAUUCACACAUAAACCUCCUUAUAUCUUCCUCAAAACAGCCACCAUACCUACCUAUUAUGGCAUUUCCAUAGCCAUUCCGACAUAUAUUGCCAUGCAACUUUCCACCAUUCCGUUCAUCAUGACACAUUCAUCAUUGUCAUAUUGCGUAGCAUAAUCAUGUAGUUGACAUAGUAUUUGUGGCAAGGCCACCGUUCAUAAUUCAUUCAUACAUGUCACUCUUGGUCCAUUGCAUGUCCCGGUACACCGCCGGAGGCAUUCAUAUAGAGCCAUACUUUGUUCUAGUAUCGAGUAGUAAUUAUUGAGUCGUAAAUAAAUAGAAGUGUGAUGAUCAUCAUUAAUAGAGCAUGGUCCCAAAAAGAAAAAAAAGGAAGGGCCAAAAAAAGGCCAAAUAAAAAAAUAUAAAAAAGGGGGCAAUGCUACUAUCCUUUUUUUCCAAACUUGUGCUUCCAAGUAGCACCGUAAUCUUCAAGAUAGAGAGUCUCUUGAUUUGUCACUUUCAUAUACUAGUGGGAAUUUUUCAUUAUAGAACUUGGCUUGUAUAUUCCAACAAUGGGCGUCCCCAAGUUCCCUAGGUCUUCGUGAGCAAGCAAGUUGGAUGCACACCCACUUAGUUUCUUUUGUUGAGCUUUCAUACAUUUAUAGCUCUAGUGCAUCCGUUGCAUGGCAAUUCCUACUCCUUGCAUUAACAUCAAUCAAUGGGCAUCUCCAUAGCCCAUUGAUUAGCCUCGUUGAUGUGAGACUUUCUCCUUUUUGUCUUCUCCACAUAACCCCACUCAUUAGAUUCUAUUCCACCCAUAGUGUUAUGUCCAUGGCUUGCAAUCAUAUAUUGCGUGAAAGUUUAUAGGUUUGAGAUCACUAAAGUAUGAAACAAUUGCUUGGCUUGUCAUCGGGGUUGUGCAUGAUGAGAGCAUACUUGUGUGACGAAAAUGAAGCAUGACUAAACUAUAUGAUUUUGUAGGGGUGAACUUUCUUUGGCCAUGUUAUUUUGAGAAGACACAAUUGCUCAGUUAGUAUGCUUAAAGUAUUAUUAUUUUAUGUCAAUAUGAACUUUUGUCUUGAAUGUUUCAGAUCCGAAUAUUCAUACCACAAUUAAGAAGAAUUACAUUAAAAUCAUGCCAAGUAGCACUCCACAUCAAAAAUUCUGUUUUUAUCAUUUACCUACUCGAGGACGAGCCGGAAUUAAGCUUGGGGAUGCUUGAUACAUCUCCAACGUAUCUAUAAUUUUUGAUUGCUCCAUGCUAUAUUAUCUACUGUUUUGGACAAUAUUGGGCUUUAUUAUCCACUUGUAUAUUAUUUUUGGGACUAACCUAUUAACCGGAGGCCCAGCCCAGAAUUGUUGUUUUUUGCCUGUUUUAGGGUUUCGAAGAAAAGGAAUAUCAAACGGAGUCCAAACGGAAUGAAACCUUCGGGAACGUGAUUUUCUCAACGAACAAGAUCUAGGAGACUUGGACCCUCCAUCAAGACAUAAAAGAGGAGGCCACGAGGUAGGGGGCGUNNNNNNNNNNNNNNNNNNNNNNNNNNNNNNNNNNNNNNNNNNNNNNNNNNNNNNNNNNNNNNNNNNNNNNNNNNNNNNNNNNNNNNNNNNNNNNNNNNNNNNNNNNNNNNNNNNNNNNNNNNNNNNNNNNNNNNNNNNNNNNNNNNNNNNNNNNNNNNNNNNNNNNNNNNNNNNNNNNNNNNNNNNNNNNNNNNNNNNNNNNNNNNNNNNNNNNNNNNNNNNNNNNNNNNNNNNNNNNNNNNNNNNNNNNNNNNNNNNNNNNNNNNNNNNNNNNNNNNNNNNNNNNNNNNNNNNNNNNNNNNNNNNNNNNNNNNNNNNNNNNNNNNNUGGGCCCCCCUGUUGCUCCACCGACGUACUCCUUCCUCCUAUAUAUACCUACUAUUGGGGAACGUAGCAGAAUUUUAAAAUUUUCUACGCAUACCAAGAUCAAUCUAUGGAGUCAUAUAGCAACGAGGGAGAGAGGAGUGCAUCUACAUACCCUUGUAGAUCGCGCGCGGAAGCGUUCAAGAGAACGGGGUUGAUGGAGUCGUACUCGUCGUGAUCCAAAUCACCGAUGACCAAGUGCCGAAUGGACAGCACCUCCGCGUACAACACACGUACGGUUGGGAAGACGUCUCCUCCUUCUUGAUCCAGCAAGGGGGAAGGAGAGGUUGAUGAAGAUCCAGCAGCACGACGGCGUGGUGGUGGAUGCAGCAGGAUCCCGGCAGGGCUUCGCCAAGCGCAAGCGGGGAGGAGAGGUGUUACGGAAGGAGAGGGAGGCGCCAAGAGCAAGGGUGCGGCUGCCCUCCCUCCCCCCCCUCUUUAUAUAGGGGCCUUGGGGGGGCGCCGGCCCUAGGAGAUGGAUCUCCAAGGGGGGCGAAGGCCAAGGGGUGGCUUCCCCCCCAAGCCAAGUGGGGGGCGCCCCCACCCCUAGGGUUUCCCAACCCUAGGCGCAUGGGAGGCCCAAGGGGGGCGCACCAGCCCACUAGGGGCUGGUUCUGCUCCCAAUUCAGCCCAUGGGGCCCUCCGGGAUGGGUGGCCCCACCCGGUGGACCCCCGGGACCCUUCCGGUGGUCCUGGUACAAUACCGGUGACCCCCGAAACCUUCCCGAUGGCCGAAAUUGUACUUCCUAUAUAUAAAUCUUUACCUCCGAACCAUUCCGGAACUCCUCGUGACGUACGGGAUCUCAUCCGGUACUCCGAACAUAUCCUUGGUUACUACAUACUAAUAUCUCUACAACCCUAGCGUCACCGAACCUUAAGUGUGUAGACCCUACGGGUUCGGGAGACAUGCAGACAUGACAGAGACGCCUCUCCGGUCAAUAACCAACAGCGGGAUCUGGAUACCCAUGUUGGCUCCCACGUGCUCCACGAUGAUCUCAUCGGAUGAACCACGAUGUCGAGGAUUCAAUCAAUCUGUGUAGAAUUCCCUUUGUCAAUCGGUACGUUACUUGCCCGAGACUCGAUCGUCGGUAUCCCAAUACCUCGUUCAAUCUCGUUACCAGCAAGUCACUUUACUCGUGCCGUAAUGCAUGAUCCCAUGAUCAACCACUUGGUCACAAUGAGCUCAUUAUGAUCAUGCAUUACCGAGUGGGCCCAGAGAUACCUCUCCGUCAUACGGAGUGACAAAUCCCAGUCUCGAUUCGUGCCAACCCAACAGACACUUUCGGAGAUACCUGUAAUGUACCUUUAUAGUCACCCAGUUACGUUGUGACGUUUGGCACACCCAAGGCACUCCUACGGUAUCCGGGAGUUGCCCAAUCUCAUGGUCUAAGGAAAUGAUACUUGACAUUCGGAAAAGCUACAGCAAACGAACUACACGAUCUUUGAGCUAUGCUUAGGAUUGGGUCUUGUCCAUCACAUCAUUCUCCUAAUGAUGUGAACCCGUUAUCAAUGACAUCCAAUGUCCAUAGUCAGGAAACCAUGACUAUCUUUUGAUCAACGAGCUAGUCAACUAGAGGCUCACUAGGGACGUGUUGUCGUCUAUGUAUUCACACAUGUAUUACGAUUUCCGGAUAACACAAUUAUAGCAUGAAAAAUAGACAAUUAUCAUGAACAAAGAAAUAUAAUAAUAACCAUUUUAUUAUUGCCUCUAGGGCAUAUUUCCAACAGUCUCCCACUUGCACUAGCGUCAGUAGUCUAGUUACAUUUUGAUGAAUCCAACACCCAUGAAGUUCUGGAGUUGAUCAUGUUUUGCUCUAGGGAGAGGUUUAGUCAAUGGAUCUGCCACAUUCAGGUCCGUAUGUACUUUACAAAUCUCUAUGUAUCCAUUUUGAACACUUUCAUGAAUGGAGUUGAAGUGACGCUUGAUAUGCCUGGUCUUCCUGUGAAAUCUGGGCUCCUUGGCAAGUGCAAUAGCUCCAGUGUUGUCACAGAAUAGAGUCAUCGGGCCCGGUGCAUUGGGUGUGACUCCUAGGUCGGUAAUGAACUCCUUCACCCAGAUUGCUUCUUGUGCUGCCUCCGAGGCUGCCAUGUACUCUGCUUCACAUGUAGAUCCCGCCACAACGCUUUGCUUGCAACUCCACCAGCUUACUGCCCCACCAUUCAAAAUAUACACGUAUCCGGUUUCCGACUUAGAGUCAUCCAGAUCUGUGUCGAAGCUAGCAUCAACGUAACCCUUUACGACGAGCUCUUCGUCACCUCCAUAAACGAGAAACAUAUCCUUAGUCCUUUUUAGGUACUUGAGGAUAUUCUUGACUGCUGUCUAGUGUUCCAUGCCGGGAUUACUUUGGUACCUUCCUACCAAACUUACGGCAAGGUUUUCAUCAGGUCUGGUACACAGCAUAGCAUACAUGAUAGACCCUAUGGCCGAGGCAUAGGGGAUGACACUCAUCUUUUCUCUAUCUUCUGUCGUGGUCGUGCAUUGAGCCUCGCUCAAUCUCGUACCUUGCAAUACAGGCAAGAACCCUUCUUUUACUGAUCCAUUUUGAACUUCUUCAAUAUCUUAUCAAGGUAUGUACUCUGUGAAAGACCAAUGAGGCGUCUCGAUCUAUCUCUAUAGAUCUUGAUGCCUAAUAUAUAAGCAGCUUCUCCAAGAUCCUUCAUUGAAAAACACGUGUUCAAGUAGGCCUUUAUGCUUUCCAAGAAUUCUAUAUCAUUUCCCAUCAACAAUAUGUCAUCCACAUCCAAUAUGAGAAAUGCUACAAAGCUCCCACUCACUUUCUUGUAAAUGCAGACUUCUCCAUAAGUAUGCGUAAACCCAAACGCUUUGAUCAUCUCAUCAAAACGAAUGUUCCAUCUCCGAGAUGCUUGCACCAGCCCAUAAAUCGAAUGUUGGAGCUUGUACACCUUGUCAGCAUUCUUAGGAUCGACAAAACCUUCCGGCUGCAUCAUAUACAAUUCUUCCUUAAGGAAACCAUUAAGGAAUGUUGUUUUGACGUCCAUUUGCCAUAUUCAUAAUCAUAGAAUGCGGCAAUUGCUAACAUCGUAGUCAACCCCUUGAACUUGCCGAUAACCCUUAGCGACAAGCCGAGCUUUAUAGAUGGUCACAUUACCAUCCGCGUCUGUCUUCUUCUUAAAGAUCCAUUUAUUUUCUAUGGCUCGCCGAUCAUCGGGCAAGUCAGUCAAAGUCCAUACUUUGUUUUCAUACAUGGAUCUUAUCUCGGAUUUCAUGGCUUCCAGCCAUUUGUUGGAAUUCAGGCCCGCCAUCGCUUCUUCAUAGUUCGAAGUUCACCGUUGUCUAACAACAUGAUUUCCAAGACAGGGUUGCCGUACCACUCUGGUGCGGGACGUGUCCCCGUGGACCUACGAAGUUCAGUAGCAACUUGAUCUGAAGUUUCAUGAUCAUCAUCAUCAAUUUCCUCUCUAGUCGUUGCAGGCACCUUAGGAACAUUUUCUUGAGCUGCGCCACUUACCGGUUCAAGAGGUAAUAAUACUUCAUCAAGUUCUACUUUCCUCCCACUUAUUUCUUUCGAGAGAAACUCUUUCUCUAGAAAGGACCCAUUCUUGGCAACAAAGAUCUUGCCUUCGGAUCUGAGGUAGAAGGUAUACCCAAUAGUUUCUUUAGGGUAUCCUAUGAAGACGCAUUUUUCCAAUUUGGGUUCGAGCUUUUCAGGUUGAAGUUUCCUUACAUAAGCAUCGCAUCCCCAAACUUUUAGAAAUGACAUCUUAGGUGUCUUCCCAAACCAUAAUUCAUACGGUGUCAUCUCAACGGAUUUCGACGGAGCCCUAUUUAAAGUGAAUGCGGCAGUCUCUAAAGCAUAGCCCCAAAAUGACAGCGGUAAAUCGGUAAGAGACAUCAUAGAUCGCACCAUAUCUAAUAGAGUGCGAUUAUGACAUUCCGACACACCAUUACGCUGAGGUGUUCCAGGCGGCGUGAGUUGUGAAACUAUUCCACAUUUUCUUAAGUGUGUGCCAAAUUCGUGACUCAAGUAUUCUCCCCCACGAUCUGAUCGCAAGAACUUGAUUUGCCUGUCACGUUGAUUCUCAACCUCACUUUGAAAUUCCUUGAACUUUUCAAAGGUCUCAGACUUGUGUUUCAUUAAGUAGACAUACCCAUAUCUACUCAAGUCAUCAGUGAGGGUGAGAACAUAACGAUAGCCACCGCGCCUCAACACUCAUUGGACCGCACACAUCAGUAUGUAUGAUUUCCAAUAAGUUGGUUACUCGCUCCAUUGUUCCUGAGAACGGAGUCUUGGUCAUUUUACCCAUGAGGCAUGGUUCGCACGUGUCAAAUGAUUCGUAAUCAAGAGACUUUAAAAGUCUAUCUGCAUGGAGCUUCUUCAUGCGUUUGACACCUAUGUGACCAAGGCGGCAAUGCCACAAGUAUGUGGGACUAUCAUUAUCAACCUUACAUCUUUUGGUAUUCACACUAUGAAUAUGUGUAACAUUAUGCUCGAGAUUCAUUAAGAAUAAACCAUUCACCAAUGGAGCAUGACCAUAAAACAUAUCUCUCAUAUAAAUAGAACAACCAUUAUUCUCGGAUUUAAAUGAGUAGCCAUCUCAAAUUAACCGAGAUCCUGAUACAAUGUUCAUGCUCAAAGCUGGCAGUAAAUAACAAUUAUUGAGGUUUAAAACUAAUCCCAUAGGCAAAUGUAGAGGCAGCGUGCCGACGGCGAUCACAUCAACCUUGGAACCAUUCCCGACGCACAUCGUCACCUCGUCCUUCGCCAGUCUCCGUUUAAUCCGCAGCUCCUGCUUUGAGUUACAAAUGUGAGCAACUGCACCGGUAUCAAAUACCCAGGAGCUACUACGAGUACUGGUAAGGUACACAUCAAUUACAGGUAUAUCACAUAUACCUUUAGUGUUGCCGGCCUUCUUGUCCGCUAAGUAUUUGGGGCAGUUCCGCUUCCAGUGACUACUUCCCUUGCAAUAAAAACACUCAGUCUCGAGCUUGGAUCCAUUCUUUGGCUUCUUCCCGGAAACUUGCUUAGCGGGCGCGGCAACUCCCUUGCCGUCCUUCUUGAAUUCUUCUUACCCUUGCCUUUCUUGAACUUAGUGGUUUUAUUCACCAUCAACACUUGAUGUUCCUUUUUGAUUUCCACCUCUGCUGAUUUCAGCAUUGAAUAUACCUCAGGAAUGGUCUUUUCCAUCCCCUGCAUAUUGAAGUUGAUCACAAAGCUCUUGUAGCUCGGUGGAAGCGACUGAAGGAUUCUGUCAAUGACCGCGUCAUUCGGGAGGUUAACUCCCAGCUGAGUCAAGCGGUUAUGCAACCCAGACAUUUUGAUUAUGUGCUCACUGACAGAACUAUUUUCCUCCAUCUUAUAGCUGAAGAACUUGUCGGAGACUUCAUAUCUCUCGACCCGGGCAUGAGCUUGAAAAACCAUUUUCAGCUCUUCGAACAUCUCAUAUGCUCCAUGUCUCUCAAAAUGCUUUUGGAGCCCCGGUUCUAAGCUGUAAAGCAUGCCGCACUGAACGAGGGAGUAAUCAUCAGCACGUAACUGCCAAGCGUUGAUAAUGUCUUGGUUCUCUGGGACAGGUGCGUGACCUAACGGUGCUUCUAGGACAUAAUAUUUCUUGGCAGCUACGAGGAUGAUCCUCAGGUUCCGGACCCAGUCCGUAUAGUUGCUGCCAUCGUCUUUCAGCUUGGUUUUCUCUAGGAACGCGUUGAAAUUGAGGACAACGUGGGCCAUUUGAUCUACAAGACAUAUUGUAAAGAUUUUAGACUAAGUUCAUGAUAAUUAAGUUCAUCUAAUCAAAUUAUACAAUGAACUCCCACUCAGAUAGACAUCCCUCCAGUCAUCUAAGUGAAACAUGAUCCAAGUUAACUAGGCUGUGUCGGAUCAUCACGUGAAACGGACUAGUCAACAUCGGUGAACAUCUUCAUGUUGAUCGUAUCUUCUAUACGACUCAUGCUCGACCUUUCGGUCUUCUGUGUUCCGAGGCCAUGUCUGUACAUGCUAGGCUCGUCAACUAAACCUAAGUGUAUUGCGUGUGUAAAUCUGGCUUACACCCGUUGUAUUCGAACGUUAGAAUCUAUCACACUCGAUCAUCACGUGGUGCUUCGAAACAACGAACCUUCGCAACGGUGCACAGUUAGGGGGAACACUUUCUUGAAAUUAUUUCGAGGGAUCAUCUUAUUUAAGCUACCGUCGUUCUAAGCAAAUAAGAUGUAAAACAUGAUAAACAUCACAUGCAAUCAAAUAGUGACAUGAUAUGGCCAAUAUCAUUUGCUCCUUUUGAUCUCCAUCUUUGGGGCUCCAUGAUCAUCGUUGUCACCAGCAUGACACCAUGAUCUCCAUCAUCAUGUCUUCUUGAAGUUGUCUCGUCAUCUAUUACUUCUACUACUAUGGCUAAUGCUUUAGCAAUAAAGUAAAGUAAUUACAUGACGUUUAUGUUGACACGCAGGUCAUAAAAAAAUAAAGACAACUCCUAUGGCUCCUGCCGGUUGUCAUACUCAUCGACAUGCAAGUCGUGAUUCCUAUUACAAGAACAUGAUCAAUCUCAUACAUCACAUAUAUCAUUCAUCACAUCCUUUUGGCCAUAUCACAUCAGACGGCACAUGCUGCAAAAACAAGUUAGACGUCCUCUAAUUGUUGUUGCAAGUUUUUACAUGGCUGCUAUAGGUUUCUAGCAAGAACGUGUCUUACCUACGCCAAAACCACAACGUGAUAUGCCAAUUUCUAUUUACCCUUCAUAAGGACCCUUUUCAUCGAAUCCGAUCUAACUAAAGUGGGAGAGAUAGACACCCGCCAGCCACCUUAUGCAAGUAAUGCAUGUCAAUCGGUGGAACCAGUCUCACGUAAGCGUACGUGUAAGGUCGGUCCGGGCCGCUUCAUCCCACGAUGCCGCCGAAUCAAGAUAAGACUAGUAACGGCAAGCAAAGUGACAAUAUCCACGCCCACAACUGCUUUGUGUUCUACUCGUGCAUAGAAACUACGCAUAGACCUGGCUCAUGAUGCCACUAUUGGGGAAUGUAGCAGAAUUUUAAAAUUUUCUACGCAUCACCAAGAUCAAUCUAUGGAGUUAUCUAGCAAUGAGGAAGAGAGGAGUGCAUCUACAUACCCUUGUAGAUCGCGCGCGGAAGCGUUCAAGAGAACGGGGUUGAUGGAGUCGUACUCGUCGUGAUCCAAAUCACCGAUGACCAAGUGCCGAACGGACAGCACCUCCGCGUUCAACACACGUCCGGUUGGGAAGACGUCUCCUCCUUCUUGAUCCAGCAAGGGGGAAGGAGAGGUUGAUGAAGAUCCAGCAGCACGACGGCGUGGUGGUGGAUGCAACAGGAUCCCGGCAGGGCUUCGCCAAGCGCAAGCGGGGAGGAGAGGUGUUACGGAGGGAGAGAGAGGCGCCAAGAGCAAGGGUGCGGCUGCCUUCCCUCCCCCCUCUUUAUAUAGGGGCCAUGGCGGGCGCCGGCCCUAGGAGAUGGAUCUCCAAGGGGGGCGAAGGCCAAGGGGUGGCUCCCCCCCCCAAGCCAAGUGGGGGGCGCCCCCACCCCUAGGGUUUCCCAACCCUAGGCGCAGGGGAGGCCCAAGGGGGCGCACCAGCCCACUAGGGGCUGGUUCCCCUCCCAAUUCAGCCCAUGGGGCCCUCCGGGAUGGGUGGCCCCACCCGGUGGACCCCCGGGACCCUUCCGGUGGUCCCGAUACAAUACCGGUUACCCCCGAAACCUUCCCGAUGGCCGAAACUGUACUUCCUAUAUAUAAAUCUUUACCUCCAAACCAUUUCAGAACUCCUCGUGACGCCCGGGAUCUCAUCCGGGACUCCGAACAACUUUCGGCUUACUACAUACUAAUAUCUAUACAACCCUAGCGUCACCGAACCUUAAGUGUGUAGACCCUACGGGUUUCGGAGACAUGCAGACAUGACUGAGACGCCUCUCCAGUCAAUAACCAACAGCGGGAUCUGGAUACCCAUGUUGGCUCCCACAUGCUCCACGAUGAUCUCAUCGGAUGAACCACGAUGUCGAGCAUUCAAUCAAUCUGUAUACAAUUCCCUUUAUCAAUCAGUACGUUACUUGCCCGAGACUCGAUCGUCAGUAUCCCAAUACCUUGUUCAAUCUCGUUACCGGCAAGUCACUUUACUCAUACCAUAAUGCAUGAUCCCGUGAUCAACCACUUGGUCACAUUGAGCUCAUUAUGAUGAUGCAUUACCGAGUGGGCCCAGAGAUACCUCUUCAUCACGCGGAGUGACAAAUCCCAGUCUCGAUUCAUGCCAACCCAAUAGACACUUUCGGAGAUACCUGUAAUGUACCUUUAUAGUCACCCAGUUACGUUGUGACGUUUGGCACACCCAAGGCACUCCUACGGUAUCCGGGAGUUUCACAAUCUCAUGGUCUAAGGAAAUGAUACUUGACAUUCGGAAAAGCUACAGCAGAUGAACUACACGACCUUUGAGCUAUGCUUAGGAUUGGGUCUUGUCCAUCACAUCAUUCUCCUAAUGAUGUGAUCCCAUUAUCAAUGACAUCCAAUGUCCAUAGUCAGGAAACCAUGACUAUCUUUUGAUCAACAAGCUAGUCAACUAGAGGCUCACUAGGGACGUGUUGUGGUCUAUGUAUUCACACAUGUAUUACGAUUUCCGGAUAACACAAUUAUAGCAUGAACAAUAGACAAUUAUCAUGAACAAAGAAAUAUAAUAAUAACCAUUUUAUUAUUGCCUCUAGGGCAUAUUUCCAACACCUACGUACCCCCAAACGAUCAUAUACGGAGCCAAAACCCUAAUUCCACCGCCGCAACUUUCUGUAUCCACGAGAUCCCAUCUUGGGGCCUGUUCCGGAGCUCCGCCAGAGGGGGCAUCGAUCACGGAGGGCUUCUACAUCAACACCAUAGCCUCUCUGAUGAAGUGUGAGUAGUUCACCUCAGACCUACGGUUCCAUAGUUAUUAGCUAGAUGGCUUCUUCUCUCUUUUUGGAUCUCAAUACAAUGUUCUCCCCAUCUCUUGUGGAGAACUAUUCGAUGUAAUCUUCUUUUUGCGGUGUGUUUGUUGAGACCGAUGAAUUGUGGGUUUAUGAUCAAGUCUAUCUAUGAAUAAUAUUUGAAUCUUCUCUGAAUUGUUUUAUGUAUGAUAGGUUAUCUUUGCAAGUCUCUUCGAAUUAUCAGUUUGGUUUGGCCUACUAGAUUGAUCUUUCUUGCAAUGGGAGAAGUGCUUAGCUUUGGGUUCAAUCUUGCGGUGUCCUUUCCCAGUGACAGUAGGGGCAGCAAGGCACGUAUUAUAUUGUUGCCAUCGAGGACAACAAGAUGGAGUUUUCAUCAUAUUGCAUGAGUCUAUCCCUCUACAUCAUGUCAUCUUGCUUAAGGCGUUAAUCUGUUUUUAACUUAAUACUCUAGAUGCUUGCUGGAUAGCGAUCGAUUAGUGGAGUAAUAGUAGUAGAUGCAGGCAGGAGUCGGUCUACUUGUCUCGGACGUGAUGCCUAUAUACAUGAUCAUACCUAGAUAUUCUCAUAACUAUGCUCAAUUCUGUCAAUUGCUCAACAAUAAUUUGUUCACCCACCGUAGAAUAUUUAUGCUCUCGAGAGAAGCCACUAGUGAAACCUAUGGCCCCGGGUCUAUCUUUAUCAUAUUAAUCUCCUACUACUUAGUUAUUUCCUUUGCUUUUUACUUUGCCUUUAUUUUACUUUGCAUCUUUAUCACAAAAAUACGAAAAAAAUUAUCUUUAUCAUAUCUAUCAAAUCUCACUCUCGUAAGUGGCCGUGUAGGAAUUGACAACCCCUAUUCGCGUUGGUUGCGAGGAUUUAUUUGUUUUGUGCAGGUACGAGGGACUCGCGCGUAGCCUCCUACUGGAUUGAUACCUUGGUUCUCAAAACCUGAGGGAAAUACUUACGCUACUUUGCUGCAUCAUCCCUUCCUCUUCGGGGAAAACCAAGGCAGUGCUCAAGAGGUAGCAAGGGUUCCUUUUUGUCGACGAUCCGAUGUUUCAACCCUGUUUUCCAGGUGGCCAACGCGUCGCUAAACUUGGUGACGGCGUGUUUGUUUAUCUUCUUCAUUGCCAGGUCCUUAUCUGGAUCUUUAUUAUCCUUUUCACUGCGGUCUGGGAACAAGAUUAUCUGGUGCAGUUUCUUAAGGAGGGAGGGCCUCAUAUUAUCUAUCUUCUGUAGUUUCCCAUCGUUGAUCGUGGCAGUUGUCCGUACGAUGCAACCUAUUUGAUUGCCGUAGCACGAUCGCGCUUCCUCGGGCGCUAUUGUCUCAAAAAUACCGCCGUCCAUCUCCGUGACCGCCAGUCUACUACUCAUGAGCUGGUUUGGGCGCUGUGGCCUCUUUGCUUUCGGUUCUAGACCAGCUCCGCUAGUCUCGGCGCCUGUCUCAGUUUCAUCAUCGGUCCGCAUGUCGGUAUCAGUCCCCGAUGCGACACCACAGUUGCUGCAACAUGGGUAAGGGAGACCACGUCAGUGGUGGGGGGUCUGAAAAUCAGAACACACUUUCGCGCGUCGCGGGCCGCCUCUCAGACAGCUACUGGGGAGGCGGUGGAGUACCUGGGUGCGCGGCGAAUCCCCGGGAACUCGGUGACCAACUUCCUUCCCGUGUGGCGCAUGGAGACGACGGCGACCCCGGCGAAGAGCAGCUUAGCCGCGAGCUGCACAGCCUCGUCCACCUCCUAAGUUGGGACCUCCGCGCGAGCGUUGCGGGGCCGCCACUCGGAUGGCUUCUGGAAGGCGGUUGUACAUGGGCACAUGGUGAAUCCCGGCGAGAGCUGGCCAUUGGCGCGCGCAAGUAGACGACGAUGUCCUCGAAGAAGAGCAGCCCGGCCAGCUCGCCUCACUAUCCUUUGAUUAGAAAUGAAAGAUUGGGAAGAAGCAGACUUGAGCCUGCAGGGAAAGGAUAAGGUGACGAUGCAGUCUCCACUCGUUCGGGGCGACACUCGUACUGAAUGUAUGAGAAACGUGACGUGGCAGAGACCCCAAGAUACUCCCUCCAUUUAUUUUUAGUCUGCAUAUAAAGUUUGGUCAAAGUCAAGAUUUGUAAAUUUUAACUAACUUUAUAAUAAAAAAAUAUCAACAUUCACAAUAUGAAAUCAAUAUUACCAGAUGCGUCAUGAAAUGUAUUUCCAUACUAUAUAGUUUUGGUAUUGUAGAUGUUCAUAUUUUUUUAUAUAUAUGGGAAGUAGAGGCACUCUUCUAUAUAAUGAAGUUUAUAAUAUAUGUGCUUAUAUUGUACUAUAAUUGUUUGAAUAACUUAGCAUAUAUUCAGAUGUAUGAUAUCUGUAAUUUAAACGCUUGAAUUUUACAUAUGAAUAUUUAUUAAUAAAUAUGUACCCCUAUAAUAGCUAGGCCGUGCAGUUGCACGGGUAGAUGACUAGUGAUUACAAUCUUGCUUGUGUGCAAGUCAAGCUUAUCUAGUUUACACGUAACAACUUAUAGAACAUUACAAAAUUUAUGCUUGCUAAUAACUUCUAGAACACUACAACACUUGACAUGUAAAAGGAAUUUGAUGAGUCAUGGCCUACUAAAGCAAGUUACAUUACUAGUCUUAUCUAUCUUAACAGACCACACAAGAUUACAAACUAUGUACCGUGACAGCCAUGCUUAUCUAGUUUAUGCGUAACAAUUUGCAGAAAAUUACAAACUUAGUUUCAGAAAGAUAGGCAAUCUAGAUUAGUGUUUGAGCUGUAAAGUGAAUAAGAUGAGUCAUGCAUGUCAUCACACCUUUUUGGUGGUGGAAUGAUAGUGCAACAACAAGGAACUUUAAUGACCAGUCCAAGAAUACACUUGUAAGUAGUGCCACCAAACAGAACAUACCAAAUGAUGAUUUUGAGAAGCAUCCAAGCACUUUCCACACAAACAAAUGCCAAUUGUGAAAGAGAUCAUUCCAUGGCAGCUAUAAAUAGCCCCAUAGCAUGACGAUCAUCCUUCCUCAUCCAUCAUUCUCAUAAGUAGAGCACAUCAUUUAAGCCAAGCAAGUUGUGGUCAAUACAAAUCCACCAUGAAGACCUUUCUCAUCCUUGCCCUCCUUGCUAUCGUGGCGACCACCGCCACAACUGCAGUUAGAGUUCCAGUGCCACAAUUGCAGCCACAAAAUCCAUCUCAGCAACAGCCACAGGAGCAAGUUCCAGUGGUACAACAACAACAAUUUCUAGGGCAGCAACAACCAUUUCCACCACAACAACCAUAUCCACAGCCGCAACCAUUUCCAUCACAACAACCAUAUCUGCAGCUGCAACCAUUUCCGCAGCCGCAACUACCAUAUUCGCAGCCACAACCAUUUCAACCACAACAACCAUAUCCACAACCGCAACCACAGUAUUCGCAACCACAACAACCAAUUUCACAGCAGCAGCAGCAGCAGCAGCAGCAGCAACAACAACAACAACAACAACAACAACAACAACAACCACAACAAAUCCUUCAACAAAUUUUGCAACAACAACUGAUUCCAUGCAUGGAUGUUGUAUUGCAGCAACACAACAUAGCGCAAGGAAGAUCACAAGUUUUGCAACAAAGUACUUACCAGCUGUUGCAAGAAUUGUGUUGUCAGCACCUAUGGCAGAUCCCUGAGCAGUCGCAGUGCCAGGCCAUCCACAAUGUUGUUCAUGCUAUUAUUCUGCAUCAACAACAAAAACAACAACAACAACAACAACAACAACAACCAUCGAGUCAGGUCUCCUUCCAACAGCCUCAGCAACAAUAUCCAUUAGGCCAGGGCUCCUUCCGGCCAUCUCAGCAAAACCCACAGGCCCAGGGCUCUGUCCAGCCUCAACAACUGCCCCAGUUCGAGGAAAUAAGGAACCUAGCGCUACAGACACUACCUGCAAUUUGCAAUGUCUACAUCCCUCCAUAUUGCACCAUCGCGCCAUUUGGCAUCUUCGGUACUAACUGAGAAGAAAAUAACUCUAGUACUAGAUAUAUGAAACACCGUUUUCUCAGUCCAUGGUUUGGUCGUUGUAGCGGUGAAAAAAUAAUGUGGCAUGCACUAUCAUGUAAGAACCCAAACUAUACUAGUUCAAACUUGGGAAUAAAAGACAAACACAGGUCUUGUCUACAUAUUUAUGUCGCAUCUAUUUAUAUAUUAAAAGUAAUAUAAGGUGAACCAGGAGCAAGGUAAAUAUGCUAGAAAAUUGCACGUUAAUUAGAAAUUACUAGCCCUCAAUCCGGUAAAUCUUAACAAAUAGAAUUAUCUUGACCGUUAGAUUUAUGUAACAUAUAUAAUUCUCUGGGCCUCCAACGACUGUACGUGACACAUCUGAACGCACAUAUGUUAAAGAAAAUAUAUUUGGUAAAUGGUGGGCCUCUUUAAAAAGAGAACUCACGUACAUGCACCAACUAAGAAAAACACAUACAUGUAAACGGGAAAAGGGCUCCACCCCGUUGAAAAAAUAUACAUCUGGAGGCCACUUUGUUUCCUCAUAAAAAAAAACUUACGUUAAAAAGAUUGCAUGCAUCCCAGGGAAAAUAGUCAAGAAGAAGUCGGACUCUUCCUUACAAAAACAAGGAACGUGUUAAGUUGACUUCAAAGAAAAAAGGAACAUGUUAAGUUAAAAAAAACAAGAAACCUGUUAAGUUAGAAAAAAACAAGGAACGUGUUGUCCUAGGAAAGAUAUGUGUCAAAUCUUACAAAAAAAAGAAUACACACACGUACGUUCAUGCACUUGGAAAAUAGAAAAAAAAAGGAACAUCACGUAUGUAUACACUUCGGAAACUCAUUACAUGACCAUGUCUGAUAUACUCCUCUAAUGCUUAAUAUUAGUGCCUAAUAAUUUAUAUUUAAAAUUUAAUUUACUGAUCAAAUAUCCCCACUGUUUAAAUUUUAAUUUGGCACAUUGUUUGGCUAUAGUAUGAACCUAAAUUUCCUCUUAUUAUUAUAUAUCAUGAUAAUAAUCCAAAGGCGACUAAUCUGCGCCGGCGCACCGGCGCAAUCAAUUCGGCCCGACACAGCGCGGCCGUUUGAUUAAAUUGCAUUUAACCGUCAGAUCUAGAAUCAUUUUAUUUCCAAUUAAACGGAUUCAACCAAACAGCAGAGGGGAAAACAAAGCAGCACCGCCGCCAACACUAGUCAUGGACGACCGAUGUAGCAAAACCUUGAAGAACCGCCGCCGGUCGCCACCCUCGCCGCUGGUCGCCGCCCUCGCCGCCUGCGUUUCUCAUCGGCUUCAUGCAUGCAACAACAUGCACUCGUGAUUGCAGGCUUGCAGCUCCGGCUCCGGGGGACAUGGCCGCAUCUCCGGUAGCGCCGGCCGCCAGCCGCAGCACCUGUCGUUGUGGUCACGCUGUACCUCGCCGUGUGCCCUCCCAAGGCUCUUGCUGGUUCCAACAAAAAACGAUACCUAUUGUAGCAAAAAAGUUUAUCGCUUCCAGCAAAAAAGCUUACCGCUAUAGCCCGCCAUCAUCAUUGUAGCAAAAAUGUUAACUCGAUGUAGCUUCUGUGGUUGCCGACUGCGGCCAAAAAUGACGUGGUUGUAGCAAAACACAAAAGAAAAACGCCGGCCGUCCGCUGUGUAUGGUGGUAACAAACCCUAUAGCCGGUGGUAGCGAAAAACUUCACUGUUUGCAGCAAAAAAAUGUUGUCGCCCGUCGUCGAGGUUGCAUCAUCUUCAUGAAUUAUGUCGCAAAAAAACGUUGUCGCCGGUAGUAGCAAAUGAAGCCGCCGGUAGUAACAAAACAAGACACUGGUUCCAGCCAAAAAAAUCAGCGACAGAACCUUUUGUUGGUUCCAACAAAAAAACUUGUCGGUUGUAACAUCCCUCGCCGCCGGAUGUAGCAUCUCCCAGGGCUAGUUGCAACACUCCAUAAAAAAAGUUGUCUAUGAGCGCAUCCAUGGCAACUGCUGCACCGUCAGCAACGAGGGGAAGAGGAGGCAAUGAAAAUCGUUCGAGUCGUAGCUCCACUGGACACGGCUGCAGCAUGGGGAGUCCAAAAAUCUGUCACAAGCAAGAUGCGCCUCGCCAUCCUCCUGCGCAGGAGAGAGAAGAAAAAGGAAUAAGAGGAAGAAGAAACGAAACGGGAGAAAGAAAAAAAGAAACGAUUGGUUGUGGGCUCAGGCAAUUAGUCAAAUGAGGGGCACGCGGGGCCGUAGGAUACAGCGCAAUCGAACGAAGUGCGCGCGUCCGGCCGAAGACUCAGCUGGACUGCCGGUCCAGCUGGAAAUGUUUCCCUAAUACAAAGGCUUUUCUGAAUGACAAGUCGUCUGAGUUAUCGGCUAACUAGAAAAAAGAUAAAUAUGCUAGAUAAUUCCAUAAUAAUUAGAAAUAUCUAGCCUUUAAUUAUGUAAAUCAGAAAAUCACAACCGUUGGAUUUACUUUAAAGGUAAAUUUCUCUAAAUUCCCACCAUUGCCAGUAUGUAGAAACAUGUGCUGCUUCAAUUCUCCCUUAAUCACCAAUCAAUCAACAACUGAAAACAUACCUCAGUUAAAAAAACUGAACAAAAAAAAGAAAAAAAGAAGAAAGGACAAGAUACACGCAUGUACACGACAGCCUUGGCUUGAAACACAUCAGUAGAUCAAGUGUCCGCCUCCCUUACACAGAAUAAAUUCUAGGGAAGAAAAUAAUAGUGCAACCUAACCUUAUACGUACUAUUCUAUCCUCACGUCCCAUGAGGUUUACUAGCCUACUGCCGCCGCAUCAUGCCAUCCUCUCCUUUCAGCUCCCUCCUUGCGGCGCCACUACUCGCCUAGGGAUAUUGCUGCUCAGACCGUGGAGCUUAACCUGCUUCUUCUUCAGCAAAUAUGGAACUGCUUUAGGAUCCUUCUGACAUCAGCGCGUAUGGGCCUCAUUAUACUGCAGCUCCUGGACCUCCUACAAUUGGUUGGCUAUGGCCAGUUGAUCGAUGUGCUGAAGUCCAGGUCUGUUUGCUGGCACAUAUGCUUUGGAAAUAGGCCACUAUGUUUGUACUUCGAAAUUGUUUCUGUAUUCUUCAGUGGUACAUCCUUUUAAGCGCCAGUUUUUUAUGUUAAUUCAUGCUGACAACACUUAACCUAGCCUUUCAUGUUCACGUACUAAAUACAGGAGCAAGUAAAAACAACAGACCACCUAAUUGCUCUGCAAGUUCUACAUAGGAAAAUUUGUCAUGUUCUACGAUCGCACCAUCCCACCCUUCUCUCUUGGUAUGGGCGCCAAUUGAGGGAUUGAUAAAACUGAAACGAAGACGUCACAGGGCUGGAAGUACCGCUAGCCUGGUUCGCACUGCAACCUACCCAACGCCAUCAGAAACUAGCAACUGAGUCAGGUGUUGAUCGAUUCUCUCAAAUUGCUCUCAUGUAAGUACUACCCCUUGCAUGUGCGUACAUACCUUUGUUGCAUUCUCAAACAGAUAGAACAUGUAUGAUCGGUGCAUGGCUAUUUUUCAUCACAUGACAUCCAGAUAACAAGCAUGAAAGGACUACAUUGGAGAUCAAAAAAUAUUGGUUCCUGGCUAGAGUACCACUACCUAUGGACUUGUCUCCAUAGAAUUUGUUCCCAAGAUGUUAUUUUAAUUAACCUCUUUAGCUUUCUUCCGUUGCAAACGGUGAUGUGCAUCAUGGUAUAUACGUGACCAUCUUGCACAUGUAUACACAAGAGGCUCAGACGGAGGUGCUGGAUUCUGGACGAGGGAAUAUGAAGCAGGAGUGAGCGAAGAGUAAAUAAUGGUGGGAGUACCGAUUGGUGUUAUGAAGAAAAAUGCCAUCCAAAGAUUGAUUAGUGUCAUGGAAGAUUAAUUUCUGAAUGCGAAUAUAUAUGUUACAUUGGUUUGGAUCUUUUUGAGAUAAUUGCACCUAAAUUAGGUUCUUUCUUAUUUCAUAUGUAUACCUUAUUUCAGUAAAAGUUCACAACGAACUUAGUAGGACAAAUAUAAUUUUGUUUGUUCUUUCUGUUGUCCGCCACCAAAGCUCAGUUUGAACUCUCUAGAAAUGGACAAUGAUUUAUGCAUUCUAUAUCUUCUUGAUUGAUUAGCCAUGACAAGGAAAUAAAAGGAUUGACUGAUAUAGCAUAACUUUGGAACGAUCUGUUCGUAGAGGUUACUACAAAUUAGAGUAGUGUCUGUUGGAAUUUUGCUAGUAGGCCUUUGGCCCAAAGCCCAACUAAAAUUCUGAAAUUCUCUUCGCUCAUUCAUGCACACAUGUGAGUGGAGUGAGUGAGACUAAAGUUUAGAGAGAGUUGCACCUCUUUAUAAGGUGAGCUCUUCUACCACUUGUAUGAGCAUGAGAAGAGGAGACCUAUACACGCGCUCCUCCUCCUCGCUCACCACGUCUCGUCACGCCGCGCCGCGCCGCGGAUUGCGGGAUUGAGCCGAGCCGAGGACGUUGUCUAUAUUUUUGCUGUUUGGGAAAAAUUAAUAAGUCAUUAAUUAAUAAUUAAUGGAUGCGUUAAUUACUGAACCAUUUUCGAUUCUUUUGGAUCGUGACGACUCGGACGUGGGGUUUACUCCCACGAUCUACCCGGCCCACACUAUAUAGUCAGGCAGACGUCUACCCUAGCCGCCGCCACUUCGUAUGGUUUCUCACCACCGUUACAGAUCGUUGCGCCGCCAAGCAAGUUUUCUCCAUUCCUCCUGUCGGCAUGCACUGGGAGAAGGGACAGCAGGCCUCCGGAACCCCGCCUCUCGUGAUCCUGUACGGGAGAGGGGCGAUCAGAUUUUUGGGGAGCGCACUCGCACGACUGCUGGCAGCGACGACUUCGCAAACGACGACUUCUUCCCCGACCUCGGCAACCUCAUCCUCGACUUCUGCACCGUAUGUUAUUCUAUCCUUCUUGUUCGAGAUCGUGGUAGAAUUCAGAUUUCUAGCAUGUUCCCUAGAUGUGAUUUGUUCAUCUACUAUUCUAAUUCGCAUGAUUAGUUUAAUCUUUGCUAUUGCUGUCAUGAUCUAUUUCCUAUUUAUUCGGAUUAAAUCUCGUAGUAAUUUGCUCAUUUUUCCAACAGUGCCAUCUAAUAGAUGAUGUAAAUCUCCUCAAGUUUGACGUUGUUGAGCUAAUUUACAAAAAAAACCUCAUCAUUAUUGGAUGUCCUUAACAGCUCAAGAACAAGUUGGGGUCGAAAUAAUGGAUUUUACACUUUUACAUUAAAGGUUUAGCUAAAGCAAGCAGGUGUUUUUAAACCUGAAUUUUUUUCCUCCUGAAUUUCUUUGUAUUUUCUUAUUGACACUAUUUAUACAAUCAUCUGACAAAGAUUAGCUAAAGCUGUUUGUAGAUACGUUCAAACCUGAAAAGCUUCUUUGGUUAUCCUUUUAAUAGUUCUACGUUUAUUUUCUCAUAGGUCUUAAUUCUUAUGUAAUACCAAGAUGCAUUGUGGUAGUGUACAUGUGUUAAAUUCAGGUUGUUAUUCACAAUUUGCGACAAAAUUUAGCUCACGCUACAUUUAAAUAUGUUGAAAUGUGAAAGCUCUUUUUCUUCUCCUUUCUACACCUUGCAUCGGAUUGCAUCCCUUUAGUUAUCCAACAUUUUGUACAACAUGUAGAGAUUAGGAAGUUCAUCAUAGUUUGUCUAUUUCCGUGCUAAUAAAUGUAUGAAAUCUGCAUUUCCAAGCUACUAGGACAAGUAAAAAAUAAUAAUUUUACUAUAGGAUUCAAAAACAGCAGUUCUGAAGUGCACUUUAUUUAUUUGUGAAAGUGAUCACAUUUUGUUUCAUUUUUCUAUAGACAAAUCUACUAAUACAUACUCACGAUAAAACUAUAAAAGUUCUAGUCCGCACAUUGGGCGGGCCACCCGGCUAGUUAGUCUAAAGAUAACAAAAUGAGUCUGGAAUUUGAAUUAAAUUGAAGUAUUUUCUUGGACUAUCCACAUCCUUGGCUUGCCCCUGAUCAAUUAUUUCCAGAGAAGCAUUCAAUUCAUCAAUCAAUUACAUUGAUUUUAGUGGCUGGUACUUCUCCUCGACAUCAGUAUAUUCACCGUGGCCACUCCAAAUCGGCAAGAAUGAGGUACCAGUGCUCUGGAGCAGUGCAAGCUAAUUGCUUCUCAUGUGAAGGGGUGCGGGCGCGGGAGAGGUAUUUCUGGUGGGCCAAGGGAUAAGAAGCGACCGUGGCAGCGGUACAGACGCCCGCAAAGCCCCAUAAUUUGUUUUUGGUUUACAGGAAAAAUGCACAUCCAUACCGGCCUGGGGAAUAUAGCACUGUAUUGCAUGGAAAACCAUGUCCGGAUGGUUGUGAGCGGUUUGAGGGUUAGCUUUUGUAACGCCCGGUUAGUUAUGCUAUAGCAAUUCCCUGCUAAUGAUGUCACGUCACCACGAUUACUGUUGUUAACCUCACAAUGAUUCAAUCCCGUUCAAAUUCAAAUUUGAAAUAAAGGUAAACAUCAAAAGUUUUCAAACAUUAAAACUAAAAUCUUUGAGAGGUGACAAAUAAUGCAUAAGUAAUUAUGGUGAAGAAACCACACUUUAAUCAAAUGUUUAAAUACUCUAAAAUGAAAAAAAAACAGUGACUUAAACUAUUAUUUAAAUGCUUUUAAAAUAGUAAAAAUCUUCUAACUAAAUUAUUUGGGUACCAAACUUUUGGUGGCAGUGGUAUAUUUAGUAGAACUAAUUUAGAUGCUAAUUAUAUAAUUUACAAAAUUAGAGUAAAUUGAAAAAUAGGAUAAAACGGAAAAAGGAAAGACAAAACAAAUAAAAGCAAAAGGGGGCAACCCCUCGCUGGGCCUCGGCCUAGCUGGCCACUAGACUAGCUAGGCUGGCCCCGCCGCCUCCCUUAACCCCCCACUCCCCAUCGAACCCAAGCCCGAUCGCCCCAUUUCCCACACACCCCCUCGCUAGUCUCCCCACCUCUUGAUCCCAUCUGGAUCGGGGAGGGUAUUGCCCCCAUCAACCCCGUUGCCGUCGCCGGAUCGCCCGCCGACGUCGGCAGGCCUCCUCCCCGUCGCCCGUCUCCGGCUCACCUCCCCUCUCGCUCCUCUUCCCCGACCCGAUCUGGAUCGUGAACGAGCAAUGAGCUCGAAGCCCCCCUUCACCAGCGCCAUCACCGUGCGCCACCACCACCACCUGAAGACCUCACCGUCGCUGAACCUUGCGUCGCCUCCUUGUAUCCCUCCCCUACUCGCAUCCUCAAGCCAGGCCGAGCCCCUUCUCGGCAACGCUGUGAGACGCCCCCGUUUCCCUCCUCUUUCCACCGCGUUCACCGCGCCGCCCGCCGUGCCCCUCGCCGUGCAUGAGCCCACCACCGCACCAGCCCCCGCUCCGCGCACGACCCUACCCGCGCCCGCGCCAUGAUCCCCUUUUCCGCCCUACCUUCACGCGCUCGCCGCGAUCCCCAUGCUCCCCCGCGCCCUCUUUCGGGGGCGCCGACUGCCCCUGUCCCGGUGCUCGCCGCCGUGCCUCGCCACCGCUCUACUGCUACGUUACUACUGCGCUGCGGCCGCCGCCUCUUCCCGCUGCUCCGCUAGCGCCGAAGCUCCCGGUUGGCUCCACCACUGCUCACGUUAAACCGCCGGCCUAAAUGGCCUAACCCUCGGCUAAUGAACCCCCACUAACCCACUGACACCGGGACCCACAUUCCCUAAUUAACCAUUUAAUAAAUUAACAUUAGUGUAUGACAUGUGCGUCCCCUGUUAAUUAAUAAUUUUACUGCUAGUUUUAUUAGUUUCUGUUUUUCUGCAUAUUUCUUUUGUAUUUGAACAGGCUUUAUACAAUAAUAUUUAGCGUAUCAUACACAUACAAAUGUAAUCAUAGCAUAUACAUACAAAUAGUCUCAUCAAAUCAUGUCAUCAUCAUAAUCAUCAUCCAUCACAAAGUGGUCUCUGGUCAUCAUCUCGAAAAUAGCGAUACAAGUCUCGAUUACUUGCAACUACAUCGUCAUCCAUCUAAACAAUGAUAUACACGAGAAGAGCUCUCACUAUGAGUGAGAGCGGAACUAUGCAGUACAUGAGUUUGUAUCCCUCUCUCGCAUUAGCGUGAACCUAAACUAACGACUGGCUGUUGCUCGGAAACCGGAAACCGGUACACCUGGGCCUGACACUCCGGCCACUCAUCGUAUACUCCUGGCGUAGCACUUCUUCGCCAUCGAUGAUCUAUGCACCUGCAUCGUCACAUGAGUCGAUGAUAUGCAACAUAUAUAGUUGAGCAACAGAAAGAGACAGACUUGGCAAAAAUAGAAGCAACAUAUCACAAGUAUAAAUAACAAAGUUAAUGUUUUGCAGGAUUACAACUCAACCCAUUGCAGAUUAGAAAACAAGCCCGUAUGAAUGCACAGGCUGACGACUAGUCUAUCUAUACCUAUACCUAUACCUAUACCUAUACCUACCUAUACUAAUUACAGACUCCCAAGGAAUUCCCACGUUAAUUAGUAAUUAGGAGUCGUUAAUCUUGUGGGACCAAAUUAUUACGACAGUCCACGAUCUCUUUUCUCUCUGUGUAAAAAAAGGUCCACGAUCUCUUUUCUCGGUUGUAAAAGAUAAAGGCAACUCAGGUCCACGAUCUCUUUUCACGGUUGUGAAAGAUAAAGACAACUCCCGUCUUCUUCUAAUCUAUAGUUCUAUACCUCCACGACCCCUUUCUCUCCCCAUUUAAAAGGAACAAGCUGAACCAAUAUCUAAGCAUGCAAUUGGUUCCUGUGCGGUCUUGACCUUCCAUCCGUCCACUGCUCGAUCGGCCCUCCCUCAACUACAAGCUGACAAGCCACCAUCGCCAUCCAGCGGCACGCCACCGUUCAUGCAUGUGUUUUUGCCCUUCAAUCUGAAGGAGAUGCGUUGGCUACUCAAGUAACUCUGUUUGUUUUGUUCAAACCAAUUUCGUUAAUUCGGUUCUUUGAUUAUCUAAUUGACAUGGCCUGUGAGUUUUGUGCUAGUGAUACAGGGCCUGUCUACUAGAUUCUCUCCUUGCAACUUCUAUUGUUGUCUCGAUUUGGUGUGGUCAAGAUCCUUGCCCCACCACAAGCAGCACCUUUGCACCAUCGGGGAAAUCUGUCAUAGCAAACAGAGGUAUGUAACAUGCUUUGGUGUUUUCCUCUUUCGUUUAGAUCACUAGAGUUGCUCAACCACACCAUUCAUUGAUUAGUAGUUGGCCUGAGAAGUUGCUCGGUCACCUGCAGCGUCUGAUCCCCUUCUUGACCCUCUCCUUCUGGUCAUUAUCCACCGGCAGGUCAAUGCAAAACGGAUCGUUCGUUGCCGCCACCUUGCGGAGACCGAUGUUUGGCUGCCCUCCUGCCAUCCUGGCACUCUGGUACCGGUCACUGUGCCGUUGUUCUAGAAGAACUAUGUCACACGAAGCGAGAUAUCUUCUUACUAAUCUGGAACAUAAGUGUUUCUUCUUACUAGGAUUCGCUCACCGGUGCAUUCAUCUCUUUUUGGAAAAUACGGCCUUCAUAUUUCACACGCCUAUACAUGGGUGCUGUCCCAACAAUAAUCCAUCUAAUCCAUGAUGCACAUUCAUGAAGACUGAUGUGACUGAAUUAAUAUAUCAAUCUGGUGCUUCCGGAUCAGCACUUGAAGAAGCAACCCCUUUAGUUCAUAAAUUUAUCAUACGAAAGUCAGGGGAAAAAUCAACUAAGUCAUGUGUGCUUUUCUAAUUAAUUACUAUACACUAAUUCCAUUUUUUUCAGUAGCAGGCUAGGAUACGUGGAUUGUGGCAGCACAGAAGUAAACCGAUGAGCUACAUUGGCCGUUCACCAGUCAUCGGAUCAGAAGCCAUGUCGACCAGAGGGACGGAACAGUUCUAUAUUAGGCGAUGGAUACAUGUGGAAGCAACUAAGCAUAUGUGGAUGCAUGUGAUCGCAUAGGUAAGGCCAUAGCUGUUCAAGCCCUACAGGAUCUUUAUUGCUGGUUUUAAUUAUGAGUUUACAACACCAUCUAUACAUACUACUUAUCCAUUUAUUUCCUUACCUUCUUUGUUUCUUUCUCUCCUUGAUCCCCUGUCAAAAGGGCAUCAACAUCCAUAUGCGCAACGGCACACGCAACAAACUAUGACUUCGGUUGCACGUCCAAUGGCAACCACAGUACAUGAUGAUAUCAUGUUUGCUGCAAGACGAAGUACAAGUUCAUAAUUUGGUCUUUUGCAUGGUCCCUUAGUAAAUUAUAUUUGUCCACAUACACCACAUACAUAAAAACAGGUAGAAGCGGUUGCAUGAUGAAAAUGUCCUCUCAAUAUGCAUGCCUAUGAAUACUAUCACCAGAAAGCCAAGGACUAACAAUUAUUCAGGGGUCAAGAUUGAAGACAGACGUCCAAGAUUGGCAGUCGGCCGGCCUAAGAGGGGCAAAACCGUUGUACAUUAUAUUGUAUGGACCUAGCAAGAUCCUAAAGAUAAGUGAUAAUGGAGAUCAUGGGGGCCACCCUUAUAACCAUAUGUCCAAAUGUUCUUAUUUGUUUAUUUUUCUUUUCUCUUUUCGGAAGAAUCCAUCCUGCCUCUAUGGUCAUCCUGACCACUUCGUAUUGUUAUCUAAUCUCCUCCCUUAAUUAAUAUAAAGAAUUACCGCAGCUGAAUUCACUAAAAAAAGUAUUCAGUUUAUUUUAAUUUAUUCAACUAUUAUGGCAUAUCAAUUGGAUUGCAAGUUCUUGGCGGUUGCAUUUGAAUCAUAUUUGAUGUGCACAAAGGCUUCAGUGUCAAGGUGGUCGGACGAGUAUUUAUGUCCAUUAUAUAUGUGUUAGCUUGAGAUCAUCAGGCACCUGUUAUGCAUCUGUCCAGUUAAAAGGAUGUUCAGACUCAGGCUUGCCCUACCAUAUAUGGCUGUGACACUCUGAACCAAGCAAGUUGGUCAUAUGUGUCGAGCACUAUUAACUCUUUGGAAGAGGAUCCACCAAGUACAGGAAACAAAUCAAAUAUCUUCUUAACCUUAUCACCAGAAAAAUUAGCAAGAGAUGAAUAGUAACAUUUUAAAGAAGAAAGAUAUGUUUGAAAAGGGAUAUAUAUUAUGGCGACGAUUAGAAGAGCCCUUGACGAAUGGUGCCUAGCCUGCGAAAGUUUCUUAUGAAUAUAGUCAACACUCUAUAUCAACUGUUGUAAGAUUUUAGAAAUAUUUUUGGGGACAUAUGAUACAUGUCUAUUAUACAUAUGAUUCAACAGAAGUUUGAUUGAAUACAUAUUUAAAACGUGACUGACUUCUAUAUGGACGGAGUAUUUCACAAAGGACUCACUGCCAACUGUGUGAAUAUUCCAAGAUAGUUAGUGCACAUAAAUGUUCAAAUCCAUAGCCUGCAUAAAUAUACAAAAGCAAUGUGUUAGACCACUACACAUGCUUCUGAAAGGAGGCAAAAAAAUGUAUGCUUGAUUGAUGACCGUUCAUGCAUGAAAUUAAUUUCUGAUUUCUAAUUAUUUUGGUCAUAUAAUGGAAAUAGAGACAUUAUAAAGAUCCAACAGCAUGCUAUCACACACGUGUGAACACAGACACACACAAAUAACAUUUGCCGAGCACUCACAAAUAAAAGGUGUGGCUACUCUUGGGUGUUCUACAGCUGGCUUAAAAAAACACGUAUGAAACAUGAUCCCCAAAAAUCUGAAAUUCGCAACAUAUGAAAAUCCACCCUCAAACAUAUUUCUGGUGUCUCAAUUCUUUUAGUUUCAGAUGGUAUGUCCAGCCAAAGUAGUUGUACACAUACAUUACUAUGUUCUAUUAUUUGAGAUUCUAAGACAACAUUUAGUAACUAGCCCGUGCGAUGCACGGGUUCACGACUAGUAUAUAUAAAGCUUAAUGGUGCCUAAGAAAGCUCGCACAAUUUUACAGUGGCUGUGGAGAUGUGUUGCCAAACUGAGACAUAAGAUUUUCGUUUGGCAUCCAGAGUUGCAGACCGCUUGUGUUAUCCUUAAUCCAUGGCCACUCUAAUUUUUCCGGCUGGGCCUUCCCUGUGGUACGGCAGCAAGGCUUGCGUGUGUAUAUGUUUCCUUUAACUACCACUAGCACAUAUGCCCGUGCGUGCGUUGCAAGGGGAGAGAUAAUGGCGUAUCCACCAAUAUAUCUAGCAGCAUGACCCAACAACAUCCGAAUGAUGUCACCCGACGACGGCAGGAAGGCACACACAGAGGUCUAGUAAAAACUCAACAAUUGUACGGGCAUGGUUAAUUCGCGUGAAUUCAAGGGUGUGAGAUUAGUUAGUGUUGGUCCCACAAUUGAAUUCGGGGGCUGAUUAGUUAGUGUGGGCCCACCCUUGAAUUCACCGGGGGAGACAAAAUAAUUAGGGUGAGGAGAGAUUUACGGGGCUUGGUCCCCAGAUGCGUUGCGGCAGUCAUUAUUCGAGCAUUGCAAUGCUCGCACGUGAGGAGCUCUUUUUCCAAUUGUAUAUUGAGAAGCAUUGCUACAGAUACAAUGUUUUUGAUACGUUUUUGUACGAUGAUCCUGAUCUUAAAGGGCCUUCUAAUUUUUAAAUCUUAAAGGCAUUAUUUGUAAGUUGUCGUGAAAAAAAUCUCGCUAAAAGGGUUAUGUUAGACCAUCUUCAGUACAUUAGAAAUAACGAAUUAUAAUUCCUUGGCAUUUGAACAAACAAUCCCUACUUAUUUACACAUACAAUACUUUUGGUAUGAUUUUGAAAUCUUGAAGGCAUUAUUUGUAAGUUGAAGCAAUUUUGAAAUCUCACUAAAAGGUCUGUUAGACCAUCUAUAGCUUUAGAAAUAACUAAUUAUAAUUUUGCAAAAAAAAGAAAUAACUAAUUAUAAUUCCUUAAGCAUCUGACCGAAACGACCCCGAUUUAUUGUCUGGGUAGUAAUUCCUUUGCAACAUUAUUCUCUCCUUUCUUGAAGGAACUCUUGCCUGGGUAGUAAUUCCUUUGCCCACGUAUUUGCAAGGUUAUUCUCUCCUUCAUUUUUACAGGAGCUCUCCUUCCUUAUACUAAUUGGUCAUUAUCCUCUCCUUCCUUUUUCUUUUUGCCAAACUCUCUUUCCAUAUUUAUGCCGCUAACCACGCCACUCUUUUUCCUUAUUUAUGCCCUUUGAUCACGCCACACAUCUCAUGAAAUCUAAGCCAUAUAUAUCACCCAUCUUUUUUCCUUAUUCCGGUGCUUUCCUCACAAACAGUAGUUCUCUAGGAUGCUUAACGAUUUUGAAACAGAAACAUAUAUAAAUCGGUAGAACGGGUUGUAAAGCAGCGAGGUGGUACUAAUUUAUAAAGAAACAAACCUUUUCUUUUUGUGUAAUGAUGCCUUGGUUCGGCUGGUUGCGUUGGGAAAAGGACCGGCGAAGUGGGCGAACCAAAAACGGAUAAAAUUACGGUGGUAAGAAGCGAUAGCCCUUUUAUUAGUAGGUAUGAGGAUGUCUAGGAUGUCUAGGAUGAGGAUUUACUGCACACAAGUGCGGGGGCACUCAGGUCCUGAUGCCGCCUUUUUAUUUUGGCUUCCGAUUUUCAAACUUCUAUAUCUUUUAAACAAAAAAUUCAAUUUAAGUUACGUUUUCAUAUUCGUGCUUCUCGCGGCCAGCGCUUUCAAAUAAGAUCCAUUUUGCAUACAUUUUGGUGGCUUUUGGAAACGGGCGAAUAGCUCCUAUGCGACGUUGUUGGUGUGUAUUGUCUCUCAUGCGACGUUGUUGGCUGUAAUAGCUCUCAUGCGACAUCUGCGUUGGAAAAAAUAGCUCCCAUGCGACACACCAUUUACGCGGCUAGUUGGCUGUUAGUUAGGCUGAGGUUUGGUUAGGACACUGGGGGUUAUGUGCUCUGACUGGUGGGGUCCACCUAUGGUCACGUAGACAAGAGUCAACCGUCCACGACUCGACCUGGGACUGUGUGACCGUGCUCGACUCACCCGUGCUGGACUGAGUGAGCGGUGCCGCCGUAAGCAUCUUCUCCGACAGCGGUUUCUUCUCCGCGGUGGUGGAGCGCAUUUCUCGGCAGCGGCAGAGCUAUUGCGAGGUGAGCCCGAAACCCUAGUCCCACUCCCCAGAAUUUUGGGGGAUCUGUGGCCUCAUGCUGCCCUCUGUUUCUUGGCGAUUUAGAAUCGGGCUCCAUUGGAUCCGGGGGUUGUUUCUUCUCCGUGGCCCGGUGGUGGAGCGCCUAUCUCUGUAGCGGCUAUUGCGAGUGAGUAUUUUCCAAACACUACUCGCAUUCCACUAAAUUUUGGAUAAAUCUGUGGCCUCAUGCUGCCCCUAUUUCUUGGCGUUUUAGAAUCUCGAUUGGAUAGGAGAUGGAGCGAGGGCUGGAUGAGAUGGAGCGAGGAGACAGUGCUUCAAAUCGGUAAUGCCACACUCUUUUCUUGGCGAUUUAGAAUCGAACUCGAUUUGGUAGUGACUGCCGCCGCUGCCUGCCAUUGACAAAACAGGGGAGGUUCAAGUUCUGCCACCACAUUCACAAUUAUAGUGGAAUUUUUUCCCUGUAAAGCCAAGCUCAGUGAUGGCAGUGUCCAAGACAUUGAUAGAGAUACCACCGUGAGGUUCGAUGUCGAAUUUGCAGAUGUUGAUCCCCAGGAAUUGGAGAGCAUGAAGGAGAAGGCCGUGGGCAAUUUGGUGGAGAGAAUUGGGGAGAAUAUUGUUUGGGGUCCAGAACAAGAGGUAUGUCUGCAACGUUUCGAUAACUAUAAUGGUGAAUAUGUGAGAAUUGAAGAUGGAGAAUCCAUGGUUGCUGAAAUUGAUCAGCAAGAAGGGUGGGCAACUAAACAAGUAACAUUUUAUGCAGAGCUAAUUGAUCUACAAACUCAUUCCAGAGUUGGUUAUGUGCAAUCAAAGAGGGCUGCACAGAUGGAAGAUGAUGAGUGGGUUUCACAAAAGAAGAUGUUGGCAUUGUUGACUGAACCGACUGUAGUAGCUGAAGAUACAGGGAUUGAUGCAGAUGGAGAGGAGGGAACCCAUGGUGCUAGGAAGAUUGUUGUUGACUGGAAUGUAGUAGAGUUGAAUGAAAAAACAGAUUUGGUCAUUACACCAAUAUCUGACAUUGAUAUGGCCGAAAUGUUUGGCAUUCAAGUUGAUGACAAAGAUAAGGAGAAGGAUGACAGUUCUUUGCCUGCUGAAGGAACAUAGGCCCUAGAAAUGCAAAUGAGGAUGAAGAACAGCUGAUGAGAGAGGCUGCAGAUGAUGUGGAUGAUGCAGAUGAUAAUGAGUUGGUUUGUUUGUAUGACAAAGAGAACCCAGUUAUUGAGGUGGGAAAGUUGUGGCCAAGCAUGAAGGAGUUUAGGAUGUCUUUCAGGACCUAUGCAGUGAAAAAGAGUUUGAUGCCAAGACUAUGUGGACUGAUUGAAAGAAAUUUUAUGCUCGGUGCAAAGGUUAUGAUGGUGGUGGCAAUCCUUGCAAAUGGUACUUGUCUGCCAGACUACAACCUGAUUGAAGUACAGUAAGGGUAAAUCAAAUACCACACCAGCAUACAUGUAUGACCACUUCACAGAGAGUUUCAAAGAUGACAUCACAGCUUUGGGUUACAGAGAAGAUUACUCCUAUUUUAGCCAAGACUCCAAACACUACUGCAAAGAGGCUUAAAGUUGACUUGGAGAAGCUGUACCCCAUCCAGCUGCAAUAUACCACAGUGUGGAAAGCAAAACAAAGGGCCAUGAAAUCAUUGUAUGGUGACUGGGCAAAUACAUUUAGGAUGUUGUAUAGUUUUAAAGCAGAGGUGGAGAAGAGGUCACCUGGGAGUGUGGUGGAGAUAGAUACAGAGGUAACAGAGGAUGUCAUGGUUUUAUUCAGCAAGUUUUUUAUGUGUUUGAAGCCAUGCAUAGAUGGAUUCAAAGCAGGUUGUCGUCCAUAUUUGAGCAUAGACUCAUCUUUUUUGACUGGAAAGUGGAAUGGUCAGUUGGCUGCAUGCAAUGCUCUAGAUGGACGCAACUGGAUGUUCCCAAUUGCAAUAGGAAUGUUUCAAUCAGAGACAGAGGCAUCAUGGAUAUGGUUCAUGAUGCAACUGAAAAGAUGUAUAGGGCCAGUUUCUCCUUUAGCCAUCCACACAGAUGCAUGUAAAGGGUUCGAAAAUGCAGUAAAAAAUGUUGUCCCCCAUGCUGAGCAGAGGGAGUGCUUUGGACAUAUGUGGAUGAAUCUGAUAAAAAAAUUAGAGGAGAUGAAUUUGGGCGCAUGUGGCCAGCAGCAAGAUCCUACACCAGACAGACACAUUCCUAUCACCUUGGUAAGAUAUUGGCAUCAUGUAGUGAUAAUGAAUUUGCUUCAUGGUUGAACACCCGCCAUUCUCUGUUGUGGUAUAGAUCAGGUUUUAAUACUGCCAUAAAAUGUGAUAAUAUCAAUAACAACUUGGCAGAAAGUUUUAACAACAAAGUGAAGGAUUUGAAAGACUUGCCUGUGCAUGACAUGGUGGACCAAAUAAGGAUCAUGAUCAUGCGUUUGUGGGAGUUGAGAGGAAAAAUUGCUAAUAUUUUGGAAGGGGACAAGCUUCCAGCAGUGGUACAAUAGGUGGUCAACAGGAGUAGAAAUCUUUCACAUCUAUCUGUUGAGAAAUCUUCCUUGUGGGGUGCUGAAGUUAGAGAUACAAAGAGUGGCAAGAGGCAUGUGGUAAAUACUGAGUUGCAUGAGUGUACUUGCCGAGAGUGGCAACACACUGGAAAACCAUGUGAGCAUGCCAUACUUUUUUUGGCAUCUAAACCCAGGUUAAAUAUGCACCCAUAUUUGCAUGAGUAUUAUUCAGUACAAAAAUUCAAAGCUGCAUAUGCAAGUCCAAUUCCUGCACUGACUGACCAAUCUCAGUGGCCUGAGGUGGAAAUAGAAUUUACCUUGUGUCCCCUGUCACUAGAAGAAAGGCUGGGAGGCCUAAACAGAGCAGAUUCAAAGCUUGGUUUGAGAAAGGUGGUUGUAGUAAGAAGGGGAAAAAAGAAAAGAAAAAGAAUGAUAAGCCCAAAAGGGCUCAAAAAGGUAAGAAAAAUAGGUGCAAGUUGUGUGAGGUACUUGGGCACAGAAUUGGUUCAUCCAAGUGCAUCUAUACUCCUCAGAGGACAAAGUAUGUUCAUGUUACUGUUUUUACAAGUUUUUGAUUUUGUUACUUGUUCUAGUAUCUAACCAAGUCAAAUGCUUUAUUUUUUAGGAGGAAGCGUGCAGAAAAAGCCCCACCUCUUGUUGUUGAACAAUGCUGGCCAGUGAAAAAAGCAAGACUCAAUGGCUAUAUAGAAGGAAGAGCACUAAGCAGAUAAUGUUUGGUGACAAAGAUAUGGAGCUAACUGAAACUGUUACUGCUGAACAUGAGCUAAGUGUUUCUGUUUUGGACGAUGUGAUGCAUACUGAAUCUGUUUUGCAGACGCUAGGGCAAUCUGAAACUGUUGCAGAUGAAGCAACGGUUGUGCUGCCAUGCGAAUCUGCUUUGACAACUGUGUUGCCAUGUUUGGAGGUUGUGCUGCCAAGUGUUGAGUUGCAAACUGAAGUAGUUGAACAAUUUGUGCCAUCUACUCAAUCUGCAGAAGUGCAAACUGAAGAAGUGCAAACUGAAGAAGUGGGACAUGGUCAGGUGAAAAAGUUGAGGGGGCCUAGUGGAGUUUGCAAGGGGCCAAAAAGCAAGAGCAUCAACAUCAACAAACUAUGCGCCGUGGAACCAAACGAUGGAAAAAAGCAGAAGAAAUCGAGUGGUAGAAAGAAGCAAAAGAAAUAGAGUCGAAAUCAUUCAAAUUUGAUGUGAAAACUUAAGUUUGUUGUCAUUUGAUGUGAAAACUUAUGUUCUUUCAUGUGAAAACUUAUGUGCUAUGAUGUUGAUUUGACUUGAAAUAAAAUUCAAAUUUGAACCGACAUUCAAAUUUGAACCUAUCUCCAAAUUUUUUUGAGUUCAUUUGUUUGUUCUGUGAUGUUGCAUCGUUUUAUGUACUACUAUGCACUUUGUGAAGUCCAACUCAUAGUCACUGAAAAUGCUGUACAAACAGGCUCCAAAGUAAGGGAAAACGGCCCCAUUUCUAAGCAAGUUUUUUUCGAUCUUCUCAAAAUCACCCAAAAAAGAUUUUCUUAGCUUAUAUUAUACCUAUAUAGGAUCAAUACAAAGUCUCACCUUUUUUGAAUAAGUAUUCAUAUUAUUUAAUUUAUUUUUGAAAAAACACCCUUUAAUACAAAGUCAGCAAUAAAACAAGUUUAAAAAUUUUAAAUGCAAAAAUAACUUCAGAUCCUCCUUAGUCACUCUAAAAUGAAGCUAAGGUGAUGUUUUUUGAUUUUUUUGCAUUUUCAAAACCUCAAACCCUCUUCUCACUCCUUUGAACUCUAUGCAACCUCAGUCGAGAUAGUCCAAUUUGUGAAGGUUUUUUCAUGCAAAGAUCAUUAGAUCAAGUUUAUCAUUUUAUAUCAUAACUAUGUAACAUAAAAAGGCUAUAUGCGCAGGUUUUUCAUUUUUUAGAUUUUUUUGAAUUAGUUAUACACAUUUGAAUGUUCGGUCAAACCUUUCAAAACCCCGUUGACUGCCUCAAAACCCCAUGUAACCCUAGCGCCAAACGUCCACCGUCGAUCUAACCCUAACGCCAAACUGCGGCCGUCGGAUGGGACUUCUAGAAGGAUUCCGCGGGGGCGAUCCAUGGGCUCCAAUCUGAUUGGCCAUUGUUUUUUCUCUCUGACGAACAGAUAACGUUGAGCGGGGGAGCAUCUAAGUGACCGUUGGGCCGAGUGGAUUGGGCCUGGCAAAGCCUGGCGUGCGUGCACACGGCUGUUGAGAGGGGGGAUGGGCUGCAUGCGAGCGGGUCAAUGACAUGUGGGCCAUCCUUGUCCCAUGCAUGCCAUGCAACGUCGCAGCCUAGCUAUUCUUUGCUCGUGAAAGCCUAGCCAUUUGCAUGCGGGCUUGCAUGCACGCAUCGACGCAGAGUACGGCAAGGGUGCAGCGUAUAGGUACGUCGCAUCUAAGCUAUUUUAACAAAUGCAUGUUUGAACGAGAUGGACGCGUCGGUGGUGCAGCUCCUUUUUCAGUGUCACGCGCGGAUGAACGGGCCUGUUUCCCAUGCGGCAUCACCGCCGAUGCAAGUGCCCGUGCCUCUUUGGAUGCUCUGGCCGCCGUUUUUUGAAUUAAUGCCCGCAAUUACUUAUGCCAUGCGAACGGAGAAGAGAAAAAGAUCGAGAAGGGGCACCGUGUACACAUUGACCAUGGUUGCAAUGCGGCUAUAAAAGGGCACCAUUUCCUCAUCCUCUCACACUCAUCUCUCAAGCCUCCUCCCCUUCUUCUUUUCGAGCCAAAUCCACCACUCGAGCCACCAUGCAGUUCAACGGCCCUACCUACCGUCGCCCUUGCACCGUGCCGGAGAGGCAGUACCCAGCCGGAGUCGUCGUGGAGAACAGCCUGAGGGUGUGGGCCAUCUCUAGGUGGAGGGGCCCUAGAGAGUUGGCUCGCUUCUUCCUCCAAGCUGGCUACCGCCACCUCCCUCCGGGCACUCCGCCCAUGUUCCACCUCCACGAGCAGUACGAUGGCAAUGCCGGCCCCGACGGCUUCGUCAUCGGCCUCUAUGUCACCUUCACCAACCCCUACGACGCUCACCACCUCCCCGGGGAGGUGUUCUGGUGUGGAUGCGAGUUUAUCGCGUUCACGACCUACAACAUCUUCACCAACUUCCACCACAUCUUCCCUCACCACAACGGCAUGCACACCCUCCCCUAUCAGAUGCCGGAGGACGACGAGUGAGGGGCCCAAGGAGGAGGGUCCAAGGAGUGGCAAGGAGGAGGGGCCAAGGAGUUGUUCAAGCGGCGAGUCUUCUAUCUAUCUAGUUUGGGGCUCUAGUUUGUGUUUGUGUUGGUUCGGGCGUGUGUGCCCGUGUCUUUUAUAUAUCUAGUUUUAAUUAUUUUACUUUCAUGUUUUAUGAACUAUAUGUAGUGGGGGGAUGCCCCUCUAUAAGUUUUAUCUAUCUAUGCUACUAGGGUACCCGAUGCCCCUCUAUCUAUCUAUAUGUUUUUUCGGUCCUAAAGUUUCUCCAUUGCAUUUUAUUUAUGUGGCCAUGUGUACUAAAAAACAAUUGAUCUGGUAUCUAAAAUGUACGUUACCAAGAAAUUGACAAUAAAGAUUAUAUACUGUACUACAUAAUCAUACAGUUGGUAUACAAUGCAUUUGAAGACAAUGGGCAAGAAAAAUGCUAAUUAUCUGGUGCUGGUGACAUGCGUAAGUGUUGUCUGAUGUUUAAAUCAUGCUUGCUAUGUCAUUUUUUGCUGCCAAACAUGGCAUUAGCGAGAAAGGUCAUUUGGGCACUGAAUGUAUUAAAGUAUACACCAUAUAUAAAAAUGUCUAGCCAAAAGAUUUGGGUGUACAACUGUACACCAAUGACCAAGUAUGGAUCCGCCCCUGGUUGUAAGGGGAUGCCCCUCUAUGUUGUAAGGAGAUGCUACUAGGGGCACACUAGAUGUCUUCUUUUUUUGAGAGAGGCACAACCUUUUUCGGUUGAAACACACGAGUAAAAACUUUGAAAACACCAUAGCACAAGUAAAAAAAUAUAUUAAGAAAUGGUGCUUGGUUGAAAUAAACUAGAACCAAACAAUUGCAACUUUCUUGGUUCACAAAGACUGCUCAAAUAAUUAUCUCAAAUAGCUUAUGCAUAAAAAUAUCUCAAAUAAUUAUUAGAUGAGUUAUCUCAAAAAAGGUGACUGCAGGAAACUUAAAAUUUGUGAAAUGAUCUAAAGCCGAAAAGAUAUAUCGAUGAAUUAUCUCAAAUAGCUUAUGCAUAAAAAUAUCUCAAAUAAUUAUUAGAUGAGUUAUCUCAAAAAAGGUGACUGCAGGAAACUUAAAAUUUGUGAAAUGAUCUAAAGCCGAAAAGAUAUAUCGAUGUCAAUGACCGUGUGCACUUUUUUUGCACUCCUUUUAUCAAUGGGCCUGGAUAUGUUCUAUUCGGCCCUGCCUAACUUCUAUAUGGGCCUGGCCUUUUCGGGCAACUAUGGACGAACCUUUUUUUUCCUUUUCUCCCUCUACCACUGAAACUGAAACUGAUGACGAACUGAAGAACUAAAAAACGGGGCCGAAACAGAGUGGAGAGGACAUGCUGAAUUCGUACAACGCAACACUUUUAUUCAAAUAUACAUAUCAUUAGGAUUACAAAUGAUGCCCAAUCUAUUCACUUACGACUAAUUAUCAUCACAUAAACAAAUGCGAGAGCAAUUACACAAACAUAAAAAAGUCCGGCCAUCAGCCCCAUCAAAUUGCCCUGCUUCUGCAAUUUGAUGAGUUUCUUCAUCUGCUUGUUUAGCUUCUUCAGCUCUGCCGUCACUACUGCAUCCCCCACAGUAGCCCCAAUGGAAUGGGCACAUCCAGGGGCCCCAGAUCCAGAAGCGCCCGAUCCAAACUUGCCCAACUUCUCCACCUCCAGCGGUAAAUCGAGCUCCCCUGAUGCACCCUCCAGUUGAAUCCGCUCUAUGUACUCAUUUAGCCACUCAAAAUGGGUGCAUUGCUUCAAUUUCUGAAAUUGGAAAGAUGAACCCUAAAUCCCAAAUCCGAUGAAAAAUGGGGAAAAAUUGUGAUAUGAAAUUGGGAUACAAAAACCAAAAUUGGCAUAUUGAGAAGUAAAAUCUCACCUUUCCCUGCUCUGGUUUGCUCUCGCAUUUCACGAAUUCCCGCCCAAGGUUGCCAUUCUUGUCGGUCGUUGUGACUAGCCGCUUCAGGGGUGUGAUACGUGGGCCUGCAGGGCACCUUGUCAUGGGCACUGCGCCAUAGCGCGGCCAUGAGCGGCGGGAGGCUGAAGCGGAGCUCGACAUUGCUAGGUCGCGGCCCGGAACGGCGUUGCUGCGCGUCGUCGCCGGAGAAGAAGAACAACAACGGUCGGGGAGGGGGGGUGGGGGCGGGGGCGAGGAUGGGCCACGGCUCGGGCCACGGCUCGGUGUCCUCUUGUACCAAUGCUGACCUGGAUAAGUUAGUGGGUCCCACGCAGUGGGUCCCGCUCACCUGACCAAUGCUGAGUUGGAUAAGUUAGUGGGUCCCGCGCUGUGGGUCCCGCUCACCUGAUUCGAGUUUUAAACAUGUGUCUUUGGAUUAGACAGCAGUGUCGCAUGGGAGCUAUUUUUUCCUAUGCAGAUGUCGCAUGAGAGCUAUUACAACCAACAACGUCGCAUGAGAGACAAUACACACCAACGAUGUCGCAUAGGAGCUAUUCGCCCUUUGGAAACAUUGCUAAGUUUCAUUGUUUGAAACUUAGUACGAGCGACCGAUAAAAUUUAAUUAUUUUGUGUCUACGACCAACAGGAGAAAUUGCUUAAAAUUACAUCUUUGAAACUGGUCAUUUUUUGAUGCAAAAAUGUAAGUUUCAUCAUUGAAACUUAAGGGCAUGUCCAAUGCUGGAUGCUUAUCCAGGCGCUUAUCGUGUGGAAAAAAAAAAUGCCACGAAGUUAGCUCUCGCUUGUCCAACAGCCAAUGCUAACAACGGGCGCUAACCACGGCUGGAGCUAUAGAUUAGAAAGAAAGAUCUGGUUCACUUGUACGUGAAAAAAGGAGCAAGCGCUCGAUGCCUUGCUUUGCAUCGAUGCCAGACUGAGGUGCUGGGAAUCGACAAGAUAACCGCCAAUCUACCAGGAUUAAAUUCCUAGCGCCUUCUUCUAGCGCCUCCCACUGAAAAUGCCCUAAAGGUUUUUGAGGGAUUUUUUUACUGUGUCCUACUUCACGUAUCACGAGGCAAAUCAAGUAGGCGGCAUGGCCUGGCCGGUGAGUGCCAUUGCACUUACUUGCCCCAGCGAUUUUCCGCCUGCAUUGUAGAAUUCUUUCUCCGAGUCCUGUGAAUUAAAGAUGGUGCAGACAAAAGUAUAUCCUAUAUGCGUACAUGUGCAUGAUCAGAACAUGUUUUUACGUGCGUCUACUAUAAAUCAUGACCAUUUUUAACACAAAUCAUGACCAUUCAUGAUUAGUGAAUCAUACUGUCUUAACUUAUGUGAAAUCAUGUGGAGUAAUAUAAUAUAAUAUAAUAGAUAGAUAGAUCCAUGUUGUAUCAUUACACAUUUUGAUUUAUGCAUUUGUUUACAAAAAAAACAGUAAAAUUUCAUGGUGAAAAGUUUGUAUUGUUUCAUACUGAACACCAAUGUUUUCCCGUAAAAGAAAAUAAUGCCUACGCAUAUGCUUUUAUAUUAUUAUUAUUCUUUCAAACUUAUUCAUAUAGUAUUUUUGAUUGUGCAACCAUAAUUUUUAUUAUCUCUCUUGUUCCACUACAUGCUCUUACUCAAUGAUUUUUUUAUAAUGGGUGUUUUUAUUAACUCAAAAUAUAGCAUCAAGCGGAUACAAAACAUAACGAGCCACGUCCGGUCUCUGCAUAACUAAGAUGCACACAGCCAAAAGCAGAAGUCUGACAAAAAUAAGAUAAGAAAAUCAACAUAUCGACAACAGUGAGUCAUAUAGUUCCGACACUAUGCCUCUGUUGAAGGACGGGGUGGAGCGAUCUGGAGAUUAUGCUUCCCUCCAUUUUGAGUAAAUACCUCCCUGGCCACUUGUUCCAACCGCAUAGACGCCGCCACGAAUAAUGGUUGGUACUCUGUUCGGUGUAGCAUACACCAUGUAGGAAGUGAGUGCUCACUCCUAGUUACUAAAUUAUGUACACACUAGUAGAAAAAGGGCCAUUUGUCCCGGUUCGUAAGGCCCAUUUGUCUCAGUUAGGGAACCGGGACUAAAGGGUCGGUACUAAAGCCCUACACCUUUAGUCCCGGUUCUUACACCAACCGAGACAGAUGGGGCUCCACGUGGCCGCUGCGGCUUGCCAUGGCAGGGGGGCCUUUUGUCCCGGUUGGUAGCACCAACCGGGACCAAUAAGCUACCACGCGUCAGCAUUUGAGGGGCUUGGGUUUUUGUUUUUUUCUGAAGGGGGGGAGGGGGGUUGGGGGUUUUGGGGGGUUUUGUAUGGUUAAUUUUGGGGGGUUUCAUAUAUAGUGUUAGGUAGUAAUUAAUUAAUAGAGAGAAGUGUCCUCUCUUAUCUCCGUGCUUGGUCGACGCUACGUACUAUACGUAUAGAGAGGCCCUCGACACGCUUGCCAGUAAGCAAAUGAAGGAAACCAUUAAGUACAGAAGUUCGUCAUGAACAUAUGCAUACAAACAUAAGUGAUAUCGACCUCUCCUUCUCCGAGAGAUAGGUCGAAGAACAAGUUUCCGUAUAUCUAUCCGGCGCUACUAGCUACAUAUAUACAAUAUUAAGAUCUCUUACAAUAUAAUCCCCUAAUUAUAUAUGAACUCAGCUUCCAGAUGGUAUUCUCCGGCUUUAUUGAUGACGUGGUCAAGAAAGAAUCCCUCCAAUUCCUCUUGAAUUGCUUUGAUGCGAUCUUGUGGUAGGAGUUCAUCCUGCAUCUGCCACAUCUAAUUUGAAGAAGGGGGUCAAUCACUAGUGGAAUAACAGCCAUUUGUCUAGGUUCGUAAGGCUCAUUUGUCCCGGUUGGGGAACCGAGACUAAAGGGUCGUUACUAAAGCCCUACACCUUUAGUCCCGGUUGUCGGUGUCAAAACCGGCGGAUCUCGGGUAGUGGGUCCUGAAUUGUGCGUCUAGGCCGGAUGGUAACAGGAGGCAGGGAACACGAUGUUUUACCCAGGUUCGGGCCCUCUUGAUGGAGGUAAAACCCUACGUCCUGCUUGAUUAAUAUUGAUGAUAUGGGUAGUACAAGAGUAGAUCUACCACGAGAUCAAGGAGGCUAAACCCUAGAAGCUAGCCUAUGGCAUGAUUGUUGUGUAUGGAGUUGAUUGCCUACGGACUACAACCCUCCGGUUUAUAUAGACACCGGAUAGGGUUAGGGUUACAUAGAGUCGUUUACAAUGGUAGGAGAUCUUGAAUAUCCGCAUCACCAAUCUUGCCUUCCACGCCAAGGAAAGUCCCAUCCGGACACAGGACGAAGUCUUAAAUCUUGUAUCUUCAUAGUCCAGGAGUCCGGCUGGACGUAUAGUCCGGCUACCCGAACACCCCCUAAUCCAGGACUCCCUCACCGGUUCUUACACCAACUGGGAGAGAUGGGCCUCCACGUGGCCGCUGCGGCGAGCCCAGGUAGGAGGUCCUUUGGUCCCCGUUAGUGACACUAAUACGUCUCCAACGUAUCUAUAAUUUUUGAUUGCUCCAUGCUAUUAUGUUAUCCAUUUUGGAUGUUAAUGGGCUUUAUUUUACACCUUUAUAUCAUUUUUGGGACUAACCUACUAAUCGGAGGCCUAGCCCAAAUUGCUAUUUUUUGCCUAUUUUAGGUUUUUGAAGAAGAGGAAUAUCAAACGGAGUCCAAACGGAAUGAAACCUUCGGGAACGUGAUUUUCUCAACGAACAUGAUCCAGGAGACUUGGAGUGUGCGCCAAGAAAUAAGGGAGGAAGGCACGAGGCAGGGGGGCGCGCCUACCCCCCUUGAGCAUGCCCUCCACCCUCGUGGGCCCUCCACUGCUCCACCGACGUACUUCUUCCUCCUAUAUAUAUCCACGUACCCCCCAAACAACCAGGAGCACCACGAAAACCUAAUUCCACCACCGCAACCUUCUGUACCCGAGAGAUCCCAUCUUGGGGCCUUUUCCGGAGGGGGCAUCGAUCACGGAGGGCCUCUACAUCAACUGCAUGGCCUCUCCGAUGAUGUGUAAGUAGUUUACUUCAGACCUACGGGUCCAUAGUUAUUAGCUAGAUGGCUUCUUCUCUCUCUCUUUGGAUCUUAAUACAAAGUUCUGCUCGAUUUUCUUGGAGAUCUAUUCGAUGUAAUCUUCUUUUGUGGUGUGUUUGUCGAGAUCCGAUGAAUUGUAGGUUUAUGAUCCAGAUUAUCUAUGGACAAUAUUUGAUUCUCCUCUGAAUUCUUUUAUGUAUGAUUCGUUUAUCUUUGCAAGUCUCUUCGAAUUAUCAGUUUGGUUUGGCCUACUAAAUUGAUCUUUCUUGCAAUGGGAGAAGUGCUUAGCUUUGGGUUCAAUCUUGCGGUGUUCGAUCCCAGUGACUGAAAGGGAAGCGAUAUGUAUUGUAUUGUUGCCAUCGAGGAUAAAAAGAUGGGGUUUAUAUCAUAUUGCAUGAGUUUAUCCCUCUACAUCAUGUCAUCUUCCUUAAAGCAUUACUCUGUUCUCUUGAACUUAAUACUCAAGAUGCAUGCUGGAUAGCGGUCGAUGUGUGGAGUAAUAGUAGUAGAUGCAGAAUCGUUUCGGUCUACUUGUCUGGGACCUGAUGCCUAUAUACAUGAGCAUACCUAUAUAUUCUCAUAACUAUGCUCAAUUCUAUCAAUUGCUCGACAGCAAUUCGUUUACCCACCGUAAUACUUAUGCUCUUGAGAGAAGCCACUACUGAAACCUAUGGCCUCGGGGUCUAUCUUCUAUCAUAUUAAUCCUCCAAUACUUAGUUAUUUAUAUUUCUAUCUAUUUUACUUUCCAUCUUUUAUUUCUCUUUAUCAUAAAAAUACCAAAAAUCUUAUCUUAUCAUAUCUAUCAGAUCUCACUGUUGUAAGUGACCGUGAAGGGAUUGACAACCCCUUUAUCGCGUUGGUUGCGAUGUUCUUAUUUGUUUGUGUAGGUUCGUGGGACUUGAGCGUGAUCUCCUACUGGAUUGAUACCUUGGUUCUCAAAAACUAAGGGAAAUACUUACGCUAAUUUACUUCAUCACUCUUUCCUCUUCAAGGGAAAACCAACGCAAUGCUCAAGAGGUAGUGUCGGUGUCAAAACCGGCGGAUCUCGGGUAGUGGGUCCCGAACUGUGCGUCUAGGCCGGAUGGUAACAGGUGGCAGGGAACACGAUGUUUUACCCAGGUUCGGGCCCUCUUCAUGGAGGUAAAACCCUACGUCCUACUUGAUUAAUAUUGAUGAUAUGGGUAGUACAAGGGUAGAUCUACCACAAGAUCAAGGAGGCUAAACCCUAGAAGCUAGCCUAUGGUAUGAUUGUUGUAUAUGGAGUUGAUUGCCUACGGACUACAACCCUCCGGUUUAUAUAGACACCGGAUAGGGUUAGGGUUACAUAGAGUCGGUUACAAUGGUAGGAGAUCUUGAAUAUCCGCAUCGCCAAGCUUGCCUUCCACACCAAGGAAAGUCCCGUCCGGACACGGAACGAAGUCUUCAAUCUUGUAUCUUCAGAGCCCAGGAGUCCGGCUGAAGGUAUAGUCCGGCUAUCCGAACACCCCCUAAUCCAGGACUCCCUCAGUAGCCCCUGAACCAGGCUUCAAUGACGACGAGUCCAGCGCGCAAAUUGUCUUCGGCAUUGCAAGGCGGGUUCCUCCUCCAAGUCCUUCAUAGAAGAUUGUAAGCACCAAGAGUAGUGUCCGGCUCUGCAAAAUAAGCUUCCACAUAUCGCCAUAGAGAGAAUAAUAUUAACACAAAUCAAAUCUGCUGACGUAUUCCGCAGUGCGUCAUCACACUACAGCCAAGUCCUUCACUCGAAUCGUUUUCACUUUUCCACCUCAGCGUGUUUUGCGAGGCGGUUUCCUUGGCACGUCUUGUCAAAGCAGAGAUCGUGUCCCCCUUGUUUACGGGAUUCUCGUUAAUACGGACGUGGGUAACCCAACCGCGCCACUUAUCACGGCGCUUGGGAGGCAAGCGAGUUUUACUAGGCUGGUGGGGACGCAUAGUCGCAUCCGCCCAUAUAAGGGGAUAAGGAUCCACCUUUUUACCUACGCCUUCUUCCUCCUUUGCCUAGCCAUCUUCUGCGCACCCGAGCUCUAGCGCCCCAGCCCGCGCUUCCUACCUCAACCCUCUCCAACAAUGUUCGGAGCGGGAGGCAAGUGGAUGGUCUCCUCCGUCACGGAGGGCCAUGUCAAAAGGUUAAGGAAGGCCGGAUACUUGUCCAAAGACAUCGCGCACCGGCUUCCUGAGGAGGGGCAGCUUCUCCCCACCCCAAGGCCCCAUGAGAGGGUAGUAUUUCUUCCCCACUGCCUCCGCGGACUGGGUUUUCCUCUCCACCCAUUUGUCCGCGGGCUCAUGUUCUACUAUGGCCUAGAUUUCCACGAUCUGGCCCCGUACUUCAUCCUCAAUAUCUCGGCGUUUAUCAUCGUGUGCGAGGCUUUCCUCUGCAUUCGCCCCCAUUUCGGCCUCUGGCUCACGACCUUCAACGUCAAGCCAAAGGUGGUGCGCGGUAACCAGGCGGAGUGCGGAGGUGCCAUGGCGGGCAAAAUUGCCAACGUCCUAUGGCUCGAGGGCUCCUUUGUGGAGACCUUGAAGGGGUGGCAGUCAGGGUGGUUUUACAUCACCGAGCCACGCGAUCCGAAGUGGAUCGCAGCCCCUGAAUUCCGAUCCGGACCCCCUACGCGGCUCAUGUCCUGGAAGGAGACGAGCUUGUCGUGGGGCGACGAAGGAGAGUUGACCAGACUGCAAAAAUGCAUCCAGUCCCUGGUGAACAAGCAGCUCAAGCUUGUCAACGUAAUCUAGGUCAUGCUCGUCCGCCGGAUUCUUCCGUGUCAAGAACGGGACUUCAAUUUGUGGGAGUUCAACCCGGCGCAACACCGAACUCUGAGAAGGCUCUUCAACACGACGUACGAAGAUGUCUGGAGGGGGCUAACCAAAGGCGCCGAGACUCCCACAUCCGCCUCCGAAGACCGCGGAUUCAGCUCGCAGCGUCCUGCUGGCGAGGUAAGAUAUUUCCAUCUUUUACAGGAUGUUAAGCUUUUUCAUAGUUGACUCUAUGCGGGAUCAAAACUCCCUCACCUUUGACAGGAUUGGCGGGAGAAGUCCGGACAGAUUAAAUGCCCGGCUCCCUUGCCCGAAGACCUAGCCCCUGCUCUCCUAGAGAAGCUGCUGGUUUCGGCACCUUAUGUGGUGCCGGAGAAGAGGGCCAAGAAGAAGAAGGCCACGGGGACUCGAAAGAGUUCCUGGCAUAUGGUGGUGUCGGACUCGUCGUCCGACCAGUCCGAGACGCACUCCUCCCGUGAAGACGAGGAGGAAGAGUGUCGGACUCGUCGUCCGACGAGUCCGAGACGCACUCCUCCCGUGAAGAGGAGUGGCCGGACUACGUCCCCGACGCCGACGAGGACGAAGAGGAGUGGCCAGACAGGGCCAAGCAUCCGGCGAGAUCGUAAGUGUUCGGAUACCAGAGUAACUCGUGAUAUUCCUUUUGUUGCACAGCUUUCCCUAAUGUCGGAUAUAAUCAUGCAGUCCGCCCAAGGAUGGGCUCGACGAGUCGUCGAGCGGCUCCCUGGAUUCAUCGGACGUGAAUUCAGUUCCGCCUACUGCUUCCCCCUGUGCUGCAGAUGACGCCGAAGUGGCGUCGCGACAAGCUCCGGGACGAGAGGAGGUGGUCCAGGAGGAGUCGCGAGGUGACCUCCCGGACUCCAGGAGUGAAGGGGACAAGACCCCCCUGGGAUCCAAGUUCGGCUUUAAGCCGGACACUGAGAUGGAAUCAUCAACAGUUCCGGACUGCGGUAGGCGAACUCCUACCAGGAGGAGCAAGCCUACUGAGCCGGCAUCCUCCGUCCAGCCGGAGGCGCCGGACAAUCUGCUGGAGGAGCUUAAGGGCGCCUCCACCGACGAGGAGCACCGUGCCGUCAUGAGUACGGUGAUCCAGAAGGUUCGGUCCGCCAAAAGCGGACUGACUGAAGCUUGUGCUGGCCUUCUAACAGGCUUCGAGGUAAGUAAAAAUAUGUAAAAAUAUUACCGUAUAGACAGUAGCCCCUGAUGCUCUGUUUGGCGUUUGUAAAGAAAAGCCAAAUAGAGGAUCUAUUAAAUAUCGCAGGAGUCUAACUAAAAAGGAGUCAAUAUAUGUAUGCAGGCUUCGCUGCUGGCCACCGCCGCACUGACUGCGGAGGUGGGUGCCCUGAAGGAGGGCCUCCAGCGGACCGAGCAAGAGCUCGGCCUUGCCAAACGGCAGCUCGAGGAAAAAGAAUGUAAGAGAUACCUUACAGAAAAAGUGCCUAUAAAAAGGCUUGAUUGCAAAAAGAGUAGCAGGAUUGUACUGCUUAUUGUAGGGGCCACGACUGAGGUGGCGACCUUUAAGCAGGUGUUGUCUGAGGCCGAAAAGAAAACGGCCGCGGAGCGCACCGAGCGAGACAGACUUGGGGCUCAGGUCAGCGAGGUGCAGCAAGAGCUUCAGGCUCUCAUGAAAAAACAUGAGAGUUUGAAGCUGGAGUCGAAGGCGCAAGCAUCCGAGCUUGCAACGGCCCUAGAGGCUGCCAAGUCUACCAAGGCCGAUGCCCUAAAGACCCUCCAAGAGUUGGAGGAGAUGAGGAAGAUAGCAACGGGUAAGGCAUUCUUUAUGCAAAGCAGAAAUAUAAAAGUGAACUACCUGUUACUUACCCGAAUCCGAAGCUCUCCAGGGGCAUUCGCAGAUCUUCCCUGCAGCGUAUCCGAUGCCGCCGCAUUAUACCAAGCUGAAGAGGGUAGCUCGACGGAGAAGGUGUUCUGGUUUCAGUAUUCUGAGGCCGGACACCCUGUGCCCUUGAGCAACCAGCUGAAACAGCUGGUUGAGCUCCACAAGGCGGCCAAGCAGGCCAUGAAGGGCUUCAUAGUUCGGCUGUGGCCUGGAGAGGCCCUACCUGGGAGCUAUCUCGGGCUGGUGCGGCGGCUGGUGGAGGCCUGUCCGAGGCUUGAGGUCAUCAAGUGCUCCGUCUGCAUCGAUGGUGCCCGUCGGGCCCUUGCCCGUGCAAAGGUGCACUGGGGUAAGCUGGACGGUGAGAAGCUUGUGAAGGACGGGCUGCCGCCGGGGAAGGAGCAUCGCAAGCCCGAGAACUACUACAAGGAUGUUCUUGCAGGUGCCCGCCUUAUGGCGGAUCAAUGUACCAAGGAUGUGAUAUUUGAAUGAACUCGCUCGUGUUUAUCUUGUGCGCUGAAAACUUGUUCAUAUGUGCUAAGCAAUGCUUAUUGAAUUUAAAAUAUUACUUUCUGUGCGGCCAUUUAUCAAAAAUUGAGAGAUGGCCAGUCGUCGGCUUCUGCCCCCGUGCCACUAGUGCUGGGGUGUUCGGGAUAAACCUGAGCGCUCUUUUUCCCAUAGUUGGGUCCUUCGAGGGAGGCGCUCAGCACAACGAACCAGGCAAUCGGACUAUAAUGCUUGAACACUCUCACUUAGCCAUAGAGCUCUAUAAUUUUAAAUUUCGGUGAAGCCCGUAGUUCGGAAGACCGAGUUCGGGGCGCUAUCCACGCCUUGGCCGGACAAAGCCGGCUCCUCGCUCGAAGCGGCAUAAGCCUUUAGGGACUCGAAAAACCUCUCGAACAGCGAUCGGUCUCUCGCCACAUCAUGACAGUCAGUUUUAGCUUUCUCCACUCAGGUGCUUAACCCAGGUGAACCGGGGCACAAUCGCAGUGGUUCUCCUAGUGCUACCUUAGCCGAUAGAGCGGAACGUAAGGCACCAAAACAUAGGAGCCACGCAAACCCAACUAUUGACCCAAAUCAUGAUUCGGAGCCGAUGCAUAUAGUGCUAUAAGUUCGGGGUGCCGCACUUGUGAAAGUGUACGGACUUCUCACACCAUUAUGAGCGGUACUGAAGCCCCUGGCAUGUUUGCCAUACCAUGGUGUACGGGUGCAAUCAUGUCAUUUAAUAAACAUAAAUGUGAAAAGAAGAUAAUGCAAAAAAUAGACUAGAAGCUAAGCAUUGUUUAUAGAGAGGCUAUUUAUCAAAGCCGAACGAUACAAAUAGUGCGGUAAGCAAAAGAUAUUGGACUAUUCAGUAUGUCCUGACCAGGGGCAGGCCGCGGAAUUGUAUUUAAAACAGGUAUACCGCUCGUAACAGAGACCACCUGGGAGUUCCAUAAUGCGUCAUGGCUUGUCUGCCUCCCUGGAUCUUGCAUCGUUUGUGCGGCAGUCGAAUUGCCGAACAGGUCGUCCGAAGUAUGGAGUCCUGAAAGAAGAAAAAAUUAAAAAAAGAAUCCGGCAGCCCCUAGUACGUAUUAAGCCGUAUUUUGGGCGUGUUGUUAUUGUGCCCCUUCCCCUGUGCCCAUGGUAUUUCAAGGGCGUAGUUAUGUACGUGAGGUACUGGUUUCGCUAUGUUGCGAAAGCUGGGGUUGGGGCCGCAUUGCUACGCUUGCUUAGAGUGUGCCAGGCAGUGUCUGGCUUUUUAAUGGCCGGACUGGAGAAUUGCCUGAGAAGGCUACUUUGUACCUCCGCUGCGAGAGCCGCCGUAUGCUCCUCCAUAUGGAGGGAGCGUUCGGUGUUUCCGUUGAACGUAAUUACUCCUUGAGGGCCUGGCAUCUUGAGCUUGAGAUAUGCGUAGUGCAGCACCGUGUUGAUCUUUGCGAAUGCGGUUCGUCCGAGCAGGGCAUGAUAGCCACUGCGAAACGGUACUAUAUCGAAGAUUAACUCUUCGCUUCGGAAAUUGUCCGGGGAUCGGAAGACCACAUCAAGUGUUACUGAGCAUGUACUGUUGGCUUCUACACCUGGUAUAACGCCUUUAAAGGUCGUUCUUGUGGGCUUAAUCCUUGAGGGAUCUAUGCCCAUUUUCUGCACUGUAUCCUGAUAAAGCAGGUUCAGGCUACUGCCGCCGUCCAUGAGGACUCUUGUGAGAUGAAAUCCGUCGAUGAUCGGGUCGAGAACCAAUGCGGCGAAGCCGCCAUGACGGAUGCUAGUGGGAUGGUCCCUUCGAUCGAAAGUGAUCGGGCAGGAGGGCCAUGGGUUGAACUUUGGGGCGACUGGCUCCAUCGCAUAUACGUCCCGUAGCGCAUGCUUCCGCUCCCGCAUGGGAAUGUGGGUUGCGUAUAUCAUGUUCACCGUCCACACUUGUGGGGGAAAGCCCUUCUGUCCAUUGUUGUUCGGCGGCUUGGGCUCCUCGUCGUCGCUGUGCAGCCCCUUGUCUCUGUUUUCGGCCCUUAACUUGCCUGCCUGCUUGAACACCCAACAAUCCCUGUUAGUGUGAUUGGCUAGCCUUUCGGGGGUGCCAUGUAUCUGGCACAAGCGAUCGAGUAUUCGGUCCAAACUGGACGGGCCCUGAGUAUUCUUUUUGAAUGGCAUUUUCCGCUGACCGGAUUUAUAGCCUUUGAAUCCGGCAUUGACUGCCGUGUCUUCAUUGCUGUCGCUGCUAACGCGGCGUUUUUGCUUAUUCCGAUGUGUCCUACCACUUUUGUCCUUGGUAUCCGAAUUACCAGGGUGCUUUGAUAAGUUGUUACUGCGAGCUAGCCAGCUGUCUUCUCCCGCGCAAAAGCGGGUCAUGAGUGUCGUGAGGGCUGCCAUGGAUUUCGGCUUUUCCUGUCCCAGGUGCCAGGCAAGCCACUCGUCGCAGAUGUUGUGCUUCAAGGCUGCCAGGGCCUCUGCGUCCGGACAGUCGACUAUCUGGUUUUUCUUUGUUAGGAACCGUGUCCAAAAUUGUCUGGCCGAUUCCUCUGGCUGCUGAAUUAUGUGGCUUAAGUCGUCGGCAUCCGGUGGUCACACGUAAGUGCCCUGGAAGUUGUCGAGGAAUGCGGCUUCCAGGUCCUCCCAAGAACCGAUUGAGUCUGCUGGCAAGCUGUUAAGCCAAUGCCGGGCCGGUCCUUUAAGUUUGAGCGGGAGGUAUUUGAUGGCGUGUAGAUCAUCGCCGCGUGCCAUGUGGAUGUGAAGGAGACAAUCCUCGAUCCAUACCGCCGGAUCUGUUGUGCCAUCGUAUGAUUCGAUGUUUAUGGGUUUGUAGCCCUCUGGGAUUUUAUGAUCCAUUACUUCAUUCGUGAAGCAUAGCGGGUGUGUGGCGCCUCUGUAUUGGGCUAUAUCACGACGUAGCUCGGAAGAGCUAUGUCUGUUGUGUUCGGCCCGGCCGGAUUUGUUGUAUCCAGAGUGAAGAUCAUUUUCCCGUGCCUUAGUUGAGAGGUGUCGGGGCAUGGCUUGGGUGGAGGGCCGAGACGCCUCUCUGUCGCGGCCGCGAGGUGGCCGGUCUGCCAUGUCAUGCGCUGGUGAUGUAGGUGCUUCCUCCUCUGAUCGGGGUAGCGGCCUAUGCUUCGGGUAACUCUUGGAGGGGCGUUCGAGUUCAUACUCUUCGGCCGCAAGGACUUCAGUCCAUCUGUCAGCUAGCAAAUCUUGGGCAGCUCUAAGUUGUUGCUGCUUUUUCUUGAGGCUGCUUGCCAUGGCUAAAAGCCUGCGUUUAAAAAGCUCUUGUUCGGCGGGGUCUGAUGGUAUGACGAAUUCGUCGUCAUUGAGGCUUGCCUCGUCUUCGGAGGGAGGCGUAUAGUUAUCAUCCUCGACCUUUCCGUCUGCCGCUCUCUCAUCAGGGCUGGCUUCUCCAUCUUCCUGUGCCGAAUCUUGCUGAGGUGGGUGUUCUUCGGCGCUAUCCGGGGUAGUAUUAUCUCUCAUGUCGGAAUCACCGUUUUUGCUUUGGCGGGAUUUAGAGCGGCGCCGCUGGUGCCGGCGCUUUGGCUGUUUCUUGGGGGCGUCAUCCCCCACUGUUCCAUCGCCAUCUCCAUCUUUUGGAGUAUCCACCAUAUAUAUGUCAUAUGAUAAGGUGGCCUUCCAGCGCCCUACAGGUGCUGGUUCCUGUUCGUCUCCUACAUUGUCGUCCAUGCCGUCGAUGUCUUUGGAGCUGAAGUCAACCAUGUAGGUUAGACCGUCGAUAAUGGCUACAAAGUGGGUGGUGGGUGGGCUUUGAAUUUCCUCAUCGUAUGUAUCCCACCCUCGCUGACCGUAGUCCGGCCAGGGCUCUCCUGAUAAAGAGAGAGACUUAAGAGAAUUCAGGAUGUCGCCAAAAGGCGAAUGCUGAAAGAUGUCUGUAGCGGUGAACUCCAUUAUCGGCACCCAAUCGGAUUCGAUUGGCAGGGGCGCGGGGGGUUCGGAGUCCGGGGAGGAGUCCGGAUCCUCGGAGUCACGGGUCGUGCAGAGUGCGGGGCUAGCGUUCGGCUCGAUCGCUUUCGGGAUCGCAGCCCCCGAGGUGACGUCCAACCGCUCAUCCUCGAUUGGCGCAAUAGGUUCCGAGUUAGGGGUCGGAACCGAUGCGUGUGCGGCCUCCAGGACACUGGCCGGGGGCAGAGCUAGAUCAUGCCCCUCGGGAUAGUGCGGCGUGCUUGGCCGUGGCUCGAGCCCGUCGAAGAUCAAGUCUCCGUGGAUGUCAGCCGUGUAGUUUAAGCUUCCAAACCUGACUUGAUGGCCAGGGGCGUAGCUUUCGAUCUGCUACAGGUGGCCGAGCGAAUUGGCUCAUAGAGCGAUGCCGCCGAAGACGAAGAUCUGUCCGGGGAGAAAAGUCUCACCCUGGACCGCAUCGUUGUUGAUGAUCAAAGGAGCCAUCGGGCCUAAAGGCGACGAGACAGAGGAACUCUCAAUGAAAGCACCAAUGUCAGUGUCAAAACCGGUGGAUCUCGAGUAGUGGGUCCCGAACUGUGCGUCUAGGCCGGAUGGUAAUAGGAGGCAGGGAACACGAUGUUUUAUCCAGGUUCGGGCCCUCUUGAUGGAGGUAAAACCCUACGUCCUGCUUGAUUAAUAUUGAUGAUAUGGGUAGUACAAGAGUAGAUCUACCACGAGAUCAAGGAGGCUAAACCCUAGAAGCUAGCCUAUGGUAUGAUUGUUGUAUAUGGAGUUGAUUGCCUACGGACAACAACCCUCCGGUUUAUAUAGACACCGGAUAGGGUUAGGGUUACAUAGAGUCGGUUACAAUGGUAGGAUAUCUUGAAUAUCCACAUCGCCAAGCUUGCCUUCCACGCCAAGGAAAGUCCCGUCCGGACACGGGAUGAAGUCUUCAAUCUUGUAUCUUCAUAGCCCAGGAGUCCGGCUGAAGGUAUAGUCCGGCUACCUGAACACCCCCUAAUCCAGGACUCCCUCAGGUAGCAAGAUGGAUUUCUGGCGCCAUUGCCGGGGAGAUUCGCGCCAAGUCAAGACAUACCAAGUACCCAUCACAAACCCUUAUCCCUCGCAUUACAUUAUUUUCCAUUUGCCUCUUGUUUUCCUCUCCCCCACUUCACCCUUGCCAUUUUAUGCGCCCUCUCUUUUUCCGUUCCCCUCUUUUCCACUUGCUUUGUCGUUAUGGCUAGUCCUUUAUCUACUCCUUUGUCUCCCGAGAAUGAAGUUCUUAAUUUUAAACAAAGGGAGGGAGAAAAUCUAAAAGAUGCUUGGUACAGAAUUUGCAACACACAAAUUAGAUCUACUAGGAAACAAUCUACUUUUGUUCUUCUUCACGAUUUUUAUGUAGGCAUCACACCUUGGAAUAGAUAUAUUCUUGAUGCCAUUACCGGAGGGAAUUUCUUGGGUAGCCAUACUUUUGAUUCUUAUAAUGCUAUGAUAGAUCUGUUUGGCCCACCACCUCUUUUGGUUAAUGGAACUAUUUUAACUUUGGAACAUGUGAUGCAAUGGCUUGAAAUUAGUGAAAAUAAAGUUGCCACCAUAGAGUUAAUUGAAAAUUUGGAUAGAAAGAUCCAUAACCAAAUUACCCAAUACGGAUCUAAGUUAGGAGUUGCUCUUAAAAGUUUUAAAGAAAAGGGACCUAUGGUUAAUGAAAAGAUAGAAAAGGAUUCCACUAGAAUUGAUAAAAUUGAGGAUAUUAUUACCAACCUUGGGUCUUCCUUUUCUUCUAUUAUAAAUACUCCGCCUAAUGCUAAGAUUGCCAAACUAAUGUAUGUUACAAAAAAUAAGGGUGAAACUUCUAAUAAGGAAAAUGCGGAUCUCAAAUCCAUAAGUGUUCACCCCAAUUUUCUCACUAUCCUUAAGGAACCUUUUGCUACAAAUGAUUUUCUUGAUUUCAUACCUAGGAGUUUGAUAAUUAAUAAAAACAAAGAAACUCCUAAAAGUUAUUGGUGUGUUAUUGAAGAAUCACCUUCCAAAGACGGCAAUACCUAGGUCUAUCUUCGCUUUUAUGCCUAGCUAGGGGCGUUAAACGAUAGCGCUUGUUGGGAGGCAACCCAGUUUUACUUUUAUUCCUUGAUGUUUGCUCCUAUUUAGUAAUAAAUAAUUUAUGUAGCCUAUGUUUUGGUUGUGUUUUUUGUGUUUAAUUUGUGUUUGUGCCAUGUAGAACCAUUGGGUAGACUUGGGGAAAGUCUUUUUGAUCUUGCUGUAAAAAACAGAAACGUUAGCGCUCACGAGAAUCGCUGACAUUUUUAUUUGGAAAGUGAUAUUUAGAUAAUUCUUUUUGCGGAUGAUUAAUAGAUAAAUUCCUCACGUCCAGCAAUUUAUUUUAUAAUUUUUGGGGUUACAGAAGUUCGCGUUAGGUACAGAUUACUACAGACUGUUCUGUUUUUGACAGAUUCUGUUUUUCGUGUAUUGUUUGCUUAUUUUGAUGAAUCUAUGGCUAGUCAAAGAGGUUAUAAACCGUAGAGAAGUUGGAAUACAGUAGGUUUAACACCAAUAUAAAUCAAGAUUGAGUUCAUAACAGUACCUUGAAGUGGUGUUUUGUUUUCUUUCGCUAACGGAGCUCACGAGAUUUUCUGUUUGAGUUUUUUGUUGUGAAGUUUUCAAGUUUUGGGUAAAGAUUUGAUGGAUUAUGGAACAAGGAGUGGCAAGAGCCUAAGCUUGGGGAUUCCCAUGGCACACCAAGGUAAAAUUAAAGGACACCAAAAAGCCUAAGCUUGGGGAUGCCCCGAAAGGCAUCCCCUCUUUCGUCUUCGUCUAUUGGUAACUUUACUUGGAGCUAUAUUUUUAUUCACCACAUGAUAUGUGUUUUGCUUGGAGCGUCUUGUAUGAUUUGAUUAUUUGAUUUUUAGUUUACCAAAAUCAUCCUUGCUGUACACACCUUUUGAGAGAGACUCACAUGAUUGGGAAUUUAUGAGAAUACUCUAUGUGCUUCACUUAUAUCUUUUGAGCUAUAUGGUUUUUGUUCUAGUUCUUCGCUUAUAUAUUUUAGAGAAUGGCGGUGGUUUUAUUUUAUAGAAAUAAUUGUUCUCUCAUGCUUCACUUAUAUUAUUUUGAUAGUCCUUUAGAACAACAUGGCAAUAAUAAAACUGUCAUACAAGUGCAUUGAAUACUAUGAGAAGUUUGAUACUUGAUAAUUGUUUUGAGAUAUGGAGAUGGUGAUAUUAGAGUCAUGCUAGUUGUGUAGUUGUGAAUUUGAGAAAUACUUGUGUUGAAGUUUGUGAUUCCCGUAGCAUGCACGUAUGGUGAACCGUUAUGUGACGAAGUCAGAUCAUGAUUUAUUUGUUGAUUGUCUUCCUUAUGAGUGGCGGUCGGGGAUGAGCAAUGGUCUUUUACUACCAAUCUAUCUCCCUAGGAGCAUGGGCAUAAUACUUUGCUUUGAUAACUUAUAGAUUUUUGCAAUAAGUAUGUGAGUUCUUUCUGAGCAAUGUUGAGUCCAUGGAUCAUACGCACUCUCACCCUUCCACCAUUGCUAGCCUCUCUAAUACCGUGCACUUCUCGCCGAUAUCAUACACCCACCAUAUACCAUCCUCAAAACAGCCACCAUACCUACCUAUUAUCACUAGUGCAGAACCGGGCAAUAGCACCGGUUCGUAAGGCCCUUUAGUGCCGGUUUAGGAACCGGCACUAUUAUUUCGGCACUAAACCCCCCCCCCUUUAGUACCGGUUCAGCACGAACCGGUGCUAAAGGGGUACCACGUGGCACGAGCCAGCUCCGGGGGCCGGGAGCCCUUUAGUACCGGUUGGUAAAACCAACCGGUACUAAAUGGUUGUGGGUUUUUGUUUUAUUUUGUAUUUUUCAAUUAAAUUUGUGUUAUCAAUUUAAAUUAGGAUUGUUUUACGUUAUAAUGAGUUGUAGUCGUCAUCAUCAUCAUCAUCAUCGCAUAUUAAUAAAUAAAUAAACUCUAGCUAGCUAAAAAUCAUCGUGGUCGUCUAAUUACCACUAUUUAAUCAUCAUAGUCAUUACCGCUAGCUAUGUAAUCAUCAUCAACGUUGGCUAGCUUAAAGAGGAAACAUUCACUUUGUAACAGAAGCAAAGAGAUAUCAUCAAGUUCAACAUAAUCAUCACCAACAUCGAAGUUCAGGACACGGAUCCAUGAGACGAGUACUAAUUAAGAGCAUGAAGUAGUAGCUACUGAUCCUGCUUCUCCCUCUCAGGUAGAAUAGCACAGAACAUGUAUAGCUCUCCUGAUUCAUCAUACUGAAGCAUGCAGAUGAAUCUGUCUCCUAAUCUUGGGUUGCGCUUCUCCUUACUGCCCCCUAGUACUUCUCUGCGAUCGUUAACAAUUUUGCUCCAAUCUUUCACUAUUAAGCAUUCUUCGCUUUUAGAAAUCCUGAAUGCACUCAUGUGCAAUGUAGGAAAUCUUGGUCGUAAGCUAACCAUUGACAUGCGACCUUUUGUCUCGAUCCACUAAGGCACAACUGUCAUCGGAAGUCCCUGUUGAACAACAUCGUAUAGUAAUUAAUAUACUAAGCAAUGAAAGUUUAGCUUUAAAAAUAAUGUACGCAAAAGAUGCACUAAUUAAGGACAAAUAUUUAAAAUCUUACCAUCUUUUGAUUAUAGAUGUGACCGUAGUUCAAGGCGAUCACCAUUGGUCGCACGUUUUGAGUACUAACAUUUCUAAGUUUAGAAAAAAAAUUGUCUUGACAGUAUUAAGAUCCUCAAGCCAUGAAACACAAUGACUUAUUUCCUCGCAGUUUAGUUGAGCCCCGAGGUAGUAGUAGGUCCUGUCUACCAAGCGCCGGACAUGUUUGCUUGAACCGAAAUAAGCUGACAAUACACAUCAGUUGUCAACUAUUUUUGAAUAAACUGUACGAAAGACAUAAACGUAUAUAUGCAUGCAUGGUUGAGAAAAACUCACCAAAUGGUAGAACUGGAGGCGUUUGCACAUCGACCCAGAUGUCUAUAUUACCUUCAAUAUCAUCUUCCGGACGAAUAUCAAAGGUGAUAACCAUAUCAGGCUCAAAUGCAUAAGCCUUGCAUAGUGCUUGCCAAGUUUUGCAUUCAAAAUGGGUGUAUGUGCCUCCAUUAUAUAAUUUGACGUUGAAAGUAUACCCAUGCUCCGUCUUCAAGUAAACUCUCUUUACCUCCAUAUCAUCUAUAGCACUAAAACCUAUCUUAUAUAAUACAAAAAUUCUUGUAUGGCAGGGGAUGCGCUAGUAGAAUAGUGAAAAUUUAAAAUUAUAAGUUGAAGCAAAUGAAGCAUAAGUUUUGCAUUCAAAUAAUAAUUGACAAAGUGGCUUACUGUAUCAACUUCAAAUGUCUCAUCCAGCUUGAUGUUGAAGCGCCUACCAUCAACAAGGAAAUUUUGGUCGCACAGGCCGCGCUGGUCUUCACAGUGUUCGCACAUAAUAAAAUCUUUUUAGUUGUCAGAUGACAUUUCCUAUGUUCAUAUAGGUGAAACAUUAAACACCUAUAUCUAGCCAAAUAUAUAUUCAUCUAACAUUUGACAUUAAUAUAUCUAACUAUAUAUUCAAUUGACAUUACUAUAUAUUUAACUUUUCUAUCUAAUUCAUCUAACAUUCGACAUUAAUCUAACAUUUAUAUAAACUCAAAAUAUAUAAAAAAUUAAAUAAACAGAAAAACUCAUUAACAAAUAAUAUUUUAAUUAGAUCAUCAAAUCUCAUAUACCUAAAUUUUCUUACUAAAAAUAAACUAGUUAUAUUAAUUAUUCAACUAGUUCUAAUCUNNNNNNNNNNNNNNNNNNNNNNNNNNNNNNNNNNNNNNNNNNNNNNNNNNNNNNNNNNNNNNNNNNNNNNNNNNNNNNNNNNNNNNNNNNNNNNNNNNNNNNNNNNNNNNNNNNNNNNNNNNNNNNNNNNNNNNNNNNNNNNNNNNNNNNNNNNNNNNNNNNNNNNNNNNNNNNNNNNNNNNNNNNNNNNNNNNNNNNNNNNNNNNNNNNNNNNNNNNNNNNNNNNNNNNNNNNNNNNNNNNNNNNNNNNNNNNNNNNNNNNNNNNNNNNNNNNNNNNNNNNNNNNNNNNNNNNNNNNNNNNNNNNNNNNNNNNNNNNNNNNNNNNNNNNNNNNNNNNNNNNNNNNNNNNNNNNNNNNNNNNNNNNNNNNNNNNNNNNNNNNNNNNNNNNNNNNNNNNNNNNNNNNNNNNNNNNNNNNNNNNNNNNNNNNNNNNNNNNNNNNNNNNNNNNNNNNNNNNNNNNNNNNNNNNNNNNNNNNNNNNNNNNNNNNNNNNNNNNNNNNNNNNNNNNNNNNNNNNNNNNNNNNNNNNNNNNNNNNNNNNNNNNNNNNNNNNNNNNNNNNNNNNNNNNNNNNNNNNNNNNNNNNNNNNNNNNNNNNNNNNNNNNNNNNNNNNNNNNNNNNNNNNNNNNNNNNNNNNNNNNNNNNNNNNNNNNNNNNNNNNNNNNNNNNNNNNNNNNNNNNNNNNNNNNNNNNNNNNNNNNNNNNNNNNNNNNNNNNNNNNNNNNNNNNNNNNNNNNNNNNNNNNNNNNNNNNNNNNNNNNNNNNNNNNNNNNNNNNNNNNNNNNNNNNNNNNNNNNNNNNNNNNNNNNNNNNNNNNNNNNNNNNNNNNNNNNNNNNNNNNNNNNNNNNNNNNNNNNNNNNNNNNNNNNNNNNNNNNNNNNNNNNNNNNNNNNNNNNNNNNNNNNNNNNNNNNNNNCGGCGGCGGGGACAGCGACGAUGACGACGGACGACGGUACGGGCGACGGGCGGCGACGACGGGAUCGAGCGGUCCGCGCGGCGGAGGUGGGAGACGAAGUGGGGAGUUGAAACUGAAAUUUUCGUAAGUGCUAUAUAUAUAUAUAUAUAUAUAUAUAUAUAUAUAUAUAUAUAUAUAUAUAUAUGAUUGGCCUUUAGUACCGAAUCGUGGCUCCAACCGGUACUAAAGGCCUAUUUUCGCCAGGCCAAGCGGCGGGAAACGAAGGCUUUUAGUACCGGUUGGAGCCACCAACCGGUACUAAAGGGGGGCCUUUAGUACCGGUUGGAGCCACCAACCGGUACUAAAGGCCUUGCGCUGCCACCCCAAAAUUUAGUCCCACCUCGCCCGGCGAAGGGCAGCCGCACUGGUUUAUAAACCUAGCCGCGGCUACCUCUUCGAACUCCUCUAUAUAGCAGCCUUCUGGGCCUAAUUAAUUAGGGCGCGCUGCCAUGUGAGUCUGCUGGCCCUUCUGGGCCUGCAUUUGCACACCCUAGGUCUGGUAGACCCACAGGGCAGUGCGCCAACAAAUUUUUUAUAUAGUUUUAUCUUUUCUGCAUUACUUAUUUUCUUUUAUUUAUUUUUGAGUAGUUUUUUAUAUAGUUUUUGUUUUCUGCAUUAUUUAUUUUCUUCUAUUUAUUUUUGAGUAAUUUUUUUGUAUAGUUUUUUUAUUUUCUGCAUUACUUAUUUUUGCAUAGUCCGAAACCCUGAUACUCGGAAAGAGUUUGUCCAGUUUGUACACGAAGUGCGUCCAGUUUUUGCCGUGACCCUCUCUACUCUUUCGCGCAUGCUAUGCGGGUGAUACGAUGAUACCAUGCCAAGUUUCAACAUUUUCAGGAUUCAUUUUGUAGUGAUUUUCAAUUUCACGGUCAUUUAGCUCUCUAAACAAUUAGGUAAAUGACUGAAAAACAACAAAUGAUGUCAGAACAUGUUGAAAAUUGAUGACGUCGCUUUAAAUGCUGCAUACUGAACACAAAAGAAGUCCGGAGUACAAAUAAGUUUAAAAAACAUUGAAGUGGCCAUGUAACAGAUGAGUUCUCGUCCGAAACCCUGAUACUCGGAAAGAGUAUGUCCAUUUUGUACACGAAGUGCGUCCAGUUUUUGCCGUGACCCUCUCUACUCUUUCGCGCAUGCUAUGCGGGUGAUAUGAUGAUACCAUGCCAAGUUUCAGCAUUUUCAGGAUUCAUUUUGUAGUGAUUUUCAAUUUCACGGUCAUUUAGCUCUCUAAACAAUUAGGUAAAUGACCGAAAAACAACAAAUGAUGUCAGAAUAGACUGCACUGCACAUAGCUCAGUGUAGACUACACUGCACAUAGCUCAGUGCAAUCUAUGUUAUUCCGCAAGGCUUGAAGCUAAUCAACAUGUAGAUGAGCAUUGCAAUUCUUCGUCAUUGUCUGUGCACUCACGGCUUAUAAACCGCUCAUACUGCCUCUCUCUUGGCGAGGUGGGACUAAAAACAACUUGCCAUAACCUCAUCAAUUUCCUCUUGAAGCUUGUCCUUGCCUUUUUGCUUGUAUUCUUGUGGUGGAAGAUCAUCUUGAGCUUGUGUCCCCUUGAAGGAAGUAGGAUACUUCUCUUGUUGAGGAACAAACUUUGUCUUGGGGUAUUGAUCUUCUUCCCACUCAACUCCAUUGGCAUUGAACUUUCGUUCAAAACCAACACCUUGAUUCUUCCAGUGCCUUCCUUGCUUGCGCACAAUUUCCUCGAAUUGCUUACUCCCGGCAAGGCUUUUGUACAUUCCUUUCUCUAUAAUUCCCUUCAAUAAGCUAUUUUCUUGCUCAAGUGUAACUUGGCUAAGAGAAUCAUUAGUGGAAUCAAGAGAACUACUAGAAGCAACAAUGUUAGAUCUUAUGUCACAAAAAAGAAGUCGUAUCAAACCUUUUAUGUCGGAUCUAGAACAAACCAAUCGGUAUCGCCAUCAUACAGCCCUACCGUGGCUUGUGAUGCAUAUAUAUAUGCAUAUCAAAUGCACGGUUGGGCGUAUGAUGGCGAAUCCGAAUGAUUUGUAUUCAGUCGAUGAACUGGUAGAUGUAUGCAGUCGAUGAACUGGUAGAUGUAUGUAGUCGAUGAACUGAAAGACUUAUGCAGGGAAGGCGAGAGAUGGGCUAUAUAUAGGGUCGUCUGGCUCACAAAGUGAUUGUGGUAGUUUCGAUCCAACGACUCACAUGAGCUAGGAAGAAGCACACCCUUGAUCCAACGACUCGCAAGAGCUAUAAAGAAACACACGAUCCAUGUGAUUCUUCCUGAUUGGUGGGAUGCACAUUAGUAUCGGUUUGUGCCAUGAACUGGUGCUAAAGAUUGGCAAUGAACCGGUACUAAUGGUAGCAGCCCGCCUAGCCGUUGGAAUCGGCACUAAUGGUCACAUUUGUGCCGGCUCAAAUUCAAACCGGCACUAUAAUGUGCUUCACAUUUGACUGUUUUUCUACUAGUCAAUAGAGUUUGCCAAACUUGAGUUUCCCAAGUCACUUACACAAAAAGCUAUGAUUCAUGGUUGUCAAAUCCAUAAUUUACAAACCACAACAACCUUGAGGCAUAACAAGCUUUAAAUGCUGCAUACUGAACACAAAAGAAGUCCAGAGUUUAAAUAAGUUAUUAAAAAUAAAAAAGAGGUGCAAUGCUGGUUAAUUUGCUUCAAGCUAUUCGGAAUAGUGUAGAUUGCACUAAGCCACUGCACAUAGCUCAGUGCAAUCUAUGCUAUUCCGCAAGGCUUGAAGCUAAUCAACAUGUAGGUGAGCAUUGCAACUCUUCGUCAUUGUCUGUGCACUCACGGCUUAUAAACCGCUCAUACUACCUCUCUCUUGGCGAGGUGGGACUAAAAACAUCUUGCCAUAACCUCAUUAGUACUGGUUCAUGGUACGAACCGGCACUAAAUGGUGAUGGUGGGGCCAUAGCCUGACCGCAGGCUGACACAGCCUCUUUAGUACCGGUUCGUGGCAUGAACCGGUACUAAAGGUUCGCCACGAACCGGUACUAUUGAUCGCCGCCACGAACCGGCACUAAUGUACACAUUAGUGCCGGCUCUAAUUCAAACCGGCACUAAUGUGCUUCACAUUUGACCCUUUUUCUACUAGUGUAUGGCAUUUCCAUAGCCAUUCCGAGAUAUAUUGCCAUGCAACUUUCCAUCGUUCCAUUAUUAUGACACACUUCAUCAUUGUCAUAUUUGCUUGCAUGAUCAUGUAGUUGGCAUCGUAUUUGUGCAAAGCCACCAUUCAUAAUUCUUCAUACAUGUCACUCUUGAUUCACUGCAUAUCCCGGUACACCGCCGGAGGCAUUCACAUAGAGUCAUAUUUUGUUCUAAGUAUCGAGUUGUAAUUCUUGAGUUGUAAGUAAAUAAAAGUGUGAUGAUCAUCAUUAUUAGAGAAUUGUCCCAAGUGAGGAAAGGAUGGAGACUAUGAUUCCACAACAAGUCGGCAUGAGACUCCGGACGAAAAUAAAAAAAGAGGGAAAAAAGAGAAAGGCCAUAAAAAAGAAGGCCCAAAAAAUGAGAGAAAAAGAGAGAAGGGGCAAUGUUACUAUCCUUUUUCCACACUUGUGCUUCAAAGUAGCACCAUCAUCUUCAUGAUAGAGAGUCUCCUAUGAUAUCACUUUCAUAUACUAGUGGGAAUUUUUCAUUAUAGAACUUGGCUUGUAUAUUCCAAUGAUGGGCUUCCUCAAAUUGCCCUAGGUCUUCGUGAGCAAGCAAGUUGGAUGCACACCCACUUAGUUUCUUUUGUUGAGCUUUCAUACACUUAUAGCUCUAGUGCAUCCGUUGCAUGGCAAUCCCUACUCAAUCACAUUGAUAUCUAUUAAUGGGCAUCUCCAUAGCCCGUUGAUACGCCUGUUCUGGAGCUCCGCCAGAGGGGGCAUCGAUCACGGAGGGCUUCUACAUCAACAGCAUAGCCUCUCCGAUGAAGUGUGAGUAGUUGACCUCAGACCUACGGGUCCAUAGUUAUUACCUAGAUGGCUUCUUCUCUCUUUUUGGAUCUCAAUACAAUGUUCUCCCCCUCUCUUGUGGAGAACUAUUCGAUGUAAUCUUCUUUUUGCGGUGUGUUUAUUGAGAUCGAUGAAUUGUGGGUUUAUGAUCAAGUCUAUCUAUGAAUAAUAUUUGAAUCUUCUCUGAAUUCUUUUAUGUAUGAUUGUUUAUCUUUGCAAGUCUCCUCGAAUUAUCAGUUUGGUUUGGCCUACUAGAUUGAUCUUUCUUACAAUGGGAGAAGUGCUUAGCUUUGGGUUCAAUCUUGCGGUGUCCUUUCCCAGUGACAGCAGGGGCAGCAAGGCAUGUAUUGUAUUGUUGCUAUCGAGGACAACAAGAUGAGGUUUUCAUCAUAUUGCAUGAGUCUAUCCCUCUACAUCAUGUCAUCUAGCUUAAGGCGUUACUCUGUUUUUAACUUAAUACUCUAGAUGCAUGCUGGAUAGCGGUCGAUGAGUGGAGUAAUAGUAGUAGAUGCAGGCAGGAGUCGGUCUACUUGUCUCGGACGUGAUGCCUAUAUACAUGAUCAUACCUAGAUAUUCUCAUAAAUAUGCUCAAUUAUGUCAAUUGCUCAACAGUAAUUUGUUCACCCACCAUAGAAUUAUUAUGCUCUCGAGAGAAUCUACUAGUGAAACCUAUGGCCCCCGGGUCUAUCUUUAUCAUAUUAAUCUCCUACUACUUAGUUAUUUCCUUUGCUUUUUCCUUUGCCUUUAUUUUACUUUUCAUCUUUAUCACAAAAAUACCAAACAUAUUAUCUUUAUCAUAUCUAUCAGAUCUCACUCUCAUAAGUGGCCGUGUAGGGAUUGACAACCCCUAUUCGCGUUGGUUGCGAGGAUUUAUUUGUUUUGUGCAAGUACGAGGGACUCGCGCGUAGCCUCCUACUGGAUUGAUACCCUUGGUUCUCAAACUGAGGGAAAUACUUACGCUACUUUGCUACAUCAUCCCUUCCUCUUCGGGGAAAACCAACGCAGUGCUCAAGAGGUAGCAAGAAGGAUUUCUGGUGCCAAUGCCGGGGAGGUCUACGCAAAAGUCAACAUACCAAGUACCCGUCACAUACCCUUAUCUCCCGCAUUACAUUAUUUGCCAUUUGCCUCUCGUUUUCACCUCCCCCACUUCACCCUUGCCAUUUUAUUCGCCCUCUCUCUCUCUCUAUCCUCCCUCUCUUUCUCUAUUUGCCUCUUUUUUCCCGCUUGCUUUCUGUUUGCUUGUGUGUUAGUUGCUUGCUUGUCACGAUGGCUCAAGAUAAUACUAAAUUAUGUGACUUCACCAAUACCAACAACAAUCAUUUUAUUAGCACUCCGAUUGCUCCUCUUACCGAUGCUGAAUCUUGUGAAAUUAAUACUGCUUUGCUGAAUCUUGUCAUGAAAGAUCUGUUUUCCGGCCUUCCUAGUGAACAUGCCGGUACCCACCUAAAUAGAUUCAUUGAUUUGUGUGACAUGCAAAAAAAAGAAAGGUGUGGAUAAUGAUAUUGUUAAAUUGAAGCUAUUUCCUUUUUUGCUUAGAGAUCGUGCUAAAGCUUGGUUUUCGUCUUUGCCUAAAAAUAGUAUUGAUUCAUGGAAUAAGUGCAAAGAUGCUAUUAUCUCUAAGUAUUUUCCUCCUACUAAGAUCAUCUCUCUUAGAAACAAUAUUAUGAAUUUUAAGCAACUUGAUCAUGAACAUGUUGCACAAGCUUGGGAGAGAAUGAAACUAAUGGUACGUAAUUGCCCUGCCCAUGAUUUAAAUUUGUGGAUGAUUAUACAAAAAUGUUAUGCCGGAUUGAAUUUUGCUUCUAGAAAUCUUUUAGAUUCGGCCGCGGGAGGCACUUUUAUGGAAAUCACUUUAGAAGAAUCUACUAAACUCCUAGAUAAUAUUAUGGUUAAUUAUGCUCAACGGCAUAGUAAAAUAUCUAAUAAUAAAAAGGUGCAUGCGAUACAAGAAAUUAAUGUUUUGAGUGGAAAGAUGGAUGAACUUCUGAAAUUAUUUGCUAAUAAGAGUGUUUCUUCUGAUCCUAAUGAUAUACCCUUGUCUACUUUGAUUGAGAAUAGUAAUGAAUCUAUGGAUGUGGAUUUUGUUGGUAGGAACAAUUUUGGUAACAACGCGUAUAGAGGAAAUUUCAACCCUAGGCCUUAUCCUAGUAAUCUCUCUAAUAAUUAUGGUAAUUCCUACAACAAUUCUUAUGGAAAUUAUAAUAAGAUGCCCUCUAAUUUUGAAUCUAAUAUUAAAGAAUUUAUUACUUUGCAAAAGAAUUUCAAUACCUUGAUUGAAGAAGAACCGCUAGGAUGCGUGCUAAGAAAGAUGCCUUUAUAAGAGCGUGUUCUUCUAGUUCCUAUGAAAAUAAUGAUGAAGAUCUAAAAGUUAUUGAUGUGUUCCCUAUUAAAUCUUUGUUUUUCAACAUGGAUCUUGAUAAUGAUGGGAUUGAAUAUGAUCCACCUUUACCUAUAAGGCGUUCCAAGAAUUCAGAAUUUGUUGAUCUUGAUGCUAAAAUUGAUAAAGGUGGGAUUGAAGAAAUUAAAACCCUAGAUGUUGCUAAACCCACUAUUAUGGAUUUCAAGGAAUUUAACUAUGAAAAUUGCUCUUUUAUUGAUUGUAUAUCCUUUUUACAAUCCGUGCUAAAUUCUCCUCAUGCUUAUAGUCAAAAUAAAGCGUUUACUAAACAUAUCGUUGAUGCCUUGAUGCAAUCUUAUGAAGAAAAACUUGAAUUGGAAGUUUCUAUCCCUAGAAAGCUUUAUGAUGAGUGGGAACCAACUAUUAAAAUUAAAAUUAAAUAUCAUUAAUGCUAUGCUUUAUGUGAUUUGGGUGCUAGUGUUUCCACGAUUUCAAAGACUUUGUGUGAUUUGUUAGGUUUCCGUGAUUUUGAUGAUUGCUCUUUAAACUUGCGCCUUGUGGAUUCCACUAUUAAGAAACCUAUGGGAAGAAUUAAUGAUGUUCUUAUUGAUGCAAAUAGGAAUUAUGUGCCUGUAGAUUUUAUUGUUCUUGACAUAGAUUGCAAUCUUUCAUGUCCUAUUAUUCUUGGUAGACCUUUCCUUAGAACGAUUGGUGCAAUUAUUGAUAUGAAGGAAGGAAAUAUUAGAUUCCAAUUUCCAUUAAGGAAAGUCAUGGAACACUUUACUAGAAAGUAAAUUAAAUUACCUUAUGAAUCUAUUAUGAUAGCCACUUAUGGAUUGCCUACCAAAGAUGGCAAUACCUAGAUCUAUCCUUGCUUGUUAUGCCUAGCUAGGGGCGUUAAACGAUAGCGCUUGUUGGGAGGCAACGCAAUUUUGUUUUUAUUCCUUGAUUUUUGCUCCUGUUUAGUAAUAAAUAAUUUAUCUAGCCUCUGUUUUGGUUGUGUCCUUUGUGUUUAAUUAGUGUUGGUGCCAAGUAGAACCGUUAGGAAGACUUGGGGAAAGUCUUGUUACACUUGCUGUAAAAAACAGAAACUUCAGCGCUCACGAGAACUACUGCCAUUUUUAUUUGGAAAGUUCUAUUUAGUUAAUUAUUUCUGCAGAUGAUUAAUAGAUAAAUUCCUCACGUCCAGAAAUUUAUUUUAGAAUUUUUGGGGUUCCAGCUCUUGAGCUAGGUACAGAUUACUACAGACUGUUCUGUUUUUGAAAGAUUUUGUUUUUCAUGUGUUGUUUGCUUAUUUUGAUGAACCUAUGGCUAGUAAAAUAGUUGAUAGACCAUAGAUAAGUUGGAAUACAGUAGGUAUAACACCAAUAUAAAUAAAUAAUGAGUUCAUUAUAGUACCUUGAAGUGGUCUUUUAUUUUCUUUCGCUAACGGAGCUCACGAGAUUUUCUACUUUAAGUUUUGUGUUGUGAAGUUUUCGAGUUUUGGGUAAAGAUUUGAUGGUUUAUGGAACAAGGAGUGACAAGAGCCUAAGCUUGGGGAUGCCCAUGGCACCCCCAAGAUAAUCUAAGUACACCUAAAAGCCAAAGCUUGGGGAUGCCCCGGAAGUCAUCCCCUCUUUCGUCUACUUCUAUCGGUAACUUUACUUGGAGCUAUAUUUUUAUUCGCCACAUGAUAUGUGUUUUGCUUGGAGCAUCUUGUAUUAUUUGACUCUUUAUUUGUUAGUUUACCACAAUCAUCCUUCCUGUACACACCUUUUUUAGAAUACUCUAUGUGCUUCGCUUAUAUCUUUUGAGUUAUAUAGUUUUGCUCUAGUACUUCACUUAUAUCUUUUAGAGCACGGUGGUGGAUUUGUUUUAUAAAAACUAUUGAUCUCUCAUGCUUCACUUAGAUUAUUUUGAGAUGCUUAAUAGCAUGGUAAUUUGCUUAAAAUCCUAAUAUGCUAGGUAUUCAAAGUUAGUAUAAUUUUCUUAAGAGUGUUUUGAAUACUAAGAGAAGUUUGAUGCUUGAUGAUUGUUUUGAGAUAUGGAGGUAAUAAUAUCAAAGUCGUGCUAGUUGAGUAGUUGUGAAAUUGAGAAAUACUUGUGUUGAAAUUUGCAUGUCCCGUAGCAUGCACAUAUGGUAAACGUUGUGUAACAAAUUUGAAACAUCAGGUGUUAUUUGAUUGUCUUCCUUAUGAGUGGCGGUCGGGGACGAGCGAUGGUCUUUUCCUACCAAUCUAUCCCCCUAGGAGCAUGCGCGUAGUACCGAGGUUUUUGAUCACUUGUAGAUUUUUGCAAUAAGUAUGUGAGUUCUUUAUGACUAAUGUUGAGUCCAUGAAUUAUACGCACUCUCACCCUUCCAUCCUUGCUAGCCUCUUCGGUACCGUGCAUUGCCCUUUCCCACAUUGAGUGUUGGAGCAAACUUCGCCGGUGCAUCCAAACCCCGUGAUAUGAUACGCUCUUUCACACAUAAACCUCCUUAUAUCUUCCUCAAAACAGCCACCAUACCUACCUAUUAUGGCAUUUCCAUAGCCAUUCCGACAUAUAUUGCCAUGCAACUUUCCACCAUUCCGUUCAUCAUGACACAUUCAUCAUUGUCAUAUUGCUUAGCAUAAUCAUGUUGUUGACAUAGUAUUUGUGGCAAGGCCACUGUUCAUAAUUCUUUCAUACAUGUCACUCUUGGUCCAUUGCAUAUCCCGGUACACCGCUGGAGGCAUUCAUAUAGAGUCAUACUUUGUUCUAGUAUCGAGUAGUAAUUAUUGAGUUGUAAAUAAAUAGAAGUGUGAUGAUCAUCAUUAAUAGAGCAUGGUCCCAAAGAGAGAAAAAAGGAAGGGCCAAAAAAGGCCAAAUAAAAAAUAUAAAAAAGGGGGGCAAUGCUACUAUCCUUUUUUCCACACUUGUGAUUCAAAGUAGCACUGUAAUCUUCAUGAUAGAGAGUAUCUUGAUUUGUCACUUUCAUAUACUAGUGGGAAUUUUUCAUUAUAGAACUUGGCUUGUAUAUUCCAACAAUGGGCCUCCUUAAGUGCCCUAGGUCUUCGUGAGCAAGCAAGUUGGAUGCACACCCACUUAGUUUCUUUUGUUGAGCUUUCAUACAUUUAUAGCUCUAGUGCAUCCGUUGCAUGGCAAUCCCUACUCCUUGCAUUAACAUCAAUCGAUGGGCAUCUCCAUAGCCCAUUGAUUAGCCUCGUUGAUGUGAGACUUUCUCCUUUUUGUCUUCUCCACAUAACUCCACUCAUUAUAUUCUAUUCCACCCAUAGUGUUAUGUCCAUGGCUUGCAAUCAUAUAUUGCGUGGAAGUUUAUAGGUUUGAGAUCACUAAAGUAUGAAACAAUUGCUUAGCUUGUCAUCGGGGUUGUGCAUGAUGAGAGCGUUGUUGUGUGACAAAAAUGAAGCAUGACUAAACUAUAUGAUUUUGUAGGGAUGAACUUUCUUUGGCCAUGUUAUUUUGAGAAGACAUAAUUGCUCAGUUAGUAUGCUUGAAGUAUUAUUAUUUUUAUGUCAAUAUGAACUUUUGUCUUGAAUCUUUCGGAUCUGAAUAUUCAUAUCACAAUUAAGAAGAAUUACAUUAAAAUCAUGCUAAGUAGCACUCUGCAUCAAAAAUUCUGUUUUUAUCAUUUACCUACUCGAGGACGAGCAGGAAUUAAGCUUGGGGAUGCUUGAUACGUCUCCAACGUAUCUAUAAUUUUUGAUUGCUCCAUGCUAUAUUAUCUACUGUUUUGGACAAUAUUGGGCUUUAUUAUCCACUUUUAUAUUAUUUUUGGGACUAACCUAUUAACCGGAGGCCCAGCCCAGGAUUGCUGUUUUUUGCCUAUUUUAGGGUUUCGAAGAAAAGGAAUAUCAAACGGAGUCCAAACGGAAUGAAACCUUCGGGAACGUGAUUUUCUCAACGAACAAGACCCAGGAGACUUGGACCCUCCGUCAAGACACAAAAGAGGAGGCCACGAGGUAGGGGGCGUGCCUACCCCCCGGGCGCGCCCUCCACCCUCGUGGGCCCCCUGUUGCUCCACCGACGUACUCCUUCCUCCUAUAUAUACCUACGUACCCCCAAAUGAUCAUAUACGGAGCCAAAACCCUAAUUACACCGCCGCAACAUUUUGUAUCCACGAGAUCCCAUCUUGGCGCCUGUUCCGGAGCUCCGCCGGAGGGGGCAUCGAUCAUGGAGGGCUUCUACAUCAACACCAUAGCCUCUCCGAUGAAGUGUGAGUAGUUGACCUCAGACCUACGGGUCCAUAGUUAUUACCUAGAUGGCUUCUUCUCUCUUUUUGGAUCUCAAUACAAUGUGCUCCCCCUCUCUUGUGGAGAACUAUUCGAUGUAAUCUUCUUUUUGUGGUGUGUUUGUUGAGACCGAUGAAUUUUGGGUUUAUGAUCAAGUCUAUCUAUGAAUAAUAUUUGAAUCUUCUCUGAAUUCUUUUAUGUAUGAUUGGUUAUCUUUGCAAGUCUCUUCGAAUUACCCGUUUGGUUUGGCCUACUAGAUUGAUCUUUCUUGCAAUGGGAGAAGUGCUUAGCUUUGGGUUCAAUCUUGCGGUGUCCUUUCCCAGUGACAGUAGGGGCAGCAAGGUACGUAUUGUAUUGUUGCCAUCGAGGACAACAAGAUGGGGUUUUCAUCAUAUUUUAUGAGUCUAUCCCUCUACAUCAUGUCAUCUUACUUAAGGCAUUAAUCUGUUUUUAACUUAAUACUCUAGAUGCAUGCUGGAUAGCGGUCGAUGAGUGGAGUAAUAGUAGUAGAUGCAGGCAGGAGUCGGUCUACUUGUCUCGGACGUGAUGCCUAUAUACAUGAUCAUACCUAGAUAAUCUCAUAACUAUGCUCAGUUCUGUCAAUUGCUCAAUAGUAAUUUGUUCACCCACCGUAGAAUACUUAUGCUCUUGAGAGAAGCCACUAGUGAAACCUAUGGCCCCCGGGUCUAUCUUUAUCAUAUUAAUCUCCUACUACUUAGUUAUUUCCUUUGCUUUUUUACUUUGCCUUUAUUUUACUUUGCAUCUUUAUCACAAAAAUAAAAAUAUCUUUAUCAUAUCUAUCAAAUCUCACUCUCGUAAGUGGCCGUGUAGGGAUUGACAACCCCUAUUCACGUUGGUUGCGAGGAUUUAUUUGUUUUGUGCAGGUACGAGGGACUGGCGCAUAGCCUCCUACUGGAUUGAUACCUUGGUUCUCAAAACCUAAGGGAAAUACUUACGCUACAUUGCUGCAUCAUCCCUCACUCUUCGGGGAAAACCAACGCAGUGCGCAAGAGGUAGCAAGGGUUCCUUUUUGUCGACGAUCUGAUGUUUCAACCUUGUUUUCCAGGCGGCCAACGCAUCGCUCAACUUGGUCAUGGCGUGUUUGUUUAUCUUCGUCAUUGCCAGGUCCUUAUCUGGAUCUUUAUUAUCCUUUUCAUUACGGUCCGGGAACAAGAAUAUCUGGUGCAGCUUCUUUAGGAGGGAGGGCCUCUGGUGCAGCUUCUAUAGUUUCCCAUCGUUGAUCAUGGCAGUUGUCCGUACAAUGCAACCUAUUUGAUUGCCGUAGCACGAUUGCGCUUCCUCGGGUGCUAUUGUCUCAAAAAUACCGUCGUCCAUCUCCGUGACCACCAGUCUAGUACUCAUGAGCUGGUUUAGGCGUCGUGGCCUCUUUGCUUUCGGUUCUAGACUAACUCCGCUAGUCUCGGCGCUGGUCUCAGUCUCAUCGCCGGUCUGCAUGUCGGUAUCAGUCCCUGAUGCGACAACACAGUCGCUGCAACAUGGGUAAGGGAGACCACAUCAGUGCUGGGGGGUCCGAAAAUCGGGACACACUUUCGCGCGUCGCGGGCCGCCUCUCAGACAGCUACUGGGGAGGCGGCGGAGUACCUGGGUGCGCCGCGAAUCCCCGGGAACUCGGUGACCAACUUCCUUCCCGUGUGGCGCAUGGAGACGACAGCGACCCCGGCGAAGAGUAGCUUAGCCGCGAGCUGCACAGCCUCGUCCACCUCCUAAGUUGGGACCUCCGCGCAAGCGUUGCGGGGCCGCCGCUCGGGUGGCUUCUGGAAGGCGGUUGUACAUGGGCACAGGGUGAAUCCCGACUAGAGCUGGCCAUUGGCGCGCGCAAGUAGACGACGACGUCCCCGACGAAGAGCUGCCCGGCCAGCUCGCCUCACUCUCCUUUGAUUAGAAAUGAAAGAUUGGGAAGAAGCAGACUUGAGCCUGCAGAGAAAGGAUAAGGUGACGAUGCAGUCUCCACUCGUUCGGGGCGACACGCGUACUGAAUGUAUGAGAAACGUGACGUGGCAGAGACCCCAAGAUACUCCCUCCAUUUAUUUUUAGUCUGCAUAUAAAGUUUGGUCAAAGUCAAGAUUUGUAAAUUUUAACUAACUUUAUAAUAAAAAAAUAUCAAUAUUCACAAUAUGAAAUCAAUAUUACCAGAUGCGUCAUGAAAUGUAUUUCCAUACUAUAAAGUUUUGGUAUUGUAGAGGCACUCUUCCAUAUAAUGAAGUUUAUAAUAUAUGUGCUUAUAUUGUACUACAAUUGUUUGAAUAGCUUAGCAUAUGUUCAGAUGUAUGAUAUCUGUAAUUUAAGCGCUUGAAUUUUACAUAUAAAUAUUUAUUAAUAAAUAUGUACCCCUAUAAUAGCUAGGCCGUGCAGUUGCACGGGUAGAUGACUAGUGAUUACAAUCUUGUUUGUGUGCAAGUCAAGCUUAUCUAGUUUACACGUAACAACUUGUAGAACAUUACAAAAUUUAUGCUUGCUAAUAACUUCUAGAACACUACAACACUUGACAUGUAAAAGGAAUUUGACGAGUCAUGGCCUACUAAAGCAAGUUACAUUACUAGUCUUAUCUAUCUUAACAGACCACACAAGAUUACAAACUAAGUACCGUGACAGCCAUACUUAUCUAGUUUAUGCGUAACAAUUUGCAGAAAAUUAGAAACUUAGUUUCAGAAAAAUACGCAAUCUAGAUUAGUGUUUGAGCUGUAAAGUGAAUAAGAUGAGUCAUGCAUGUUAUCACACCUUUUUGGUGGUGGAAUGAUAGUGCAACAACAAGGAACUUUAAUGACCAGUCCAAGAAUACACUUGUAAGUAGUGCCACCAAACAGAACAUUCCAAAUGAUGAUUUUUAGAAGCAUCCAAGCACUUUCCACACAAACAAAUGCCAAUUGUGAAAGAGAUCAUUCCAUGGCAGCUAUAAAUAGCCCCAUAGCAUGACGAUCAUCCUUCCUCAUCCAUCAUUCUCAUUAGUAGAGCGCAUCAUUUAAGCCAAGCAAGCUGUGGUCAAUACAAAUCCACCAUGAAGACCUUUCUCAUCCUUGCCCUCCUUGCUAUCGUGGCGACCACCGCCACAACUGCAGUUAGAGUUCCAGUGCCACAAUUGCAGCCACAAAAUCCAUCUCAGCAACAGCCACAAGAGCAAGUUCCAUUGGUACAACAACAACAAUUUCUAGGGCAGCAACAACCAUUUCCAC